rnacentral:lncRNA from 1 species
UCUUUUGUUUCUAUGUUAUGGCGUUUUCCUUAACGACAUUGUAUGCAAUUAGCGGUGAUUACGACUCUCCCUCCUUCAUAUUUAAUUUAAGGGUAAAUUACGAACCUCCUGAACUUAGGUAAAUUACGAAAAACACCUCCACCUAUCCGUAAUCAUACAGUUUAUAAACACAUGAAAUUCGAAUUAAAGUGAUUUAUCAAAUUAGCAAUGGAUGUUUCGCGGUUUGUAGGCAAAAUUAGAAAUAAAGACGCGGCGAGUUUUGAAUUGAAAAAUGGUGGUAUAUAAGAUAGUAGCUUUGGGGUUUUCAUUUCCGCUUUUUGAAAAAAUUAUAAUUACCACGUACCCACUCGCUGUGAAUAUACAGAUUUGCCAAAAUCUGGGCGAUCGAAUUAAGAUGCCAGUAUGGGAGUUUAAGCCACUACAAAUGUAUUUUUUGUGAACACAGGGAACCAAAUAUGAAAUCAAUGCAAACUUAAGGGGUGAAAACUAUAAUUUUCCCUUUUAUAUAUAUAUGUUUUAUUAAUAUUUAUCUGUCGAUGCCAAAUCAAUUGCACCCUCCCAAAUAAGUAAAAUCGGCUAAAACAUAUUAAGGGUAGGAUAGUAAAUUUCUCUGCACUGUUAAAUUUCUAACGGUCGACUAUUAAGAAAAGGGGGUGUUUUGUAUUUUUCGUUAGUGUAGGGGGGGUAAAUUAAAAUAAAAAGUUGGUGGGUGGGUGUGUGUAUAUAUAGUUACGAACAGAACGCAAAAAGAGAAGACUCCGAGCGGUUACACUUCUCGUGUCAAGGUGGCUAGCUAAUGGAGGGAGAGAGGCUAUGGUUUCAUUCUACGUUUCCUUUUUUGUGUGUCUUUCACAAGACAUAUAAAUCCUAAUUAUAUAGUCCUUGUGAAAACCCUAACAGGCCUUAAGUUGUGCUAGACCCAACAACUUAAGUCCGCUAUCUUUCUCGGCUCGUUUCUAACAAACGAAUGCUCGCAAAAAUAAAACAAUUAUAUUUUGAUGACAAGCACAAAAUUCUCGUCGAUACGAGUACCACUUUGCAAUUUUCCAAUUUUCGAAAUUAGAAACCCUUAUUUAGGACCUGCCAAAUCGGGAAAUUUUCCAAUGUAGAAAGCUCACUAACUUUCCGUCGAAUUAUUUUCCUCUACUUAUUCUCAUCCAUAAUUAACAAUUAUAAAUGUUGGACUCAAUCACAUUGACUUCCAAUUACACUAGAUUAACUAAUUCAUCAUACCUCGUUGCAUUAAGGAUCUCAAGUACACGAGCAGUGACCCUCGAUGGUUCAGGUGUAAGCUAGCCGUGGGCCCACAACCCAUUGUGGUUUAAACUUGUCCCUAGAGUUAUAGUUAAGUUGAAGCUAUUUUCAACUUAACAACCCAACGAAUCAAGAUUGGCGUCUAGCAACUAUGCGUCACGAUUCCCUAAAUACAAAUGAAGUGCCUCCAAGAAUUGUGUGAUAUAGUUAACGUACAGUACGAUCCCUUCGAUACAUGUAUCCCGAUUGAACUAGAGGCAUUGGUUCGUCGCGACCUCUUUAUGAGUUCAAUAACUGUGUGGACGUUCUUGAUUAUAUAAUCCGUUCGUGUUUGACUUAGAGAAACAUAUUUCUCUAAUCACGAUACUUUCAGUUGUGGCCACAGACUUCAUGGAUUAUAAAUCGCAAGAACACACAUGAUAUCCAUGACUGAUCAAGCGAUCGAAUCCCGUAUUACAAUGCACAAACCUCCCUUUAGAUUUCGGACUGCACGGACACUGGCCCUUGGGGCAGUCCUCGGUGGAACUCAGGAAGAGGUCACGAUACAGCUGGUCUUCUAGUGAAGUCACAUGAUGUCUGGGUCUUAAAGAUUAAUGGUAUACAACUAUAUCAUAGAAACCUCUCUACUCGAUUAUUGGGAACCACUUAGAGAUCUCUAGGUUGAGGGAGUUCAGUGAACUCAUCAACUUAUGAGCACCCACUGAUGUAUGCCGAUGUCACAACAUCGUUGACUGAUGAGACGCAAUACACAUAUACUAAUUGCAAGUCUCAAAUGGGAAAUGUUGAUAUCCUCAUUAGUGGCGUAACCCGUUGACUAGAACUACAUUUAACAGUUACUAUACUUCAAUAAAUAAUCUCACGACUCUACUAGAUCUAUUCAUAGUAAAUAAGUAACUGUAAGGACUAUAUCUAUGCUUAUGCAAGGGACAAAGAUAUAGAAUGCCAAAUUGGGUAUUUAUCAUUAAUACGAAAUAGAUUAUUUACGAGUAGCAUGAGAAAACACAACGAUUAGUUGACUCUGUGGUCACCUACUCUAACAAGUUUUUUCAUGCAAGAACAAUGCAUAGACGUUGAAACAAGAAUUUGCAGGCAGACAACGUUGUGAACCAGAGGUUUUCGUUGACGGUGUUUUCUAUUGGGUUAAAUUUGGCGAUAAAAGUCGACAUAUAACAAUAUAUUAUGAAAUAACAUAUUUUGAAAGAAUUAUUGAAUUAUUGAAACAGUUCCUCCAUUGUUUGUACCGAUUUUACAUUUGAUCUCUCAUGUUUCAGUUUUUUGUUAAAACUAACAUAAUCAAGAGUGAGCACUCAUCACCGGCUUAACUGACGGACUAACGAUAAAUUGACGAAAAAGACCAAAAAUGUUAAAUUAUUGAAAUAUGAGGAAUCAAAUGUACUUUUUGUGAACAUGGGGGCUAAAUAUGAAAUCGAUGCAAACAUAAGGGGUGAAAACUAUAAUUUUUCCUUUAACAUAUAUAUAUGUUUUAGGGGAAAUAUGCAAUACCCCUGAAAUGGAAAAUAUUUUGAACUAAACUCAAUUGACUGUUAGAGACUUUUGCCUACACCCAAGUUUGAUUCUUAAUAUAUUAGUGAGACCUCCUGACCAGCCAUGAUAAGACUAAAGUGCCCUUAUGUGGUUAUGUUUUUAACGUGAAACAAUUUUAUCUCACUCUUUCACUCCCCCUCUCUCUCUCUCUCGUUCUCGAUUUCUCUUUUUUUUUUUUUCUUUUCAGAUUUGUCCACCACCACCACCACCACCGUCGCCUCAUCUCUCACUCUCUUUCCUUCACCACCGCCACCACCGUCAUUGUCGUCGACUCCCCAUGCCUCUCUUUUGUUAUUUUUCUAUCUUUAUUUAUAUAUUUUUCAAUUUUUUUUUUCAGAUCUGAAAAUACAGUUUCGAAAAUACAGUUUCAGAUCUGAACAACAGCAGUAACAUGACUAUAGUUAUAUUCGAAUAUGACUACGAAUAUGUAUAUAUCAUAUUUAUGUAUUUUUCGAAUAUGAAUGUAGUCAUAUUCGAAUAUGUUCUAUCUUCUCGUUUUCAAGUUAACUUCUAAUAACUAGAUUCAAAAUUGUUAUUUAUUUUGUGGAUGUUGAUUGGAUUGGUUUCGUAAACAAUAGGGAAUUUUCGUUGUUUUAUAUAAUUUGGUUAUUAUGACUAUACCAUACUAUAUAAUCGGAAUUUUUAAGUUGAAAAAGUAAAAAACUGCAAUAUAAAGAAAGAAUAUGACUACAUAGUCACAUAUAGCCAUAUUCAAUUAUAGUCAUACUCGGAGUUGUAAACCUGUUGAGAAAAAAAAAUCAAUUUUUUGUUUUAAAGAAAAAAAAAAAGAACAAAAAUUUAUUAAAAAAAUAUUAAAAAAUAAAAAUAAAUAAAAUUUCUACGAAUUAUCACAAAGAAAGACUUAAGGAUUGGACAUAUCAACAUUUCUUAUCUAUAUGAGGGGAUUAUUGCUAAUGACACCUAUGUUUUAUUAAUAUUUAUCUGUCGAUGCCAAAUCAAUUGCACCCUCCCAAAUAAGUAAAAUCGGCUAAAACAUAUUAAGGGUAGGAUAGUAAAUUUCUCUGCACUGUUAUAAUUCUAACGGUCGACUAAUUAAGAACAGGGGGUGUAUUGUAUUUUUCGUUAGUGUAGGGGGCUAAAUUAAAAUAAAAAGUUGGUGGGUGGGUGUGUGUGUAAAUAUAUAUAGUUACGAACAGAACGCAAAAGAGAAGACUCCGAGCGGUUACAUUCAAAAUAUAUAUAUAUACACUCCGAUCAACAACUCUCCAAGAAAAUCAACAACUAAUUAAUUUCAAGAAAAUGGCUGAAAAAGGAGAUGGUGCUUAUAAUCCACCAGGCUCGUCGAGGAAGAAGGAUACAGCUGGCAAAGCAAAGAUUGACGACUCCGAUUAUUAUGUAUAUGCUCAAUUCAAGGUUCCCAGGAAUAAUUCAAGAUUCCCAUGUUCCAAGUUCUCUCUCUCUCUCUCUCUCUCUCUCUCUCUCUCUCUCUCUCUCUCUCUCUCUCUCUCUCUCUCUCUCUCUCUCAACAUUGCAGCAUGUAGGCGGUUUAAUAUGUUCAAGAAUUUAAUUUAACUAGUAAUUGUACCCGUGCGAUGCACGGGACAACAAAUUGCAUUCUUUUGAUGUUGUAAGAAUAUAAACAAACGUUUGAUGUAUCGUAUGAUCAAAAUUCUAUUAUACUGGAACAUUAUUAAGUAUACUACACACAAAAAAAAAAGGACAUAACUUUACUGUUGAAUAAUUUUCCAAAUUAAUUGAAUCAGCUAAUACCAGUAGAUUGAAAAUUUGAACCAGGAAAAAAAUCAUCAAUUAUGUCUUCCAUGUUGAGCUUAAAAGUAAUUAGAUUUAAUAACUAAGUUAACAUAAUCAAAACUAAACUAUCGACAACAUACCAUCGUAAAAGGCCAUCUAUACAUCUUGCAUCGGAACUAAGCCCUUCUCCACUUCCUCAUUUUAAGGUUGUUUUGCCACUGGAAUUAACAAUUGGAAAAUUAAGAAACAAAAAUAAAUAUAAACAAUAAAUUAAAUAUCGCAUACAAACAAUAAGUCUUGAAGGUCGACUUCCAAUAGCUUGUGGCUCCGCCCAUUUUUGGUUAAUUUUCUCAAAUCAUCCCUUUCAAUAACAUGUCCAAUAACAUAUAAAAUGAAAUAAUUAUAUUGUUAUACAUAAAAUUUGAAAACUUUGGUAUAAAUUAAUGAAACACAUAAUUUAACAAAAUGAAAUUACCUAUAAGCCAUGAUGGAAAAAGAUGUAAACUAAUUGCCACACAUGCAAUAGGAUGAAGAAGAAGAUAAGAAACAAAAUCUAAAGUCGGGUUACCAAAAGAAGAAGCCUUAGGUAGGGAAGAAAUAAAAUUCAAAUGUUGCAGACAUUCUGUAAAACGAUGUCACAAAAUCCGCUAGAGAUGAAAAUCAGAUUUAUUUACCCUUUUCUGUAAAAAUCGAAAAUCAAAUUAUUAUAAAUAAUAUCUAGGAGAAUUUGAUGAAAAUCGAUAAUAAUAUUUAAAAUAAUAUUUCGGAGAUAAAAAUUUGAUAAAAAAAUCAAAAAAUAAUAUUUAGGAGAUAAAAAUCAAAAAUAAAAUUUAAAAUAAUAGUUAGGAAAUAAAAAUUUGAUAAAAAAUCGAAAAUAAUAUUUCAAAUAAUGUUAAUGAGAUAAAAGUUGAUAAAAUAUGAAAAUAAUAAUUAGAAUAAUAUUUAGGAGAUAAAAUAUGAUUAAAAUCAAAAUUAUUAUUUAAAAUAAUAUUUAGGAGAUAAAAAUUUGAUAAAAAUCGAAAAUAAUAUUUAGGAGACAAUAAUCUGAUAAAAAACGAAAAUAAUAUUUAGGAGAUAAAAAACUAAUAAAAACAUGAUAAAACUCGAAAAAAAUAUUUAAAAUAUUAUUUAGGAGAUAUAAAUUUGAUAAAAUUCGAAAAUAAUAUUUAGGAGAUUGUAAUCUGCUAAAAGUUGAAAAGUAUAUUUAAAAUUAUAGUUAGGACUUAGGAGAUAUAAAUUUGAUAAAAUUAAAAAAAUAUUAUUUAUAAUAAUAUUUAGGAGAUAAAAAUUUGAUAAAAAUAAAAAAUAAUAUUUAGGAGACAAAAAUCUGAUAAAAAUAAAAAAUAAUAUUUAAAAUAAUAUUUAGGGGAUACAAAUAUGAUAAAAUUCAAAAAUAAUAUUUAAAAUAAUAUUAAGGAGAUAAAAAUUUGAUAAAAAUUGAAAAAAAAUUACAAAUAUGACAUUAGGGUUUCUUAGGGUUGCCCUAGCGUUUCUUUCUUUUAUAUAUAAGAUUUAAUUUAAUUUUUUUUUUCUUUCUGAAAAAAAAAUUAAAAAAUAUGAUUUACAUGCAUGCAACAGUGAGGAGCUAUGGAGGAACUGUUUACAGUGGAGCUAACUCCAGCUGACGUGGAUAACGUGCUUCUAAACCUAACUCAAUUACAGGCAGACAUGCUUAUGGAUGAAUAUUCGAGACCCGUUCUCGACUCCCUAAUCAGCUUUUCGAUGGCUAUCGAUUUGUUUGAUGAACAUGACAACCAGAAAUAUCCUAUGGAAUUAGGAAAGCAACCGAAUCCCGUCGGAGGUGCAUUCCACUACCUUUAUCGAGGCUGGUUUCUCGUCGGUAAGAAACGCAAACUGAAAGCCGGAGACGUAGUCAAGUUUUACAAACUUGCAUCGGUGGGAUGUAAUUUUGUUAAAGGCCGCGUGCCGUCGUUCUUUAUUAUUAUCAACAAACCUGAUGCAGAAGAAGCCCGAUCGAUAAAGAACCGAGAGACGACGAUCAAGAUAAUUUCGAGAGAAACCGGUAUGCAGGUUGAAGAAAAAGGAAUAAAUAAAAAAUUAAUUAAUUAGAUCAGAUUAUUUUUUCAUGCAGUACUAGUUAUUAGAUAUUUCUUUACUUUUGUUUGAUUUGUUGUGCUCCAUCGAAAAAUCGAGAUUGUCGAUUUUCUUUUUAUGAACAAGAGAUUAUUUUCUUUUCUUUAAAAUACGUAUGAUCGAUAUAUGGACUUGACUUGAGAAGACCGAAUGCAAUUAUUUAGUUCGAUGUACGUAGGUCCUAUCCAAUAUAAUACGACAUCUUUAAACGCGUAACUAAUUGAUCGAACUAUUGAUCAACUGAAUCAUAACGUAUAACUGAUCAAGGGCAAAAGAGUGAUGUAGCUAAGGGCAAAUGAUUUCUACUAGCUAGGUCGGGCAAAAGGCCGAUGAGAGAUUGUGCGCGACAAGUUUAAGGAAUAUUUUAUGUAUUUAAUAUAUUUUUACGAAAAAUCGGAUUGCAAAUAUAAUUUCACGAAUUAGGUUGUUUCCAUAAUCAAGAAUUCUAACAUCGAUGUCUAAUGUCUUCUACAUAGAUUAAACUUCGAUGACACGUAAUGAAACAUAAAUGAAGGGCGACUCAUUUGCCAUUUUUUUCCUUUUGUUUUUGGACGGCACUUUCGUCGGCCCCCACCUCAUGCUUCGUCGCCUUUUCAAUUCCUCGUUUGUUUCACACGGGCCUAUUUCAUUGGGAUUUGUGGUGUUGUGGAGAUGGGAAGAAGAUGAAGAUGAUCCCCUUUUCCUUUUUAAUUUUGAAUUUUUGCAAACAACCGUCCAAGGGUAUUUAUGGGGUAUUUCUGUCUUUUCCAAGACCGAUAAAUGCUUACACUAGCUAGCACGCACGGUGUUCUACAGAGUUGUGCAGUACGACUAUUUUCGUUUCGGUGAAAAUUCUAUACGCAAUCACUCUUUGAUGAAAAUACCAAAAAUUAUUAGUCCAAUGGAUCAUAGACUUAAGUCGUCUAAUCACGAAAGAAAGCGUCAAGUAAUUUAAAAUCAUUCAAAGAAUUAAGUGAAGCACGCAGCCGAUCGACAUGAAAUAAAUCGAGCCUUAAAAUCUAUUACAAACAAUUCCUUUUCCUCUUAGGCCUAAAAAAUGUGUUAGGGGAUAUUAGACUUUCCACAUACGGAGCAGAUAGGAAGUCGAAAUAAUGUGUGGUGUCUUCAAAUUCUUCAAACGUCUUCUCAGAAGGAUUGUACACCACAACUGUCGUCCCGUCCAAUCGAACGACAAUCUUAUUUUCUACGAAACACAUUGGUACAAAAUCCGAAGCGAACCUCUCGACAUUCUCAAUGGUUAUCAACUCCUUCCAGGAAUUAUUGUCCAAGCCCUUUCCCUUUAUCCAAAUAUGAACAACCUUGUCUCUCGCUUCGUAAUAAUACAUGCACAAACGGCCUCCGAAAUCAAUCAUGUAAAUAGGUCCUUGGACCCCGAAAAUCGCAUGCUCGUCGUUCCGCAUCUUGAACUCGUCAUCUUUGGGGUCGAAAUAUGUUAGUUUACAUCUACGUUUCUUUUCCAUCUUUAACCAAUAGACAACCCCGUCGACAAAAACUCCCGGACGAUAAGCUACUCGAAAAGUGUCUCCAAAAUAUUUUUUCCUCGUCCAGGCUUUGUUCUUGCACGAAUAAACCGCGUAGUGAUUCCAAAAUAUAACAACCGCCUUAAAGUCACCGAUUCUCGGAUCAUGACAAAGCCCGUAACACUUCAAAUCAGUAUUUAAUUCGAAUGGGAGCCGAAAAAUUGUCUGCGUUCGAGUAGAUGGAUUCCACAACACAAAUUCCACGCCACUUCGUGUUUCUUCGUCACUUUUGAAUAGUAGAACGCCAUCACAAUAGCAUAAGACGCGCGUGUUGAAGCCACGAGGGCUUUUCAGGGCUUCUAAACAUCGUAAUAUUCGAUCUUCGUCGAUUUUAACCAAACAAAACUUUUUACUAUUAUAUCUGAAUAUCAACUUACAUAGAAAAAGAUUCUGCGAGUUUGAAGCUUUAGAUUGGUGGAGAUGAUUUCGGAUGAAUACAGGAUCGGAGAUCAUCGUAUUCCAUGAUUUCGAGACGGCUUUGAAUCGAAGAAGAGAUUUGGCGGGUAAAUUUAAUAGGAUUAUUUCUAUGACGUGUAGUGGAAGGUAUGUUGAAACUUGUUCCGAGUGAUUUGCAGCCAUGGUUGGUUGUGGAGUUUCUAGGGUUGUUGUUUUACAGGAUUUAUUACUUGUAAAUUUGUUUUGUUAAUCAUCGUAUAUGUAAGGAAACGUAUAUAUAAAUAUCACGAAAUUCAAAUCGAUUAUAAUAAGGUAUUGGUUUAUGAUUGUGACUCAAUUAAUUCGUUCCCAAAUAAGAGAUAACAACUAGGUAAAAUUCUUACUAAAAGAAAAAAACUAGGGUAAAAUUCAUUUUGCACCCUUAUUAUUUACCCCUAGAUAUAUAGAAAAUAGCGAAAAGUACAGUUUGCACCCCUGAACUAUAGGGUUUGUCACUAACGCCCUCCUGAACCAUAAAACGUAACAAAAUAACCCCUCCAUUUUCAAUCCGUUUGUGUGUGAUGACGUGUGGGAGUUGACUUUUUUCAUUUUUUAAUUACUUUUGACCGUGACAGGAGCUUCCCUUUCGCCAUGAGCUUGCCCGAGAAGGAUUCGCUACAUAGGGUCGGUGGGUCCCCUUUCGGAGUGGCGCUUUUGCUCGUUUUUCUUAUGUUCAUGAUUUAUCAUCAUAGUUCGUUGCAAGAAAGAUUGUUCCCCUUAUUUAGCCGACGAUAAUUCACGAUAUAUAUAACAUGUAAUAAGGUAUUGAAGUUUUUAAGAUUGUCUCUAUAGAGGAGGACUACAUGCAUGUCUAUGGUUUACAUGAGGCAUGGUUUGAUUUUUGUGGUUUUUAAAAUAAGAUUAAAGUGUAUAUUCUCUUUAUUAUAUGUGUUUCUUAUUAAUUUUGAUGUGGUUGAGUUUUUGGUUUAAUUUUAGUUUCACCUUUUAUAUAUAGCAGAUUUAGGCUAGACACUAAUCUUUAUAUACAUUAAGUAUUUUUUAAAUUAGUUUAAGAUGCAAAUAAUUAAAGUGCCUCUAAUUGAGGUUAUGAUAUUGAUCACAUAAUGGUGUGUUAGAAAUAUAUAUUGAACUGGAAUUCAUUUUUCCUUUUUUAAUUUGCAAACUGGAAAACAAAAGUGUUAUUCAAACACACUCAGUAGAUUUGUUAAUGGGAAACUUAAAAUUUUCAUCCCUCGAGUUUGCACUAAUUUUAUAUUUGGUCCCCAUGUUUACAAAAAAAAUACAUUUGGUCCUGCGUGUUUUAAUAAUUUUACACUUUGAAGCUAAGGCAACAAGAAUGAUAAAGAAAAGAAUUAAUGAACACUCAAUAACACAUACUUCCAAACUACUCAACCAAUAUCUAAAACAUGAGUGGAAAAGAUAAAAGUAUAAAUAUCUUCUUAUGGACUAUGAAUUGAUACCAUUGAAAACAUGAAAAAAAAAGGAAAAAAAAAAAUUCUAGACCGACACCAAUUCCUUUCCAUACGAAGAUCGUAUAGGCGCGCAAAGUUCCUUGCAGCUAAGACCUAUUUGGUCAUGGGUUCGUGACACCAGAAGAAGAAUUGAUGAACCAAUAACUAUCCUUCUAUUUGUCGCCAAAUGGUGAAACUAAACUUUCAACAUAGCAAAUGGGCUCAGUUGUAGCAUCAACCAUAUAAACUAAGCGUGCACACCACACAUAUUUACACCACACAUUUUUUCCGUUAUAAAUUCCGUCAUUAGGCAAAGGCCACAUCUUCAUUGCAUCAUCAGAAUUCGAACAUGUCCAAAUCUUAGUCCAAGAUUCCGUCUGACCAUACUCGAUCAUAACCCAAACACUUUGAUGACCUGUAACACUAGAAGUAGUAAUUAAACAUAGGUAUCCUCCCAAAUUAUUCAGAACCGAUCCAAAACAAAUAUUUUCCGUAUUUUUCGGCCCAGCCACAAUUUCAUAUUUCUCCUCCACUAAAUCAAGAGAAAUUAUAACAAGAUCGUUAUCAUCGUGUCCCAUAAGCCAAUGCAAUCUUCCGUUCACAAGCUUGCCCGAUUCGCACAUCGGGGGAUAAUUAGAACCCUUGUCGAAAUGCUCGAUUUUCUUCCAAGAAUCGGCUUUCAAACUAUAAACCUCCGUCUGAGAGGUUGUCCUCCGAGUGGAGAAGAAAAUGCAGACAACCUUGUAAUCGUCUGCGUACUCGUCGUACCCCAAACCGUAUACUUUUUUGAAAGCGGGACGCGUGCACCGAAUUUUCUUGAUCUCUCUAGUACAAGGGUUCCAUAGAAAUAAAUAGUGAUAAUUCUCGAUGUUCAUGAGUACUAGCCCGUUGCAUGAUCCCAAGAUACGAACAUCGUACGUCGAAUCUCCCAUGCAACAAUGAUUGCUGUCGAGAGUUGCGAUGAUGUCAUCAUCGAGUAACGACUGGAGAUAACGCGGGUCGAGUGUGGUGUUCGGACCGCGGAAUAAAGACAUGAAUCCGACGAUGUCCGGUGAUCGACGGAAGCUUGACACUAGGCUUCGAUUUGUGCGAUCUGUAUCGAUUUUCGAUUUCUUGAGGUGGCGUUUGAUGAAUUGUUUGCUGGAGAUGAAGGAACACCAUCGUUUCGAAACGCACUUGAAUCUCAAAAGGGAUUUGGAUGGCAAGCUGUGUAAUAUUUCUUCGAUUAUUUCAUCCGGAAGAUGGCGCGAGAUUCGUCGUUCGAUUCGUGUUCCCAUUUUCUGUGUUUUUUUUUUUCUUAUUUUUUCUUCUUUAUUCGCCGCCUUUGAAUUUAACCUAGAUGACCUAGAUUUAGGAUAAGCAUCGUUAACAAACAUUUAAUUUUUGAUUUUAUUAAACGGGCCCCGGACCAUAUAACGCCCCAUACCCGGCCCGCCCCUGACCCGUAAGAAAAUAUAAUUUUUUAAAUUAAUAAUUUAUUUAAUUAAAAUAUCUGUAAAGAUUAGUAUUUUAUAAUAUAAAAAAUAUAUAAACGGGAUGGAUACGGGGCGGGUAAGGGUGCAUAUGUUCAAAACCUAUACCCAUCAUGUAUUCACUACGGGUGAAAUUUUUAAAAUCAAUACUUGCUCUAUUAGCAAACGUGGUGGGGAUUACCGGGUAAAUCCGGGGCGGGGUGGGGCGGGUUAUACUGUCAUCCCUACCCACCUCUGUGUACGCGUGCUUAGUGAUUAUUAUUUAACCUCAUUUACAAUUAACAAAUAGCUGAUGCAUGUAAAUAACCCAGUGUAGCAUAUAACUUCCCAAGUUGUAGAAAAAGUCCUAUAUUUUUCUUCUCUUUUUGAUUGGUCUCGCGAAUUGCUGACUUGAAUCACAACAUGGAAAUGAAUGCCGAAUCACGAGAUGAAGUUUAUUGGUUCUGUAUAGAACCUAUACCUAGUGAAACACAUCAUAUAGUCUUACAUUGUUGAUCUACACAUAAUAACACACACCUAUAUGUAUGUAUACUUAUUAGGUAGUUAUUUACGUAGAUGUACAGUUUAAAACCACAUGAUGUAUUUCACCUGAUGCAGGAUAUCAUAAACCUAAGUUUAUCCGAUGUAAGUGUCGUUUUUGGGGGAAAUCAACGGAUGUAAUUUCAUUAGUAAUAAAUAUAAUUAAUAUUAUGGUCCCGAUAAAAGUCCGCCCUUUCUUUUACGAAAGUACUCCUGCACUUUUGUUAGCUAAAAUUAUUGGGACCAAUGCGAGUGUUCACUGAGCUAUAGUGUUUACUGUCGAACUUUGCUGUCAAUUUUCCGAUCCUUCACAUAAGUUCACUAACGGUUUACAAAAGUUUACUCUCUAUUUUUAAGAAAUUCAUUGCCAUUGUUUUUUGAAAUAAUCGAUUUCCAAAAGUUCGCUACCAAUUUUAAAAAGGGUGCAAAUUUAGACUAACCCUAAUUAUAAUAGCGUGAUUUAUUAAGAGUUAGACUUAAAAGUGCCACAUGUCAAAAAAAUUAGUGGAAUCCGAUUUAUAUUAAAUAUCGGCUCAUCUGCUCAGACUUUAAUCUCUUUUAAAAAUUCCAUCCCAAGUUUCAAAGGUCCCGUUCUCAUAUUUUCGAAAGUUAGCUGCCACAUUCCGUCCUAUUUAACUUCAAAUUUUUAGAAGUUCACUACUAAUUUUCAUAAGUUUAAUAUCAUAUUUCUAAUUGCUAAACAGAAUCACUAUUAGGAAAUGAAUGCAGGAUCAAGAGAUUAAUGCUGAUAAUGGUGAGAAUGAAAAUAUUCGACAACAAGUAUGAAGAAAGAUUCGUAGUUUCAUAUAUCUUUUAGAACCCGUAAUCCCGCUCCGUUUAAGUAAAACGGUGUGGGUAUUAACUUGCAUUAUACGGCCAUCUCAUAAUCCAUUUGCCUCUUGAAAUUGAAAAUUCCGGUAAUAGUAUAAAAGUUAAUUAGAUAAUAAAAAAAAGAAAAAAACCAAAAAAAACAUACUUCUAAAUUACACUACCUGAAACCCAAAACUCAAAAUCCGAAACCUGAAAAUCCAAAACCCAGAAAAUUGCAUGUCGAAAACAUCAAGAAAAGAUCAAGUAUAAUACCACUUAAAAACAAAGGUGAAAAGAAAAAGUAUAUCAUUCACCAUCUAUAAAAAAUGCAUAAUAAUCUUAUUAAAACUACUCCUUACCCUAGAUAAUACCAUCAUCAUUAAUGACCAAGUUCUUCGUCGCCAAACGGCGAAACUAAGCUUUCAACAUAAACAAGGGACUCGAUUAUAUCAUUAACUAUUGCACCUCGAAUCUCACGCAACUUAUUUUUUCCAUUAUAAACAACUAUACUCGAUCCAAAAGCCACUGCAAUAUCACCAUUAUCUCUAAAACACAACGGCAAUGCACCUCUAGUACAGUUCUUCGGAUCAUGAAAAUCCGAAAGUGUCCAUAUCUUAGUCCAAGAUUCUCUCACACCAUACUCUUUCAUAACCCAAACACUCGUAUCCAACAUAUUGCCAGCUGUAUCACUUACAAAGACAUGACCAAUCAAACUAAGAUAGCCUCCCAAAUCUCCCAAAAUCGGUUGAUACGGAACACUAUUCGAAAAGUUUUCCGGCCGAGCCAUAAUUUCAUAUUUCCCCUCCACCAAAUCAAGAGCAACAAUCUCGUGAUCACGGCCACCAUUUUCGUCCUUCGCUAGCCAAUGCAGUUUUCCGUUCACAAACUUGCCUGAAUCCUCCACAGGGACAAUACCCUUAUCGAAAUCUUCAAUUUUCUUCCAAGAAUCAGUCUUGGAACUGUACAUCUGCGUACGGUGGGGUUUCGAAUUAGAGAGAGUGUAGAUACAGACAACCUUGUAAUCGUCGGCCGACUCAUCGUACCCCAACCCGUAUAUAAAACGAUCCGUAUCAUGCCGCGGCGCAUAUUCUCCUCCUUCUUCCGGAAAAGGAGGAACUAUCUUUAAUUUUCUACUUGAUAGGUUCAACAAAACUAAACGUGCAUUAUUAACGAACAUGAGUGUUAGCCCGUUGCACGAUCCCCAUACGCGAGUGAGGAGAUUUGUUUGCUGCGGAAGAUUAUCGAAAGUAGCGUUGGGUCCGUACAGUAGAGGCCGAAGAGAGUGUAGCAAUACAGUGUUUUGCUGUAAGCAUCUGUGGUGCAAUCGUAAGAGGAUCCUGUGACGGGUAAUAUCCGGAUCCGUAUUCGAUUUCUCGAGGUGGCGUUUGAUGAAUUCCUUGCUGGAGAUUAUGGAACGCCAUCGUUUCGAAACACACUUGAAUCUUGAAAGGGAUUUAACUCGCAGAUUGUACAGGAUUUCAUAGGUUAUUUCUUCCGGAAACUUCGUUUGUGUUGCCAUUCUUUGUAAUACUUUUUCUUCUUCUUCUUCUUCCACGGCGCUACGAUAAUCUGACCUAGAAACUUAAUUCACCGAGGUAUAAACAAACCCCUUCAAUUAAGGGAAAUCUGCACCAAACCCCUUUUGUUUUAGUUUUAUUGCGUAAAAACCCCCUGUAUUUUAUAUUUUCUUGCAUGGAAUCCCUAUUCUGUUAAUAAUUAAGACGGUUAACUUUGAAGGGGAUUUUUUUUUUUUUUUUUUAUGAGAAUGUAGAACGGUUAUCCCCUUCUUUCAGAUUUGUUUCUCUAAAACCAGGUUUUAACGGCAUUCUUGUUUUAUCAAUAUAUUUAGCCCGACGGCCAAUGAAUCCUGAAAUCGUAUUUGACAUACAAAACAGAACCCUAAUUUGAUAAGCCCAUUGGAGUUUAAUUUGAAAUCGUAUUUCUAUUUUUUGGUGUAUAAAUAGUGGUUAAUGGUUUGAAUACCAUGUUUGAUAACCCCAUUGGAGUUGCUCUAAGCACACAUACACUCGUGGUGAAAUACACUAUGUAGUUUUUAAACUGUAAAUCUACAUAAACAACUAUCCACUAAGUACACAAUCUAAUGAGUGUGGUAUUAUGUAUAGAUCAAUGGUGUAAGACUACAUGAUGUAUAUCAGUUGUAGGCUCCACAAAACUGACGUGCAACUAGUCUUCGGAUCGCCGCCUUCAUAUUUUGUUAGGGUCUCAUAUAGUUUUUUAAUUUUGGUUUGGUUUCCUUUUUUAGAACCAAACACCGGUACACGCAUGUUUUGGUAUGAAAUUUCUUAUUACCAUAAGUACACUCGGUAGACGCAUGGCCGGUCCUAGGGACCAGGAGGCCUAAGGCGAACACCAUUAAUGAAGCUCCGGUUGUUUUUUUUCUUCGUGUUUGUAUUCAAAACUCUUUGGCAUUUCUGUCUUCCGUGAUGUGUGUGUAUAGGUGGAAUCGGACGGAUCUCGGACAAAUUUCAAAAUAGUUUUGAAAUGAAAAACUAAUUUCAAAUCUGUUAAGAAAAAAAAAAAAGAAUUGAAAAAACAAGGAAUUGGAAUUUCAAAAAUUGGAAUGAAAGAACUCGUUUCAAAGUUGAAAAUUAUCGACUCAUAAUCGGCGGCUCGGAAAGAAUAUCCAAGGGUUGUGGAUAAUGCAAUUUUAGAAUCAACAGAAUAUAAACGAAUUUUAAAUAUAGCACCAUAUGUUCCAAUCACAUUCGAAAACACAUAUAAUUUGCAUUUACCUUCCCUGAACUGACUAUUUGGUAACCACAUUCUAAAUAUUCCUUAGACUAUGGUAAUUCCAAAGCUACAUCCCCAUUAUUUAGCUAUUUUGGCACUUGCAUCUCUCAAACAAUGGCAAUCUAUUUUUGUUUUUUUAGCUUUUUUCGAGAACUAUUUACCCUUAAUGUUUCGAGAACUAUUUACCCUUAAUGGCAAUAAUAAUUUUUUUUUUCUUUGGCUAUUGGUUCGGAUCGAUUCUUCCUCAAGCCCCGAUACAACUGCAUUUGUUAUAAUUAAGAACAUGAAAAUAGAGAUAAAAUGAUAAUUUUAUUUAUUUUUGAACCCUCUGCCUAGGAGCUUUUAGCACUAACCGUCCAUGUGUAAUCUCUAAUUGUUUCAAAAGUCCAUGUGUUAAAGCAAUCAGCAAAGACCUCCCUAUAAAAGUCAGUCAAAGCCAACAAAACCCCUGUAAGUUGAUCGUGCGACGCUCACCACAAAUGUGAUUUGGGGUUAAUUUUUUGACUUGCAAAGAUUGAAAUACCCUUUAAAUCAGAAAUUUCGUAAAUAAGCUCCAAAAAGAAGUUUCCAAUAUUUUCAAUUCCGUCCCUCCCAUUUUCUAAAAGGCCCUAUUCCUCCUUAAGUCAGAGACUAAUUUGAUUUUUUUUUUCUUCUUGAAAUACACUGAACAUAGCUGAGCCCGCCCUCCUUUCGACGAACACCCUCUCCAGUCUCACCUCCCUCCAUACCCUCAGCCUCCGCUUCAAGCCUUCAAUCAUAUCCCCCUUCUGCCCCCACCACUCCAACAUUUUCUCUGACAAAAUUUGGUUCAACUUGGAGCUUUUCCGCACCAUUUUCCGCCUAUAUUUGGGAGAUUACACUGGUUGAUGCUGAAAACUCUCUACCUCACGGAUUCAUGAACCCGGAACUAGAAUCGGCAUCCAGUUCUGAACUGUAAUCAGAAUCUGUCAUUAUAGUGAUCAACAUGGUCUCAGUUUGUUACCAGGCUUGUGACAAUUGAUAAGAAACUUCUUGUGUUCACUCGUUUAGGACAAGCUGUUGAGAGAUUAAAAUAGAUUGCUUACAGUUAUAGAUUUGAUCGUUAACUACUUUCGUGUAUUUUAUAAUAAAUAAACGACCUAACAUCGUCCCUUUCUUUUUCAGCUCCUUCCAGGUUUCGAGUAUCAACAGAAUCAUUUUAAACAAGUGCUGCAUAGUAAAUAACAUAAAGUUCACUAACUUCAUAAACAAAAUUCAUAAGCAAGAACUGAAAGAGCUAAAUUAAAAAAAAAAAAAGACAGUAAAUUACUGCCACACCCUUGAGGUGAACUCAAAUUACGAAAAAAAAUCACUUCUUGUUUGGAUAAGUUGGUGGCUCAACUAUGAAUAUUCUUACGGGUUCAUCUUAUGGUGUCAAAUUAAACAUAAUCUUCUACAUUUCGUGAAAUGUUCUCUAGUUUGUACUCGUUUUGUGCAAAAAAUGCAGUUUAUGAUUCACUACAUUCUGAUAUCUAUAAGUCUAAUCUUAUGAACAUCUUGUUUCAAAAUAUGGAGGUCAAAUAGGGUAAAACGGGUAUAAAGUGAAUAAUUAUAUUCCUCAUACUCUAGAAGAUUCCACUAAAUUUGACACCACAACGAUGAACGUGUAAGAAAAUUCAUAGUUGAGGGGUGAUUGUAAUUACCCAAACAUGAAAGGAUUUUUUUAGUAAUUCCACCUUGCACUGAUUCUACAUUUGGUCUCCCAUGUUCACAAAAAAAAUACAUUUGAUCCUUCGUGUUUUAAUAAUUGGGCAAAUUACCAAAACCCCCCUGAGGUAAGCCUAAAUAACAAAAAUCCCCCCCAUGUUCGCGUAAUUACGAAAACCCCCCUGAGGUAUGCAGACGUCUUACAAAUCGCUCUAACGGUGUUAGACUCGAUAGAAUCUUUUUGAUUCUCCCGAAUAUUCCUCCGAUAAUACCAAUUUUGCCCUUGUACACGAAAUUAACCUUAGGGGGGUAAUUGUAAGCAUUUUAUUUAAUGAGGGGUCAUUAUGAAUGUACAAAAUACUUAUUUUUCUUAAAUUAAACCCAAAUAUAAUCAAUCAUUAUGAAUGUACAAUGUAUUUUUAUUGGAUUAAAAAAAAUCAAUGAAUGAGAUUUCAAAAUUUAAUUAUUUUUUAUAUAUAAAAUUAAAUAUUUUACAAUUCGAGAAAUACAACCAUGCAUCAUUCAAGCUAAAAGCAUAAAUCCGUAUGAAUACUCCUCUGGAUAAAUAAAAUCAAUUAAAAUAUAUAAAUAAAAAAAUAUAUAAGUGUCUGCAAAAUACUUAUUUUUCUUAAAUUAAACCCAAAUAUAAUCAAUCAUUAUCAAUGUACAAUGUAUUUUUAUUGGAUUAAAAAAAAUCAAUGAAUGAGAUUUCAAAAUUUAAUUAUUUUUUAUAUAUAAAAUUAAAUAUUUUACAAUUCGAGAAAUACAACCAUGCAUCAUUCAAGCUAAAAGCAUAAAUCCGUAUGAAUACUCCUCUGGAUAAAUAAAAUCAAUUAAAAUAUAUAAAUAAAAAAAAUAAAAAAUUAUAAUAUCAAAUUAUCAAUACAAAUUACAAAGUAAUAAAUAAAUUUAUAAAAGCAAUAAAUCAUCAACUGAAAGGGAUGUCAGGGGGGAUUUUCGUUAUUUAGGCUUACCUCAGGGGGGUUUUGAUAAUUUGCCCUUUAUUUUUUACAUAUUUAACAGAAGGAUAUAAUAGACAUUUCACGUUUUCGGUUAAACAAAUUCGGUCAACCGUUAGUCAAGGGGGGUUUUCGUAAUUACGAGAACAUGGGGGGGAUUUUCGUUAUUUAGGCUUACCUCAGGGGGUUUUGGUAAUUUGCCCUUUAAUAAUUUAACACUUUGAACCUAAGGCAACAUGAAUGAUAAAUAAAGUAAUUAAUGAACACUCAAUAACACAUACUUCCAAAACUACUCAACCAAUAUCUAAAACAUGAGUGGAAAAGAUAAAAGUAUAAAUAUCUUCUUAUGGACUAUCAAUUUCUUGACAAUACAAAAAGAGGAAUUGAUACCAUUGAAAACAUUAAAAAAAAAAGGAAAAAAAAAAAAUUUCUAGACCGAAACCAAUUCCUUUCCAUACAAAGAUCGUAUAGGCGCGCAAAGUUCCUUGCAGCUAAGACCUAUUUGGUCAUGGAUUCGUGACACCAGAAGAAGAAUUGAUGAACCAAUAACUAUCCUUUUUUAAAAAACAAGAAGUGACGAUCAUCGGCGAAGCUGUUUGUCGCCAAAUGGUGAAACUAAGCUUUCAACAUAGCAAAUGGGCUCAGUUGUAGCAUCAACCAUAUAAACUCUGCGUACACACCCCAUAUUUUUACACCACACAUUUUUUCCAUUAUAAAUUCCGUGUUUCUUCAAAGGCCACAUCUUCAUUGAAUCAUCAGAAUUCGAACAUGUCCAAAUCUUAGUCCAAGAUUCCGUCUGACCGUACUCGAUCAUAACCCAAACACUUUGAUGACCUGUAACACUAGAAGUAGUAAUUAAACAUAGGUAUCCUCCCAAAUUAUUCAGAACCGAUCCAAAACAAAUAUUUUCCGUAACGUUUUCCGGCCCAGCCACAAUUUCAUAUUUCUCCCCCACUAAAUCAAGAGAAAUAAUAACAAGAUCGUCGUCAUCGUUUCCCAUAAGCCAAUGCAAUCUUCCAUUCACAAGCAUGCCCGAUUUGCACAUCGGGGGAUAAUUAGAACCCUUGUCGAAAUGCUCGAUUUUCUUCCAAGAAUCGGCCUUCAAACUAUAAACCUCCGUCUGAGAGGACGUCCUCCGAGUGGUGAAGAAAAUGCAGACGACCUUGUAAUCGUCUGCGCACUCGUCGUACCCCAAACCGUAUACUUUUUUGAAAGCUAAACGCGGGUAACGAAUUUUCUUGAUCUCUCUAGUACAAGGGUUCCAUAGAUAUAAAUUGUGAUCAUUCUCGAUGGUGAUGAGUACUAGCCCGUUGCAUGAUCCCACGAUACGAACCUCGUGCGUCGAAUCUCCCAUGCAAGAAUGCUCGCUGUCGAGAGUUGCGAUGAUGUCAUCGUUGAGUAACGACCGGAGAUAACGCGGGUCGAGUGUGGUGUUCGGACCGCGGAAUAAAGACAUGAAUCCGACGAUGUCCGGGGAUCGACGGAAGCUCGACACUAGCCUUCGAUUUGCGAGAUCUGUAUCGAUGUUCGAUUUAUUGAGGUGGCGUUUGAUGAAUUGUUUGCUGGAGAUGAAAGAACGCCAUUGUUUCGAAACGCACUUGAAUCUCAAAAGGGAUUUGGAUGGCAACCUGUGUAAUAUUUCUUCGAUUAUUUCUUCCGGAAGAUGGCGCGAGAUUCGUCGUUCGAUUUCUGUUCCCAUUUUCUGUGUUUCUUUUCUUAUUUCUUCUUCUUCUUCGCCGCUUUGAAUUUAACCUAGAUGACCUAGAUUUAGGAUAAGCAUCGGUAACAAACAUUUAAUUUUGAUUUUAUUAAACAGGCCCGGCUCGGCCCCAUAUAACAGCUGCCGUAAGAAUUUUUUUGUUUUUUUAAUAUUAAUAAUUUUAUUUAAUUAAAAUAUCUUUAAAGAUUAGUAACUUUCUUUUUCCGUUUAAACAGCAAUAUUGCUGUGAUUGACAGUAAUAUUAACGAAAUUACUGUUAAACACAAUAAAAUUAACUGAAUUAUAGUUUAACACAGUAAUAUUGCUAUAUUAAUCUCUAGCACAUUAAUAUUAACACAACAAAACUCAUUAUUAUUGUGUAAUAAAGUAAUAUUACUAUGUUGACCGUUCAACAAAUGUAAACAUAAUAAAAAAAAGGGUAAAUAGCAUUAAACCACCUAAACUUGCUCCAUUAGCAAACGUGGCGGAGAUUACCCGGUAAAUCCUGUAUGUAUGUGUGUUUAGUAGUUAUUUAUGUAGAUAUACAAUUUAAAAUCAAAUGGUGUGUUUCGCCUGAGGUAGAGAUAUCAUAAACCUUCGUUUAUCGGAUGUAAGUUUUAUUUUUAUUUUUGAGGAUAUUACCAAUUUCAUUAGUAAUAAAUAUAAUUAAUAUUAUGGUCCCGAUAAAAGUUUGCCCGUUCUUUUACAAAAAUACCCCUGUACUUUUGUUAGCUAAAAUUAUAGGGACCAAUGCGAGUGCUCACUGAGCUAUAGUGUUUACUGUCGAACUUUGCUGUCAGUUUUCCGAUCGUUCACAUAAGUUCACUAACGGUUUACAAAAGUUUACUCUCUAUUUUUAAGAAAUUCACAUAAAUUCUGUUUUUUGAAACAAUCGAUUUCCAAAAGUUCGCUACCAAUUUUAAAAAUUCCAUCCCAAGUUUCGAAGGUCCCGUUCUCAUUAUUUCGAAAGUUAGCUGCCAAAUUCGUCCUAUCUAACUUCAAAUUUUUAGAAGUUCACUGCUGAUUUUCAUAAGUUUAUUAUCAUAUUUCUAAUUACUAAACAGAAUCACUAUUAGGAAAUGAAUGCAGGAUCAAGAGAUUAAGGCUGAUAAUGGUAAUGAAAAUAUUCGACAACAAGUAUGAAGAAGAUUCGUUGUUUCAUAUAUCUUUCAGAACCCGUAAUCCCGCUCCGUUUAAGUAAAACGGGUGCGGGUAUUAACUUGCAUUAUACGGCCAUCUCAUAAUCCAUUUGCCUCUUGAAAUUGAAAAUUCCUGUAAUAGUAUAAAAGUUAAUUAGAUAAUAAAAAGAAAAAAGAAAAAAAACCAAAAAAAAAGCUUCUAAAUUACACUAGUUGAAACCCAAAACCCAAAACCCGAAAAUCCAAAACCCAGAAAAUUGCAUGUCGAAAACAUCAAGAAAAGAUCAAGUAUAAUACCACUUAAAAACAAAGGUGAAAAGAAAAAGUAUAUCAUUCACCAUCUAAAAAAGUGCAAAAUAAUCUUACUAAAACUACUCCUUGCCCUAGAUAAUUCGAUCAUCAUUAAUGACCAAGUUCUUCGUCGCCGAAUGGCAAAACUAAGCUUUCAACAUAAACAAGGGACUCGAUUAUAUCAUUAACUAUAGCACCUCGAAUCUCACGCAACUUAUUUUUUCCAUUAUAAACAACUAUACUCGAUCCAAAAGCCACUGCAAUAUCUCCAUUAUUCCUCAAACACAACGGCAUUGCACCUCUAAUACGGUUCAUUGGAUCAUCAAAAUCCGAAAGUGUCCAUAUCUUACCCCAACCUUGUGAUCGUCGGUCGACUCAUCGUACCCCAACCCGUAUAUAAAACGAUCCGUAUCAUGCCGCGCAUAUGCUCCUCCUUCUUUCGGAAAAGGAGGAAUUAUCUUUAAUUUUCUACUUGUAAGGUUUGAAAAAAUUUAUGGUCCCGAAUUCGUAUUAUACAGAGAUGUUAUCUGAAAUGUUAUGACACUUGAGACAACAUGCAGCGGAAAUAUAAAGAUUAAAAGACACUGUUCAGAAUUAAAAAUGUUCACAAGUAAAGACUUGUGAACUUGCCCUUUACAGGACGGAAAAAUAUAUUAAAAUCAGUAUUCCAAGAAUACAAACAGAAGAGUACGAAAACUUCUUCCUUAUGAAUGAAUCUUUUUCAAGAUCACUCUUACAAUCAAAUCUUGAUACUAAAAGAAAAAUAUUAAAAAUUCUAGAUUUCAAAUAAUGUACUCAUAAAGAGUACAUACAACAGAUCCUAGAAAACACACUAAAAUUCUCAAGAUUAAAACUUCAACUCUAUUUUGUUUCCUCGAAAUCUGCACAAAUCUUGAGUCUUGAGUUUGGUAUUUAUAGACUUGCCAAGCUUCCACUCCUCAGCCCAUGAUCUGCAAGAAAACCAACCACAAGAGCACUCAAGAUAAUGGGUUAGUGGGUUAGUUAGGAAGUUAAGAUAAAUUCCAUAAUUAAAUCCACUAAGCACUACUUAACCCUACUUAACCCACUAACUAAGAUUUAGUUUAGAGUUUAAGAAAAGUUAAAAACACAUUGUGAAAUUAAUUCACGUGUUUCAAACUCCCCCUUUUUAACUUUCUGAUCAAAACUAAAUCGUAGUCAAAGACUCCCCCUGAGAUAUUGCUUGAACUCCCCCUGAAUUUGAUACCAUUUGAAAAAACAUAGAAACAAUAAAUUAAAACCAAAUUCAGCAAGAUAGUCCAACAAAAAGAAAUAACCAAAGUGCAGUCCUAAACAAAAGUUCAGAGGGAAAAUAAACAAAACACAAACAAAAAAUAUUGUUCAUGAAAACAAUCUAAAGUAAAAUAUUCAGAGUCUCCAAUGUCUCCUCAGUAUCAGCUGCUGCUCCUCCUCCAUCACUAGAUCCACUGCUUUCUUCUUGAGCUUCCCCCUCUUUCUUUGCUUCCUCUUCAUUGACUCCUUGCUCUCUGCCUCGAGCAUCCAAAGGAUGAGAUGUUCCUGCUUCAGUUUCAUGAUCUUUUUCUCCCCCUUUUUGAUCAGAAAGAGCCUUCUGAAUCAUCUCCACCAUGGACUGAUGAUAGGUAAUCUGAGCUAGAGAAUGAGUAAGCUGCUGCAAUAGAAGAUCUCUAGGAACAGACACAAGAAGGUUAGAAGUGUUGUCAACAUGAGGUGCAACACCCUCAGUACCAAUGUUAUUUUGACCUGAUUCAGAUGAGAGAAAAUUAUCUCCAUUCCAAGGAAGAUCUUGAACAUGAGGAGCUCUCAGAAAAUUUUGAGAAACGGUGAUCAUGCCUUGUGGAGUGUGAAGAUAUUCUGAGUCAUCUUGGCCCAAAUUUUGAGAGAGUAAAAUGGAGUAGAUGAGAGAGGGAUAGGGAAGAUGAGUGGAGGGUGAAAUUUUCUGGGCAAGAUGACCAAUAGUAUCAAAGAACAGUUUACCAAAAUCCACUGGUAAUCCCAUCCCCAAUUUGUACAUGAGUACAGCAUGAGGUUUAGUUACCACAGAGACAUUUUUGGAUGGAAUCCAAUUCAUCACUGUGAGUCUAAAUAAGACAGAGUAAAAGGCAGUGAGUUGAGAGACUUGAAAUUUUCUUGGGUGUGCAGGCCAACUUCUUAAACGGUUUCCAGAAAUAACUUUGCAAAUCUCAGUAAAAUCACCAUAAUUAUCCUCAUCAAUCACAGUUGGAGUUUGUAAAUGAGAGUUGAUAAUUUUGGGAGAAAAAGAAAAAAUUGCAUUGCGCACAAAAACUGUGCCAAAGUUUGGAGAGUUUUUCUUUAAAAAGGAGGUUUGCAAAUUAGCAUAAAAUUCCUUCACAACCAAGGGAUCAUAAGAGCAGGCAAUCUCAACUAGGUUAAGGAUUUUUCUUUGGUGAAGAAAAGCAGUUAUCCUAUGCCUAUCAAAUUCUUCCUUAGAAAUUUUCUUUUCCUCAAUGAAUUGACAAUUCAUAACUUGAGGACUCAACAGUGAAUCAGAUUCAAAAUAAAAAUGAGGACUGAAGGCAUUGGUUACCUCAAAAGGAGUUGACAAAUUCUUCCCAUCCAAGUCUGGUUCUUCUUCUUCUGAGGAAUCAUCAUCUUCUGAAUCUUCAAGCUCAUCAGGGACAUAUGCUGGUUCAGGUGAUGCAGCAAGUGGGGCAACACCUUCUUCCUGCUGAGAAGAGUCUUCAGAGGAUUCACUGUCAGAAUCAGAGGAGGGCAAAUUUUUGCGAAAAGCAGCUAGAGGAACCUCCCAACUGUCAUCACUGUUCUCUGGUUCUUCAGUUUGAGGAGGAAUUGCAUCUGCUUGAACUGCUGCUUCUGCCAGGGUUUCCAGAGGAUCUCCAUGAGGUGCUGAUGGAGUUUCUUCGGUAGUGGUGAAAUCUUGAGCAUCCACAGAUGGAAUGUCUACAUGCUCUGCUGAUGACAUUCCAGAAAAAUCAGGCAUUUCUUCAUCUUGAUAAGGGCCAGCAUCCUCAGCAGCAUUCUGAGGAGCAUUUGCUGAAACAGUAGGUGCAGCAUCAUCUUCUGGAGCAUGUGCAGCAACACCUUCAGAAACAGGUGCAGCAGCAUCUUCUGGAGCAUGUGCAGCAACACCUUCAGAAACAGGUGCAGCAGCAUCUUCUGGAACAGAAUGUUGAGAGGCUGCUGUUGCCAUGCUGGGCUGUGACGUCUCCCCCUGAGUUGAUGCUGGAGAAGGUGAGUUGUUGGAUGAUGACUCGGAGGAGCUGGAGGACACGGCUUGAGCCUGUGGUGCAGCAAAGGUAGGAUCCCCUGCUUCAUCAUCAGUUUCUUCAUCUACCAGAUGAAGACCUCUUCGUGGAUUUGACUGAACUGGAGUGCGGCCACCUCUGCCUCCUCUUCUUCCACCUCUGCUUCCUCUUCGGGGAGAGUGUUCUCCUCUUCGGCGUUGUGGAACUGCAGUGUUCAGAUCUGGAAAAGGGUUCGUGCGCUUGGACCGGCGCGUUGGAAACCUUCCGGCGGUGGAAGAGGGACCCACAAAAUCAAAAUUAUCUGGGUCAAUCGGGUUCAGCUCAUCUCCGGGCUCAAUGUAGCUGAUAGGUAGAGCAUCGAAGUUGAUUGGAUGAACGAUGAUGGCCAGAUUUGGGUCUGCUGGUACAGGUGCUGCAGCAUCGUUGUGAACAUCACCAUCGACGGCUGGAGGAGGAUUUCUAGGUGGGGAUGCCAUGAUACAGUAGAUAAAGGAAAAUAGCUUCUUUGUGCUUUUGAUUUUUGAGUGUGAGUUUUUGAGAAAAGAAGCACUAAAUUUAUAAGCCCUAAUUUUUGCUGAAGAAAGAAAGAAAAAAUUGAAGUGGAGAAGGUGAAGAAGUGGUGUCCGUUUUUCUUGGGGAGAGUGUGAUUAAGGAGAAUAAAAUUUCCUUGGCAGUUUAAAGAAGAACCGUGACACAUGGCACAAUAAGGAGUGGACUUAGUGGAAAAAUAAGGGAUUAACCCAUGUACCCAUGACCCAUAUAAAUAGGGAUAAUUCAAUAAAAAUAAAAAUAAAACCGUAGCACUCAUGAAAUAUUCACAAAAAUAGAAAAACACAUUUAUUAAUGAUUAAUAGUGAGAAAAAAAUAGCUGACAGGCAUAGAUACAAUUAUAUAUAUAUUUAUUAUAUUUCUUUAUAUAUAAAUAAAUAUAUAUAUAUAUAUAUAUAUAUAUAUAUAUAUAUAUAUAUAUAUAUAUAUAUAUAUAUAUAUAUAUAUAUAUAUAUAUAUAUAUAUAUAUAUAUAUAUAUAUAUAUAUAUAUAUAUAUACAUAUAUAUAUAUAUAUAUAUAUAUAUAUAUAUAUAUAUAUAUAUGUAUAUAUAUAUAUAUAUAUUGUGUACACAUCCCGAUAUAUUUUCUGGAUAUAUGAAUACCUCUCAUAUAUCUAUAGCCUAUAGAUAAGAUAUCAGCCAGCUGAUCUUCUGUAGGAGAUGUACUUUAAGCACACAAUAUUUUUCUCAACUAUAUCACGAAAAAAUGAAGUUUAAUAUCUAUGUGUUUAGUUUCAAGNNNNNNNNNNNNNNNNNNNNNNNNNNNNNNNNNNNNNNNNNNNNNNNNNNNNNNNNNNNNNNNNNNNNNNNNNNNNNNNNNNNNNNNNNNNNNNNNNNNNUUUUUUGUAUAAUAUAAUAUAUAUAUAUAAACUCUUAUUUUCAAGUCAAACAAUUCACAUGGAACAUGAUCAAGUGUAAGAUAUUUGAUGAGGUGCUGCAACACGUUUCAGGACAUGUUUAUUGAGUACACAUCCCGAGAGAUUUUCUGAGUUUUGAAAACCUCUCAUAAUCUAAUGCCUUUGUAAAGAUGUCAGCCAGCUGAUCUUCUGUAGGAAUGUACUUUAAGCACACAAUAUUUUUCUCAACUAUAUCACGAAUAAAAUGAUGUUUAAUAUCUAUGUGUUUAGUUCGUGAGUGUUGAACAGGAUUUUUUGAAAUGUCAAUAGCACUUGAAUUAUCACAAUAUAUGGUCAGGGUAUCACUGGUUAACCCAUAAUCCCCCAACAUUUGUUUCAUCCAAAUUAGUUGACCACAACACCCUCCAGCAGCUACAUAUUCUGAUUCAGCUGUUGAAAGAGAUACACAGUUUUGCUUUCUACUAAACCAAGAAACUAGAUUAUUCCCCAAAAAGAAACAUGCACCUGAGGUGCUUUUUCUGUCACUAAUAUCCCCAGCCCAAUCAGAAUCACUAAAGCCUAUCAAGUUUGUAUUUGUGUCUUUGAAAAACUGAAUCCCUAAGUCUACUGUACCUGCAACAUACCUAAUAAUCCUCUUCACAGCUUUAAGAUGAGUGACCUUGGGAUUAGCUUGAUAUCUGGCACACACACAAACACUAAACAUGAUGUCAGGCCUGCUUGCUGUUAGAUACAGAAGGCUUCCAAUCAUGCUUCUGUAGAGAGUGUUGUCGACAUCUUCUGCAACAUCAUCCUUAGACAGUUUUUGACUGGAACCCAUUGGAGUUUUCAUGUGCUUGGCUGAUUCCAACUCAAACCUUUUGACCAGAUUGAGAGCAUACUUCUUUUGAUUCACAAACAUUCCUUCACCUGUUUGUUUGAUUUGGAGUCCUAAGAAGUAAUUCAACUCCCCUACCAUACUCAUUUCAAAAGUGUGAGACAUAGAAUCUACAAAAGACUGCAAAAGGUUAGCACAAGUAGAGCCAAAAACAAUGUCAUCAACAUAUAUCUGAACAAUAAUGAUAUGAUUAUUAGUUCUUCUAACAAACAAGGUUCUGUCUGCCUCCCCUCUUUUGAACUGUAUUUCAAGUAAGAAGUCAGUGAGUCUUUGAUACCAAGCUCUAGGAGCUUGUUUAAGACCAUACAAUGCCUUCUUAAGCUUGAAAACAUGAUUAGGUUUGGCAGAAUCUUCAAAGCCCUUUGGCUGUUCUACAUAUGCUUCUUCAUUUAAAACUCCAUUCAGAAAUGCACUUUUGAUAUCCAUCUGAUACAGUUUGAUUUUAAGAAAGCAGGCUAUAGCAAGAAGUAAUCUAAUAGAUUCAAUUCUAGCUACUGGAGCAAAGGUCUCAUCAAAGUCUAUACCCUCAAUUUGAGUGUAUCCUUGUGCUACCAACCUAGCCUUGUUUCUAACAACUGUACCUUUUUCAUCAGUUUUGUUUUUGUAGAUCCACUUAGUUCCUAUCACAUUUACAUGGCUUGGUCUGGGAACUAAGUACCAAACAUCAUUCCUAAUGAAUUGAUUCAACUCUUCAUGCAUUGCAUUGACCCAGAAUUCAUCCUUCAGAGCUUCUGCAAUAUUCAUUGGUUCCACUGAAGACACAAAACAAGUGGUUCCAGUUAGUGCACAUUCAGAAGAUAAAUUUGCAAACCUUACCAUAUCUCUGUAGUUUACUCUCUCUUUUCUUCUGGUCCUUAUUCCAUCAAAGAUAUCUCCCACUACUUGAGUUGAUGGGUGAUUUUUCUGAAUUCUGCUUGAUGGUUCCUUUCUGCAGACAUCAAAAGUUGGCUGCAAUUCAGUCUCUGUAGGAUGUGUUGAGUCAGAUGUGGUGACACUUGGCUCAACACCUUCUUCUCUUAAGACUGGACUGUUUGUGUCUGGGCUCUCUGUGGUAGAAGUGUCUUCUUCUGUUGUUUCUCUUUCAGCAAUUAAGUCAUCAACUUCAUCUUCAGCUGUUUUACUGCGGAGAUCAGCAAAGUCAUCAAAUACCACAUUUACAGAUUCAAUAAUGGUUCGAGUUCUUAGAUUAUAUACUCUAUAAGCAUGACUGUUAUUAGAGUAUCCCAUAAAUAAACUCAAAUCACUUUUUGAAUCAAACUUAGCUAGAUGAUCUCUAUCAUUUAGAACAUAGCAGACACAUCCAAACACAUGCAUGUAUUCUAGAUUAGGUUUCUUACCAUAAAGAAUUUCAUAUGAAGUCAUCAUAGAUCCUAAUCUUAGGUACACACGGUUUGAGAUGUGACAGGCUGUGUUGACAGCCUCAGCCCAAAACCUCUUAGACAGAUUUUUUGCACUCAUCAUCACCCUAGCCAUUUCCUGGAUGGUUCUGUUUUUUCUUUCAGCAAUGCCAUUUUGCUGAGGAGUUUUUGGAGCAGAAAAUUCAUGUUUUAUACCCUUUUUAUUACAAAAUGCAACAAACAAACCAUUCUCAAAUUCUUUUCCAUGAUCAGAUCUUAUCCUACGAACAGAAACUUGAAAUUGAGUUUUAACAAACCUGUACAAAUUUUUAAAUACAUCAAAAGUGUCUGAUUUUUCUCUUAAAAAAUACACCCAAGUAUACCUUGAAAAAUCAUCAACACACACAAAGACAUAUUUUUUACCACCUAAGCUUUCUACCUCUAUAGGACCCAUAAGAUCCAUAUGUACUAGUUCAAAACAAAUAGUGGUACCAACAUGUUGCAACACUUUGUGUGGUACUCUGGUUUGUUUUCCCUUCUGGCACAUUCCACAUAUAGGAAUAUCCUUGAUCUUGAGAUCUGGUACUCCUCUUAUAGCAUUGUACUUGUUGAGCAGCUUCAGAUUCUUGAAAUUUGUGUGGCCUAGUUUCUGGUGCCACAGCUCUACUUCACUUACUCUUGAGCUCUUGCAUGAGAUGGUGUCACCUGUUUGAUAGCAAUUAUCCAUUGAUCUGGAACCUGUAAGUACACAAUGAUUUUGAUUAUCAAACACAGAACAACAGUAUUUAUCAAAUUCUACACGUAGAUCAUCAUCACACAAUUGACUGAUACUGAUGAGGUUUGACCCCAAUCCUUCAACAUGUAAAACAUUUGAGAGUUUUGGAAGCCCCUCAAUACUGAGUGUUCCACGUCCAACCACUUUGCCUUUAGCUCCUCCUCCAUAGGUUACACGUCCUCCAUUAAGUGUGUGGUAGUUUGAUAGAAAUUCCUUUGUUCCAGUCAUGUGCCUAGAGCAUCCACUAUGAAAGUACCAUGAACCUGAAAUGUUAGCAUUUAAAGAGGUGUAUACUGCUUUGCACAAAAGUUUACCUUUGGGAGUCCAUAUUUUACACUCCUUUUUGGUAGAUUCUACCUUUUUCUUUGAGGUGUUUCUUGAAGUGUUGUGGCUUAUUUUAUACAACAUUUUGUCACUGCUGAGUUUUUCACAAAAUGGACGAAUGUGCCCUGGUGAGAAACAGUAAUGACAAACAUAACCUCUUGUUCUGGAAUCUGGAGUGGUGACUGUGGACUUCCUGCAAUCCUUUCUGUUUGCACCCUUUUCUUUUACAAAGACAAUUUCUUUCUUCUUAACUGGCUUCAUUUGUUUUUUGAACCCUAGCCCUUCAUGUUUGUAGUGCUUUUCCAUUGACACAAUUUCUUCGAGCUUAGUUGUGCCAGUGUUCAUCCUCUUGAUUGCUAGAGUUGCCUUUUUGAGUUCUUCUUUCACUUUUGCCAGUUCAAGAUCCUUCUUGGUGAUUCCAACCUCCAAAUGUGUGAUUGUUUCUUUGAGGGAGGAAUUUUCCUUGUUGGCUGCAUCUAGAGCUUGAGUCUUCUUCUCCAAGUUUCUGAUCAGCUUUUUACAUAUUUCUUCAUCAUCACUGACUGCUUCAUUACUGGAUUCUGCUGCAUUCACAGAAAUAGAGUUUAAACAUGUAUAAUGAUCAGUAUUUAACUCACAAAUUGAAAGUGUUUCAGAAAGUGUUGCAGCAUCCAGGGAGACUCCUUGGGAUUCUGUUUCAGAGGAACUUCCAGUAAGAUAUCUGACAGAAAGAGCUUGUUUAGAGGAUUGCUGUUCCUCUGUUUGUUCAGGUUGUUCUUCCUCCUCAUCACUGACAGCACAAAUCAAACUCAUUCCUCUCCUUCUCAAGGUAUUUGCACAUUCAUUAGCAUAAUGUCCAAAUCCUGAACAGGCCCUGCAUUUAAUAUGAUCCAAGUUAGGUGGUUCAGAAUUUGAACGAAUAAAAGAAGAAUUUUUUAAAUUGUUUUGAGAAGGUGUUUGAGGAAAUGUUCUCUGUGGAAUAGAUCUGUUCCGGGGCUGAGUUUGUCGAUUUUGUGGAGACCCUUCUGAAAAUAACUGCCUGGGCUUGAUUCCACUUCGUCUGUACGCCCUAUUGAAUUUCUGAAUCUGAAAUGCCACAUUGUUGAGGCAUUCUUCUGCAUCAUCAUCAUAUUCCGGAGCAACAUCUUCCUUCUCUAAUUCUGCCUGGAGUGCAUUUGAGAUAGCCUUUCCUUUCUCCUUUCUUUGAUCUUCGAAGUUCAUCUCUCUGGACUUGAGACUUCCUAUUAAUUCGUCCAGCCGUAGAGAUGAUGUAUCUUUAGCCUCCUCAAUAGCAGUAACCGUCAUGCUGAACCUAUCUGGAAGAGUUCUCAAUACCUUAUUCACUAGUGUCUCGUUGCUCAAAGGACCACCUAAGGAUUGAAAUUCAUUAGCCAAAUCAAUCAACUUCUCAUUGUACUGAGAAAUUGUUUCAGUUUCCUCCAUUCUCAGUCUCUCAAAUUUGGAAGAGAGUAAUCUGAGCUUGGUUCUUUUGACACUAUCUGAUCCCUCACAAUGAAGCUGAAGAAUUUCCCAAGCAUCCUUUGCAGAAGUGCAUACAGAGAUUAAUUUAAACAUUGUUAAAUCUACUGAAUUGAAAAUUGCAUUUAACGCCUUUGAGUUUUGGUUAGCAUUUGAUAGAUCGUCUGGUGUCCACCGUAAUUCUGGAGUUGGAAAAACAUCUCCGUCCACAUCUGUGAUAGUUGGUGGCUUCCAUCCAGUGAGAAUAGAUCUCCAUGCUCUCUCAUCAAUGGCUUUGAUAUACGCCCUCAUCUUGACUUUCCAGUAGGUGUAGUUUGUGCCAUCAAGUACAGGAGGUCGCAUAGAAGCAGUCAUCUGAGUAUCCAUCACGAAUUCGUUUCUGUAAAGAAAAUAGGAACAAACACUUAGUAUACGUCAAGUGUUGGCUCUUGAUGCCAAUUGAAAAAAUUUAUGGUCUCGAAUUCGUAUUAUACAGAGAUGUUAUCUGAAAUGUUAUGACACUUGAGACAACAUGCAGCGGAAAUAUAAAGAUUAAAAGACACUGUUCAGAAUUAAAAAUGUUCACAAGUAAAGACUUGUGAACUUGCCCUUUACAGGACGGAAAAAUAUAUUAAAAUCAGUAUUCCAAGAAUACAAACAGAAGAGUACGAAAACUUCUUCCUUAUGAAUGAAUCUUUUUCAAGAUCACUCUUACAAUCAAAUCUAGAUACUAAAAGAAAAAUAUUAAAAAUUCUAGAUUUCAAAUAAUGUACUCAUAAAGAGUACAUACAACAGAUCCUAGAAAACACACUAAAAUUCUCGAGAUUAAAACUUCAGCUCUAUUUUUUUUCCUCGAAAUCUGCACAAAUCUUGAGUCUUGAGUUUGGUAUUUAUAGACUUGCCAAGCUUCCACUCCUCAGCCCAUGAUCUGCAAGAAAACCAACCACAAGAGCACUCAAGAUAAUGGGUUAGUGGGUUAGUUAGGAAGUUAAGAUAAAUUCCAUAAUUAAAUCCACUAAGCACUACUUAACCCUACUUAACCCACUAACUAAGAUUUAGUUUAGAGUUUAAGAAAAGUUAAAAACACAUUGUGAAAUUAAUUCACGUGUUUCAAACUCCCCCUUUUUAACUUUCUGAUCAAAACUAAAUCGUAGUCAAAGACUCCCCCUGAGAUAUUGCUUGAACUCCCCCUGAAUUUGAUACCAUUUGAAAAAACAUAGAAACAAUAAAUUAAAACCAAAUUCAGCAAGAUAGUCCAACAAAAAGAAAUAACCAAAGUGCAGUCCUAAACAAAAGUUCAGAGGGAAAAUAAACAAAACACAAACAAAAAAUAUUGUUCAUGAAAACAAUCUAAAGUAAAAUAUUCAGAGUCUCCAAUGUCUCCUCAGUAUCAGCUGCUGCUCCUCCUCCAUCACUAGAUCCACUGCUUUCUUCUUGAGCUUCCCCCUCUUUCUUUGCUUCCUCUUCAUUGACUCCUUGCUCUCUGCCUCGAGCAUCCAAAGGAUGAGAUGUUCCUGCUUCAGUUUCAUGAUCUUUUUCUCCCCCUUUUUGAUCAGAAAGAGCCUUCUGAAUCAUCUCCACCAUGGACUGAUGAUAGGUAAUCUGAGCUAGAGAAUGAGUAAGUUGCUGCAAUAGAAGAUCUCUAGGAACAGACACAAGAAGGUUAGAAGUGUUGUCAACAUGAGGUGCAACACCCUCAGUACCAAUGUUAUUUUGACCUGAUUCAGAUGAGAGAAAAUUAUCUCCAUUCCAAGGAAGAUCUUGAACAUGAGGAGCUCUCAGAAAAUUUUGAGAAAUGUGUUUCUUAUUAAUUUUGAUGUGGUUGAGUUUUUGGUUUAAUUUUAGUUUCACCUUUUAUACAUAGCAGAUUAGGCUUGACACUAAUCUUUAUGUACUUUAAGUAUUUUUUUAAAUUAGUUUAAGGUACAAAUAAUUAAAGUGCCUCUAAUUGAGGUUAUGAUAUUGAUCACAUAAAGGUGUGUUAGAAAUAUAUAUUGAACUGGAAUUCAUUUUUCCUUUUUUAAUUUGCAAACUGGAAAACAAAAGUGUUAUUCAAACACACUCAGUAGAUUUGUUAAUGGGAAACUUAAAGUUUUCAUCCCUCGAGUUUGCACUGAUUCUACAUUUGGUCCCCCUGUUCAAAAAAAAAAUACAUUUGGUCCUUCGUGUUUUAAUAAUUUAAAACUUUGAAGCUAAGGAAACAAGAAUGAUAAAGAAAAGAAUUAAUGAACACUCAAUAACACAUACUUCCAAACUACUCAACCAAUAUCUAAAACAUGAGUGGAAAAGAUAAAAGUAUAAAUAUCUUCUUAUGGACUAUCAAUUUCUUGACAAUACAAAAAGAGGAAUUGAUACCAUUGAAAACAUAAAAUAAAAUAGAAAAUAAAAAAUAAAAUAAUUCUAGACCGAAACCAAUUCCUUCCCAUACGAAGAUCAUAUAGGCGCGCGAAGUGCCUUGCAGCUAAGACCUAUUUGGUCAUGGGUUCGUGACACCAGAAGAAGAAUUGAUGAACCAAUAACUAUCCUUUUGUUUGUCGCCAAAUGGAGAAACUAAGCUUUCAACAUAGCAAACGGGCUCAGAUGUAGCAUCAACCAUAUAAACUUUGCGUACACACCACACAUUCUUACACCACACAUGUUUACACCACACAUUUGUUCCGUUAUGUAUUCCGUGUUUCUUCGAAGGCCACAUCUUCAUUGCAUCAAGAAAAUUCGAACAUGUCCAAAUCUUAGUCCAAGAUUCCGUCUGACCAUACUCGAUCAUAACCCAAACAUUUCGUUGACCCUUAACACUAGAAGUAAUUAAACAUAGGUAUCCUCCCAAAUUAAUCAAACCCGGUCCAAAAAAAAUAUUUUCCGGCACGUUUUCCGGCCCAGCCACAAUUUCAUAUUUCUCCUCCACUAAAUCAAGAGACAUUAUAACAAGAUAGUUAUCAUCGUGUCCCAUAAGCCAAUGCAAUCUUCCGUUCACAAGCAUGCCCGAUUCACACAUCGGGAGAUAAUUAGAGCCCUUGUCGAAAUGCUCGAUUUUCUUCCAAGAAUCGGCCUUCAAACUAUAAACCUCCGUCUGAAAGGCUGCCUUCCGAGUGAUGAAGAAAAUGCAGACGACCUUGUAAUCGUCUGCGCACUCGUCGUACCCCAAACCAUAUACUUUUUUGAAAGCUAAACGCGCGUACCGAAUUUUCUUGAUCUCUCUAGUACAAAGGUUCCAUAUAUAUAAAUUGUGAUCAUUCUCGAUGGUGAUGAGUACUAGCCCGUUGCAUGAUCCCACGAUAAGAAACUCGUACGUCGAAUCUACCAUGCAACAAUGCUCGCUGUCGAGAGUUGCGAAGAUGUCAUCGUUGAGUAACGACCGGAGAUAACGCGGGUCGAGUGUGGUGUUCGGACCGCGGAAUGAAGACAUGAAUCCGACCAUGUCCGGUGAUCGACGGAAGCUCGACACUAGCCUUCGAUUUGCGCGAUCUGUAUCGAUGUUCGAUUUCUUGAGGUGGCGUCUGAUGAAUUGUUUGCUGGAGAUGAAUGAACACCAUGAUUUUGAAACGCACUUGAAUCUCAAAAGGGAUUUGGAUGGCAAGCUGUGUAAUAUUUCUUCGAUUAUUUCAUCCGGAAGAUGGCGCGAGAUUCGUCCUUCGAUUCGUGUUCCCAUUUUUUGUGUUUCUUUUCUUAUUUCUUCUUCUUCUUCUUCGCCGCCUUUGAAUUUAACCUAGAUGACCUAGAUUUAGGAUAAGCAUCGGUAACAAACAUUUAAUUUUGAUUUUAUUAAACCGGCCCGGCCCGGCCCCAUAUAACGCCCCAUACCCGGCCCGUCCCUGACCCAUAAGAAAAUAUAAUUUUUUAUAUUAAUAAAUUAUUUAAUUAAAAUAUCUGUAAAGAUUAGUAUUUUAUAAUAUAAAAAAGGUAUAAAAUAUAUAAACGGGAUGGAUACGGGGAUUACCCAGUAAAAAUAGUUGGUGUAAAUAACCUGGUGUAGCAUAUAACUUCCCAAGUUGUAGAAAAAGUUCUAUAUGUUUCUUCUCUUUUUGAUUGGAAACGAAUCCCAACUCACGGGAUUAAGCGUUUACCGUCGAACUUUGCUGGAUCGUUCACAUAAGUUCACUGACGGUUUACCUCUAUUUUUAAGAAAUUCAUUGCCAUUGUUUUUUUUUUUUGAAAUAAUCGAUUUCCAAAAGUUAUCUACCAAUUUUAAAAAAUCCAUCCCAAGUUUCACAGGUCCCGUUCUCAUAUUUUCGAAAGUUAGUUGCCAAAUUCCGUCCUAUUUAACUUCAAAUUUUUAGAAGUUCACUAAUAAUUUUCAUACGUUUACAAUCAUAUUUCUAAUUGCUAAACAGAACCAUUAUUAGGAAAUGAAUGCAGGAUCAAGAGACACUAGUAGAAAAAUGGUUUUUUCCUACGAUCAUUAACCGUAGCAAAAUGUAUCAAAUUCGUACUAUGCCAAGGGUAAAAAACUGAAAGUGAAAACAACAUUCCCAUAUCAGUACUUAAAGUUACUCAGGUUGCAUAGUAUAACAUAAAGCUCACCUACCUCAUAAACAAAAUUCAUAAGCAAGAACUGAAAUGGCUAAAUUAAAAAGAAAAAUAUGGCAAAUUACGGCCACCCCUUGAUGUAAGGCCAAAUUACGAAAAAAAUCACUUAUAUUUGGAUAAUUACAGCAUUAACCAAACAUGAGGAGGAGAGGUAUUUUCAUAAUUCGACCUUACCUCAGGAUUCGCCGUAAUUAAUCUUAGAUAAUAAAUUAGUCCUCCAUAGUCUCUGGUUUCUCAAUGGGAAAACCAAAUUCACCUGUAAUGAUUCGACCCGAUUUCUCAACGGGGAAGAACAGAGUUUCCAUAUACGGAACCAACCCAAAUCCAAAAACCUUUAUCUCUUCAAACGCAUCAAACGUAUUCUUACAAGGGUUGUAGACUACUAAUCCAUCGUCUUUUGGUUCAUUCGUUCGAAUCACAAUCUCGUUUCCGACCAAACACUGCGGCUCAAUCCGCCAAGUUGACUUUGCCACAUUCACAACAUUCUCAACAUUCACCAACUCGUUCCAUGAAUGAUUGUCGAUGCCCUUUCCCUUUGUCCAAAUCCGAACACUCGUCUCGUUACUCCCUUUAUAACAAUACAUGCCCAAACAUCCCAUCAAUUCAACCACGUGAAUCGAUUUGGUGUCGUUUAAAAUUUCCGGUUUCUCCAAGAUCUUGAACUCGUCGUCUCUGGGAUCGUAAUACACUAUCUGUGGCUUGUGCGUCGAAGCCCAAUAGCUAACCCCGUCAACACAGACCCCCAAUCCGUACUCUACACGGUAAUCAUUGUACUUAGUUUCGUACCUUUUUUCCAGCAUUGUCCAGGAGUUGUUGUUACAAGAAUAAACCGAGUAAUCGUACGAUUUCGCGAUAACAACCUUAAAAUCAUCGGUGAUCGGAUCAUGGCAAAUCCCAAAAGCCGCCUCACCGCAGUAAAACGUGGCCUGAAAAUAUGUGUGUGUUCGAGUCGAUGGAUUCCACAGCGCGAAAUUCUUAUUCGAAAGGUCGGAAAUUAGUAUCAGCCCUUCGCAAAAGCAUAAAACCGUUGCCCAUAAAUAGGGGCCGAAAACUUGUUGUAAAGUUUCGAUUUUUUGACCUUUCUCUUCAAAUUUAACCAAAGAAAACCCGUAUGAAUUAACCUCUGAAUUCUUGAGUAGAAAAAGAUUCUCCGAGCCCUUCGAUUGAAGCUGUCGGAGAUGAUGUUUACGUACGAACACAGGAUCUGAAAUCAGAAUAUUCCAUGACUUGCAUACUGAUUUGAAUCGGAGAAGAGAUUUAACUGAUAAUUUUAACAGCACAAUUUCUAUGAUCUCGAUCGGAAGAGCCAUCGUGUUUUUGGAGUUUGGAACCAUGGGCUAGGGCUUCAUAAUUUUAGUGCCUCUACGAGAAAGUCAAAAUUAUAAUUUUGGUCCUCUAUGUUUAUAUAUUUAGAGAUUUAGUCUUCUAAGUUAUCGUAUUUCAAUUUCACAUGCAAUAAUUUUGCAAAUUUAGCAUUUCUGGUCUUCUCUUAACUGCUUGAACUCAAUUUUACCAUAUGGCGAACGAAUUUUACAGAUUUUGCUUAUACUGACUUUUAAAAAUGAUAAUCUCAUCAUCUAAUGUUUGUGGAAUUAGGUCAUUAUGAGGUACAUUGUAGCAGUGUACUGUUGUGUUGAGGUAUUUUGCUUAUAAUGUUUGUGGAAUUAGGUCAUUAUGAUUGUAGUUUGAUGAUGAAAGAAUUGGUAUGUGAUUUGCUUGUAAUGGAUAUGGUGGAUUUUGUUGAUGAUGAUAGUGUUUGUUGAGCAUAUCCACUCCAGAGAUUCAAAAGAAGAUGGAAUUGCUAAGCCUCGAGUCUGCCUAUGAUUAUGAUAAUAUACUUGGAGAAGAUAUUAAAGUAGAUGAAGAAAUUGAAACGAAUGUGGAGCAAGAGACUGAAACAAAUGUCGAGGACUGCAUUGAAAGCAAUAUGACAUAUGGUAGUGCUAGUGGGGAGCAGUUAUAUGGAGAAAACUCUGACCAUUCUGAUAGGUUGUAUGAUAGUGAGUAUGAUGAUGACCUAUAAAUGUCGAUGCGGAUAUUGAAUGGGAUGGAGAUGUUAUCUACCAAACGGCAAGUGCAAAUGCUCCAACAAUUCAAACUCAGAAGAGAGAAGGAAAAAGUGAAUGCAAUUUUGCAUAUCCCCUAUUGUUCAAUCCUAAAGUAGACACGAAAGAUCCACAAUUUGUGGUUUGGCUAUGUUUUGCAUCUACUCAAAUUUUAAGAGAAGCCGUGAGGAGGCAUUCUAUGAAGCAUGGAAGAGACAUAAUAUUUGAUUAUUUUCCAUGAUUUUCCUCGUCUAAUAAAAUGAAAAGAAGGUUGAAAUUCAAACACCCAUAAAUCGUACAAUUGAAUAUUAAACACAAAGAAUGAAACACACAAAUAAUCUUACCUUUGUUGAAAAGCUUUUGCCUUUGAAGGAAAAACGCAGCCCUAAUUUAGAGCUCAAUUGUGUAAUCGUGGGUUAUAAGAAUCAGAAGAUUUGGGGACAUGGGUGCAACAUUAUGUAUAUACCCUGAAAGAACAAAAAUGCCCUUUAAGUUGACAGAGACGUGAGAAAACUGGUGAAAAAUACGCCAGAAAGUUCCAUUUGGCGCAAAGUGCAACUAUAAUGAAAUCUUGAAGGGGAUAGUCUCAUUUUUUGAAUUUGUACGGUAGAGAGUGAGAAAACUAGAAAUUUCUAGGGGGCGAAGUACAUUUUGUCUUACGAAUAAUGAAUAUUUUGUUUUAUUUAUGUUCAUUAAUUAGGAAAUAAAACGUCAAUAAUGACAGUAUAAAAUAAAGGGUAAAUAGCAUGUAAAUAGCAUUAUACCGCCUAAACUUUGCAUAUUUUUGCAGAUUACCACCUUAAAAAAAAAAGAAGAAAAAGAAAAAAAACUCUAAUCCCAACUGAACUCGCACGUUACCAUUGUUUUCUCUCGCACGUUACCAUUGUUUUCUCAUUUCCAGACCGGAAUUGGACACACGGGCGUUGCACAUGGGAUUUGGAAGGGUUUUUUCCUUCGUUUCAGAUUCAAUCCCCCAUUUCAUGUCAUCUAUGCAACUAAGCUUUAUACUCUCUCUCUCUCUCUCUCUCUCUCUCUCUCUCUCUCUCUCUCUCUCUCUCUGUCACACACACACACACACACACACACACACACGAGAAAUUCAAAAUUCACUCACGUAUUUGUACAGAGUCGUCCUCACCUCCAAAAAGCACAUACCACCGUAUCAUAUCAAAAGUACCAGUUCCACCAGUAUACACAUGUUUUGGUUUAGUAAUGGUAUGAAAUUUUUCAUUACCAUAAGUACGGUUGGUAGACGCAGGGCCGGUGCCCGGGGGACCUAAUACGAACACAAUAAAUUAGGCCCCUGCAUUUUUUUUCGUGUCUGUAUACAUUCAAAACUCUGACAUGUUGUCUUCGGUGAUGUGUGCUAUGGACUGCUUCCAAAGCACAAAAAAAAGACAUACAUUAAUAAGAAGUAAUCCCAACCGAAACAUUAACCGAUACGAAAUUAGACCCUUCAAAAAGAGAUACAAAUAGAGACUAAAUAAGUAUCUAUCUAUUCAAGCAAAACUAAACAUCACCCCUAAAAGUUAACACUCUCCGGCCUCGGUUUCUGUUUCUAAAUGGGAAAACCAAACGGACCCAUUACAACUUGUGACGAUUUCUCAACGGGGAAGAACAGACUUUCCAUAUACGGAACCAACCCAGCUCGCCCGAAAACCUUUACGCCUUCAAAUGCAUCAAACCUCUUCUUACACGCGUGGUAGACUACCAAUCCAUCAUAUUUCGGUUCUUUCGUCCGAAUCACAAUCUUAUCUCCGACCAAACACUGCGGCUCAAUCCGCCAAGUUGACUUGCCCACAUUCUCAACAUUCUCGACAUUCACCAACUCCUUCCAAGAAUGAUUGUCAAUGCCCUUUUCCUUUACCCAAAUCCGAACACUCUUCUCGUCACUCCCUUUGUAAACAUACAUGCCCAAAGACCCCAUUAACUCAACCAAGUACAUCGACGAUUUCCCGCCGUCUAAAUCUUCGGGUUUCUCCAAAAUCUUGAACUUGUCGUCUCUCGGAUCGUAAUACACUAUCUGUGGAGGGUGCGUCGACGCCCAAUAGCUAGCCCCGUCAACGCACACUCCGGCCUCUUUACUGUUCGCUAGACGAUAACCGAUGCGUUUGUUUUCGUAAUUUUGUUCCACCAUCACCCAAGAAUAAACAGAGUAGCAGUACCAACCGACAACAACAACCUUAAAAUCGGCGGUGAUUGGAUCGCGACAAAGCCCAUAAGACGCCUGAUGGAGGUACGACUUAGGGUUAAGCAAUGUCUGUGUUCGAGUUGAUGGAUUCCACAACGCGAAAUUAUCUUUUGAAAUGUCGGAAAUGAGUAUCAGCCCUUCGCAGAAGCAUAAGACAGUUGCCCACAGAUAAGGGCCGAACACUUGUUGUAAAGUUUCGAUUUUUCGACCUUUUUUUUCCAAUUUAACCAAUGAAAACCCGUAUGAAUUAACCUCUGAAUUCUUGAGUAGAAAAAGAUUCUCUGAAUCCUUAGAUUGAAGCUGUCGGAGAUGAUGUUUACGGACGAACACAGGAUCUGAAAUCAGAAUAUUCCAUGACUUGCAAACUGAUUUGAAUCGGAGAAGAGGUUUAACUGAUAAUUUUAACAGGACAAUUUCUAUGAUCUCGAUCGGAAGAGCCAUGGUGUUAUCGGAGUUUGUAGCGGCGGCGGCGUGGUUUUGGAGUUUAUUGUUUGUGUAGAAUGCGUCUGAUAGGGGGAAUGACCUAGAAAUUUAACCUAGAUAGUAAAGGGUGAAUUACCGUUUUCGUCCUUAGGUUUCAUUUGAUUUCAUUUUUGGCCCCUGUUGUUUUAAGUGUACAAGUUAGGAAUAAUUACAGUUUUCGUCCCUAUACUUUACUACUAACAUGAUUUUAAUCCAACUUUUGCACCUAUGAAAUUAGUCCCCAAACUCACAUUUUUUUGACACUUUUGGUUCGGUCGUUAAGUUUCCAAGUUAAGUUGGACGAAAUUGUCUGGUGCGUUGCACGUGAUAUUCAUUUGGCAAUCAAGGUCUAGCUGGAACACACCCACAUUAAACCUCACACUCUUUCCUAAUUUAUCUAACCCAAAUUCUUAAUUUUUCUUUUACUCUCUCUAUCCCGCAGACCCUAGCAAACCUAUAUUCCCAAUUUUUUCAAUCUUUGACGCCAAUGUCAAACGUCAUGCAGAUGACCCCUUGUACUUUCAUUUUUCCUUUCAUUUUUGCAGGACUCUUGAAGUUUGACACAUACGGUUAAUUUUAACGGAAAAAGUAACGGAAAUUACAUACAUAAACUACAAAUGGUUUUAUGUGCAGAUAUUACGAGCACAUGAGGGUCAUCUGCAAAAGCUUGUAACCACAUGAUAUUAAUUGCUAUUUACCCUAAAUUUAAUCAUUGGACUUCAACUCUAAUUUAAUCACCGACGAAUUCUAUGUUACGCACCUCGACUCUACCCAAUCCCAUUUUACCCCUUCGCGCUCUAAAUUAUAUUAUUACUACUAUAUCCUACAUGUACUCAGUUCGAUUGUGUCAGUAGCAUGUUUUCGUUAGUUUUUCAGGUGUAAUAUGUGUGGCACGGAUACGAAAACGGUAAUACAGGAAACAGGAAAAGGGUAUGUCCAAAAAAUUCAGGAACUUGGGGGAAACGUGUAAAUAUCAUAAGUAUAGGGGUAUAUCUAUAAAAAUGAUAAUAAACAUAUGUAAGUUUUUAUUUAUGGUAUAUAAAUAUAUUCAAAAUAAAUUUUAUAAUAAACUAUUAAUUUGUAAUUGUUUAUUAAAUCAUGUAAAUAAUUAGGGAGGCAACAAAAGUAUUUGAACACAUGUUAUUCAAACAUGUUUUCAAGUUUUUAGAAAUUUGUAAAUUGAAGAAAUGAAUUUGCUUAUAGUGGGAAGUAGAAAAUGAGUUUGAACAAACUAGUAAUUAAGACCAGGUCCAAAUGUAUACAAAUGUAUUCAGAUUUGUCAGUAUAGUGAUCAACAUGGUCUCAAUUUGUUAUUCUCUUCAAAUUUUCUUUCUGCUAAAACAAAACCGAAAACCAGAAACCAAACCUUAUUUCUACUUCUCAAGGUUUAAAAAAUUGUUGUAAAAUUAAAAUUAGAGUUUUACUGAUAGUUGUAAAUAUUAUUCUACUGUAAUAUCAAUAUUAAAAACUUAUUUGACAUAAUUCUAUUCUUUCACAUUUUGAUUAUAAUUUGUGAGCAGACAGCGACGAUCCGGCGAACCAUGCUCAACUCCCUCAUAAACAAUAACUGAAAUGGAUAAAUUAAAAAAAAUAAACAAGUAUUAAAAUAUGUUAAGCCGAAUUUAGAUCCUACAAAAAGAUAUGCAUAUAGAGACUAAAUUAUGUAUCUAUUCAAGCAAAAUAAACAUCAACCCUUAAUCAAUACUCUAUUGUAUACAUUUUCGCUUCCUCUUCCUCUCAGGUAUCGAUUUCUCAAUGGGAAAACCAAAUUCACCAGUUACGAUUCGACCCGAUUUCUCAACGGGGAAGAACAGAGUAUCCAUAUGCGGAACAAACCCAAGCCACCCGAAAACCAUCUUCGUGUCUUUAAACUCUUGAAACCUCUUCUUACAAGGGCUGUAGACUACCAAUCUACCGCUAUGAUUUGUUUCUUUUAUCCGAAUCACAAUCUUGUUUCCGAGCAAAUAUUUCGGCUCAAACCACCGAAGUGGCUCCUCCAUAUUCUCAAUAGUCAUCAACUCGCUCCAAGUAUGAUUCUCAAUCCCCUUUCCCUUUCUCCAAAUCACGACCGUCUUGUCGCGACCUUCGUAAUAAAGGCACAGAAACCCACUCAAAUCAACCAAGUAAAUCGAUUUGCCGAAUUCUGAUCUCUUGUAAUCCAUGUUUUCGGGCAUGUGCAAAAUCUUGAACUUGUCGUCUCUGGGAUCAUAAUACACUAUCUGUGGGUUGCACUUCGAAGCCCAAUAGCUAGUCCCGUCAACACAGACCCCCAAUUCGUACUCUACACUGUAAUCAUUGUACUUAGUUUCAUACUUUUUUUCCAGCAUUGUCCAGGAGUUGUUGUUACAGGAAUAAACCGAGUAAUCGUAAGAUUUCGCGAUAACAACCUUAAAAUCAUCGGUGAUCGGAUCAUGGCAAAUCCCAAAAGCCGCGUCACUGCAGUAAAACGUGGCCUUAAAAAUUGUGUGUGUUCGAGUGGAUGGAUUCCACAAUGCGAAAUUAUCUUUCGAAAGGUCGCAUAUGAGUAUCAGCCCUUCGCAAAAGCAUAAGACAGUCGCCCACAAAUAAGGGCCGAACACUUGUUGUAAAGUUUGGAUUCUUCGACCUUUCUCCAAUUUAACCAAUGAAAACCCUUGUGAAUUGACCUUCGAAUUCUUAACUAGAAAAAGAUUCUCCGACUUCUUCGAACCCUUAGAUCGAAGCUGUCGGUCGUGAUGUUUACGAACGAACACAGGAUCUGAAAUCAGAAUAUUCCAUGACUUGCAAACUGUUUUGAAUCGAAGAAGAGUUUUAACUGAUAAUUUUGACAGGACAAUUUCUAUGAUCUCGAUUGGAAGAGCCAUAGUUUUUUUAGAGUUUAUAGGGGCGGCAGAGUUUUGGUGUUGUGUGCAUAUAUAUAUAUAUAUAUAUAUAUAUAUAUAUAUAUAUAUAUAUAUAUAUAUAUAUAUAUGGGCUCUUUGAGAAAACCCCUUCACUACUUUUUUUUAAUUGAGGGAGGCCCAAAAUAUUUUAGUCCAUUUGAGAAAAGUCCACACCAAUUUCCAGCCAUUAUGUUUUCCAGCUUUACCCCCGCCCGCCACCUCAUCCGCGAUUUAUUUAUUCUUUUCCGUUUUUUUAAUCGACUAUGAAGCAUAGUCGAUUAGUCUUAAGUCGACUAUGCUUCAUAAUCGAUUAAGGAAAAUCUUUAAUUUUUUAAUUUUUUUUUUUGUUUCUAAUUUUGUCUUUAAUUUUUUUUUUUGGUUUUUUUAAUUUUUUUUCUCUAUCAGGUUUAUUAUUGCAUAGUCGAUUAAAAUUUUAGCUAUUAAAAAUAAUAAAUCACAAUUACAAAAAAAAUGCAAAAUCAAUUAUAUUUAAAAAAAAAUACAAACAUUGUAAUUGAUUUAUACAUUGGAAUCAAUAAACAAAAAAUCAAAAAAAAAAAAAAUUGAACAACUAGAGUCGGUUAACCUUAAUCGACUACUGAACAUAGUCGAUUAAGCCCUAAUCGACUAUUGAACAUAGUCGAUUAAACCACGUAGUCGAUUAAGGGCCCUGCCUGCGCGGAUUUUUUUUUUCUGCGCCGUCUUCCUCCAAAAUCCACCAAAAACCCUAGAUCUGUUCUUCAUCGUCACCACGUCGUCGCCACACCACAGCAUCACCAUCCCACAUCUAUAUUCUACCUGUUUUUUACGAAGUUCUCGUCGGCGAACUUGGCUCCAUAGAUCGACUCGCCUCCGGUGCCGUUUCCGGCGGUGAAGUCGCCUCCCUGGCACAUGAAGUUGGGGAUCACGUGGUGGAAGCAUGAGCCCUUGUAGUGGAGUGGCUUGCCAGAUCUGCCGACUCCUUUCUCUCCGGUGCAGAGUGCGCGGAAAAUCUCGGCGGUCUUCGGAACGACGUCGGCGUAGAGCUCCAUCACGAUCCGGCCGGCAGGUUGGCGGCGGCGGCGGCGACGGUGAUGAGAAAAUUUGUCGGAGAAAGAAAAAAAAAACAAAGAAGACGGCAGAAGAGAAGCAGAAGACGAGAAGAUGAGAAGACGAGAAAAAAAAAAAAAAGAACGGCAAUGGGUUAGGGGUAAUAAGGGUGGUUUGGGAAUUAUUAAAUAAUAUUUGGAUAGGAUAUUAGGUAAGGGGGUUUUCUCUAAUUAUUUUUGGGAGGGAGGGUUUUCUUAACUCAUUUACCUAGAUGAGGGGGGUCUUGCUAAUUAUCUCAUAUAUAUAUAUAUAUAUAUAUAUAUAUUACAUAUAUAUAAGUGUCGUACUCUUCUAUUUUACUCUCCCAGAUUUUCUUUUUCUUUUUUUUUCUGCCAUUUCUCAUGAGAAACGGCGCCGUUUAGUUUCCAUCUACCAAUAAGAUGCAGCCAUUAAUUUCUUUUCCAUUUAAUUUCGACAUGCACGAUUGCGAUCGACCAUUCUGGUGGGCCCCUAUGGCUUUUUUUUCCUUUUUUUUUUUUUGCUCUCCUUUCUUAUCUCAAGCAAUAUGCCUGGGUCCCACACACCUACCCUUUUUUCUGCGUACUCCAGUGGAGAGAACAUCUCAUCUCUCUCCGACGCCGGCGCCGCCGUGGCUCUCAAAAGCUCUUACACCACCGCCCCGUUGAACGCCAAACAGAAGUGGCGCUCGAGAAGGUCUCGCCACUUCUGGCGUCGACGGCCAUCGACGGCCAUCGACGCUGCCUCUUCUACCGCCUACACUGACCCCAUCCCGGGAUCAGAUGCGGCCGAUGUCAAGGACUCAAGGUUUCUGAUGCUUUAAACAAUUUCUUUUAUGGAUUUAAUUUUUUCUUUGCUUCAAAUUUCAAUUUGGUUUUUACCAAUCUAGAAUUUCUCAUCCUCCUGAGGAAGCAAAAAAUGGCCCUUCAUUUUGCAGGCAUCAAAUAUGGUUUAAUGGGUAUAAUUGUGAAAUUGAAACACAUAAAUGCCGCCUGCAGCUUCUGUAUUUUUUUUUUUAUUUAUUUAUUUUUUUUUUUUUUUUUUUUUGGUAAUGCAGGAACCCGCAGCCAACCAUAUAGGUGCACUGGGUAAACCUACACUCUCGUAUAAUAGCUUGCAAACCAUACGAGAGAUGUAAACCACACUAGGCUAACCAUGUGUGACAAGCUCGACCUAGCGACCGUUGGCAAGGGGAUUCGAACUUGGGUCAAUUGACCCAAGCUCUCUUGCUCCAACCGCUAGGCCACCCUUGCAGCUUCUGUAUUAUUGUAUCUAUCAAUGUUUGUAUCAGUAAGAGGGGAAAAAACAGAGACGGCAUUAAAGAAAGAGCCUUUUUUUUUAAUUACCUGUAGUGUAAUUGUUCUAAAAAUGAGAUUGUUGGGAACUAAAUUUGGGCUUCAACAAUAAUUUCAAUUGUGGAUUUUGUUUUGCAGAAUGUUACAAAUGACUAGGUUCAAAUAUUUUAUUUUUGAGUUAGAUAUUUCUAUUUUCUAAUAAGAGUGGUACGACUGGACAGUGUCUCUCCAAUUUCUGCCGUUAUUUUUUUUUUUUUUUUUUUUUUUUUUUUACAUUUUGGUAUGGUCUGGCUACAUCGAUUGGUCUGAGGUAUACCAAAAAAACCUUUUGCUGCCACUGUAUUAAGUUUCUUUAUAUUCUGCAAUGUGCAUUUUGAGCUUUCAUUUUACAGAUCCAUCGUCGAAGCAAAUGACCAUUUAUGCAGCAAGAAUUUAUUGUGAAUCACAAGUUAUUUCGCAGGAAGUCGGGCGCGUAGCUUCCGCUGCACCGCAUGCUCAUUGACUCAAGCCGCGACAUUGCUUAUUCACUCGUUAGGGUUGAUCUACGUCUUCUAUUACUAUUAUGGACUAGGGGUGGGAAACGAGCCGAGCCGACUCGUGAGCUCGACGAGCCGGCUCGUAAAAAGCUCAAACUCGGACUCGAGGUUUUCGAGCUCGAGCUCGAGCUUUCUGGCGAGCCGAGCUCGAGCCGGAUUUUAGUUGUUCAUCAGCUCGCGAGCCGGCUCGCGAGCCGGAUUAAUUAUUAUUUUUUUAUUUUUUUAUUUGUUUUUUAUUUUUUUAUAUGUUAUUUUUAUUUAAAUAAUGUAUAAUAAUAUAAAAUAUUAUAGAAAUAAAUGCAAACAUUAAAAAAAUAUAUAUCUCAAUUUAUUUUUUAUUUUGUAUUUUUUUAAAAUAAUUUUUAAUAUUAAAAUAAUAAUUAAAAUAAUAAUUAAAAAAUAUUUAGAAAAAACAAAAAAAAAAAGAAAUUGGCUCGAGCUCGAGCUCGACAAAUUAACACGAGCUCGAGCUCGAGCCAAAAAAAGAAGAACUCGAUGAGCUCGAGCUCGACAAAAUAGACUCGAGCUCGAGCUCGAGCCAGCCAAAAGAGGCGAGCUCGGCUCGUUCACACCCCUAUUAUGGACAUCGUUGUCAUUUUUUUUUGCUUUACUUGACAUCAUUGUUUUUUUUUAAAUUGAUUUAGUGUUUCAAAAAAUGGUUUUCAAAAAUUGAUUGUGUGUUUCGGAAAAUGGUUUUUCAAAAAUUGAUUUUGUGUUUCGAAAGGAUGCUUAAAGAGACCUGGAAUGCUUUCCAUGCAUUUGCUUUGGAUAGUGUAAUCCAAUAAUGAUGCCUGAUGUUUCAUGUAUUCAGGAUAAUUUUUUUCAAGAUACACGAACAAUUUCAUCAAUUAAAAGGAUCAUGUUUCUGCCUCAAAUUUUGGUUUAUAUUCCCAACUUUGUUCUUCCUCAAAUUCGGGUUUGGCAUGCAUUGCACAUAGAUUUGGAUUGAUUAUCUGAAAAAUUCGCUAGGUUAUGAAUUAUGUAAAUGCUGAAAUAUUGUUUCUGAUUUUUAGGAGUUAGAGAUGCAGAAAUUAAUUGCAUUCCAAGCACGAUCAGAGGAGAUAAUCUAGAGGCAGCUUACCUCUCAUGCAUCUUACCUCUCAUGCAUCUAUUAAAAUGGGCAUCAGCACCGCGCCUUGCGCUGUGCAGCCAAUCCUAGUAUAUAUAUAUAUACACGAUUGAGUAUGUGUUAAAGAUCCUUGCAAGAAAGAGAAGUUGUAUGUAAAGGAUGUUAGUUUACGUUUUUUAACGUUUUAAUUUUUGGUCCACUAAUCUUUAUUUUAAUUAAUUAAAUUGUGGGUAAUUCAAAUCAUGGUAUUAAGGUGAUUUUAUGGUAAUUGAUUUGUAACGUUGAAGGCAAUAAAAGACCAUGAUGGGUGGGAUUUGUCUUCUGCCGUUACAAAUCAAUCGUGGCCCUCUUCUCUCGUCUAUAAAAGAAAUCCACAGCUCUUCUCCUCAACCAUCAGACGCAAUUGAGAAUUCCAUCACUUACAGAAUACUAGUGAGUUGUGAUAUUAGAGAGAUAGAGAGAGAAGGUGUGUUACGAAUAAAGUUCUCAAGGAGAUUCGAAGGAGGUCUGGCUAGGCUCGGCUUGUAGAUUGCUAUCGUUCAUCGUCUCUGUCGGAAUCCAUGGCGAACGGUAUGUCGAUAAUCUCUAUUAUGUGCUUAUGUUCUUAAGAUGAAUUCGAUUUCAAGAUUCUGUGAUUAAGGUUUUCCGCAUAAAGUUAAAUAAAAGUCUUUCAAUUGGUAUCAGAGCAUGGUUUUGAAAUCAAUUCAUCUUAGAACUUAAAAUUUGUUAUAUGUUCAUCUUACGGCCGUAUGGUUUCGUGGAUUUAAAUUUUGAGAUAAAAUAAUUGUUUUGUUGUCUGAUUAUAUAUUAGUUAAUAACACGAUCUUGAUUGAUAUACAUGUUUUGAUAACGAUAAAUUUUGUGUAGUUAUUUGUACCCUUCGAUAUUUGUAAUCUGUUUUGACGAAUUGGAUUAUUCUUUGUGGUACUCUCCUGCAAAAUCACAACUUCCAACGAAUUGAUGUUUUGAUGAACGUGUCAGAGACUUUUCUCUGAAUAACUUGACUAAUGUAUAUUUUUUAUUUAAUAUUUAUUAUUAUAUAAUGCAUAUAUUGUAUGAAUUGUCUAUGGACAUUAUCUGCACACACACGUCUGCCCACACACGUGAUAUUGAACACACAUAAAAUGUAUAUUUUACUUUAUUGUUAAAAAAAAAAAUAAAAAAAAUCGUGGGUUUAAUAUGGUACAGGCUGUGGAAUAUGUGUGUAUGGCCAAAUACAUGUUUGUGUGUAUAGUAAAUACAUGAAUUGUAUGUAUUCUGUCAAGUACAUGUAUUCUUUUAAUGUAUCUCAUAUGCAGUAAAUUAUUUCUUUUGCAAAAUGAAUUGUUACUGUUAUGAUUAUUUAUUCUAUGGCUAAUUUGCAAUUAAAGGUAUCACUCAAAUUAAAAUAAUGAGAAUAUUAUUAGUUUUAUAUUUAUGAAAUUUACUAAUCUUGUAGUUGCUAAAGUGACCUUAAUUAGUAAAAUCUAAUAAAUAUAAGAACUAUAUGAAAGUUUAAUCAUUUACAUGAUAUUAAAGAUUAUAAUAUUCUCAAAUUGCAGUCAUAAUUAAGAAAUUGAGACUAGCUCAAAGGAUAGUCGAUUUUAAUUAAUUAUGAACUGGGUAGGGUAUCACAAUUUGUAUUACUUAGCAUUUAGAAUUGUUUACCUAAAGGUAACAUGACUAAUUGUCGAGUGAGAUAAAUUAUGUUAGACCCUACUUAGGUGUUAUAAACGAUCAUUUACACCAACAUAGAGUGAACAAUAGGUAUGCUGUAUUUCACCCAAAGGCGAACUUGUAGUGAUAUCGAUAGUUCAUCUUAUUUGUCUCAAGGUCUUAUUUGAGCAUCCUUUUAUCUUUACCUUAUAUAUUUGCUAUAUUUAUUUCAGUUCCUAUUCCCACUUCAUUGUACUCGCAUGCUUCUGGUAUUAAGACUCUCAGUGGGUCAAAUUUCUCCGAAUGGUAUGGACAAAUUCAAUUCACCUUGGGUGUUAUGGAUUUGGACCUAGCAUUGCUUACUGAAAAACCUGUGGAAAUAACGGAUGCUAACAGUGAGGAAGAAGUUAGCCUAAUUGAAGCCUGGACCAAGUCCAAUAGGCUUAGUCUUAUGCUUAUUAGAAUGACUGUUGCUAAUAACAUUAAGACUUCCCUUCCCGAGGUUGACAAUGCUAUGGAACUGUUAACGGCUAUUAAAGAACGCUUUAAAUCAGCGGACAAGUCGUUAGCAGGGACACUCAUGGCUGAAUUGACUACCAUGAAAUAUGGUGGUGAUAAGGGAAUUCAGGAACACAUCCUAAAUAUGACUGAUAAGGCUGCCAAACUUGGAGCUCUUUGCAUGAAAGUUCGGCCCAUUCAAAAUCCACUAUAAUACUCAAAAAGAUAAGUGGAAUUUGAAUGAGCUGACUAGUAUGUGUAUUCAAGAGGAAGUGAGAUUAAAGCAAGAAGGAAAUCACUUUGCAUUGGCUGUAACUCAUGGAAGUAUGAAGAAGAAAGGGAAAUUUGUGAAGAGUGGAAAGAAAUUCGCACCAAACAAAAGAUAUGAACCUGGUGAAAGUAGUCAGGGUCAUGGAAAGGCUUUUAUUGUCACCUGUUACUUUUGUAACAAGAAGGGACACGUAAAGAAGGAUUGUGAGAAACGAAAGGCUUGGUUCGAAAAGAAAGGUAUUCAUCUUUCUUUUGUAUGUUAUGAAUCAAAUCUUAUUGAAGUUCCUUCUUACACUUGGUGGCUUGAUUCUGGUGCUACAACUCAUAUCACAAAUUCAUUACAGGGAUUCCCUACAACUCGGAAACCGGUGGAAAGUGAAAAGUAUAUCUAUAUUGGGAACCGUCUCAAAUCUAAAGUGGCGUUUGUUGGCACUUAUCGCCUCAUAUUAGAGACGGGUCACAAGAUGGAUCUUGAAAACACUUUUUAUGUACCUUCGUUUUCUAGGAAUUUGGUUUCUUUGUCAAAACUGGAUGUUUGUGGUUAUUCAGCUUUAAUUGGUUGUGGAAAACUCAGUUUAUGUUUAAUUCAAUAAUAAUUGGUUCCGGUAUUUUAUGUGAUAGUUUAUAUAAAAUAUCUUUGAAUCAUGAGUUUGAACAAUCAUUAUUAACCACUCAUUCGGAAGUUGGCGUAAAGCGAAGCCUAAAUAACGAAAAUUCUUCUAUCUUGUGGCAUAAACGUUUGGGGCAUAUCUCCAAGGAAAGAAUCGAAAGAUUGGUAAAAACUGGAAUUUUGGAAAAUCUAGAUUUUACUGAUUUUCAAGUGUGUGUGGAUUGCAUUUAGGGUAAGCAAACCAAACACAAUAAAAGAGGUGCCACAAGAAGUAAAGAGCUUCUUGAGUUAAUCCAUACAGAUAUCUGCUCACUACCUAUUCCAUGUUUUAGUGGAGAAAAGUAUUUUAUCACCUUUCGUUGAUGAUCUAUCUCGUUAUGGUUAUCUCUAUCUAAUUCACGAAAAAUCUCAAGCCGUUGACAUGCUUGAGGUGUUUGUUACGGAAGUCGAAAGACAAUUAGAUAGAAAAAUUAAAGUUAUACGAUCAGAUCGGGGUGGAGAAUACUAUGGUAGAUAUGAUGAGUCGGGACAAAAUCCUGGCCCAUUUGCUAAAUUCUUAGAAAAACGUGGUAUUUGUGCUCAAUACACAAUGCCUGGAACACCACAGCAGAAUGGAGUUGCUGAACGUCGUAAUCGUACUCUUAUGGAUAUGGUUAGGAGUAUGUUAAGUAAUUCAACUGUACCCAUUUCACUUUGGAAUGAAGCCUUGAAAACCGCUAUGUAUAUCUUAAACCGAGUUCCCAGUAAGGCAGUCCCAACAAUUCCCUACGAGUUGUGGACUGGUAGGAAACCUAGUUUAAGACAUUUACAUGUUUGGGGUUGUCCUGCAGAGGCUAGAAUAUACAAUCCAAAUGAAAAGAAAUUGGAUCCUAGAACAAUUUCUGGAUAUUUCAUUGGUUAUCCACUCAAGUGAAAAGGGUACAUAUUUUAUUGUCCUAACCAUACUACGAGGAUAGUUGAAACUGGAAACGCCAAAUUCUUAGAGAAUGGUGAAGUUAGUGGGAGUGUUGAAUCAAGAAAGGUAGAACUUGAGGAAAUUAGGGUGGAUAUUUUACCAUCUUAUUUCCCUCAAGAUAACGUUACUCUUCAACCUAUACAGCAGGUUGAUGAAACAAAUGAUUCGCCACUCCAUUCACCACUUCAUGAAGAUGUUAUUAUUGGCAAUACUGUAGAAUCACCACAACCGGUAGCUUUGAGGAAAUCUCAAAGGGAAAGGAAAACUGCCAUAUCCGAUGAUUAUGUGGUGUAUCUACAAGAAUCUGAUUUUGAUAUUGGUAUUCAAAAUGAUCCAGUUUCAUAUUCACAAGCCAUGAAAAGUAAAGAUUCUAAUAAAUGGAUUGAUGCUAUGAAUGAAGAGUUGAAAUCAAUGGACUAUAACGGUGUCUGGGAUCUUAUCGAAUUGCCUAAGAACAGUAAGAAAGUCGGUUGUAGAUGGGUCUUCAAGACCAAACGUGACUCGAAAGGCAAUAUCGAAAGAUUUAAAGCUAGACUAGUGGCCAAAGGUUUCACUCAAAAAGAAGGCAUUGAUUAUAGAGAAACUCUCUCUCCAGUAUCUAAGAAAGACUCUCUUAGAAUCGUUAUGGCUCUUGUAGCUCAUUAUGAUUUGGAGUUACACCAAAUGGACGUGAAAACCGCUUUUCUGAAUGGGGAUUUAGAUGAAGAUAUCUAUAUGGACCAGCCUGAAGGAUUUGCAAAACAAGGAAAUGAACACUUGACUUGUAAAUUAAAGAAAUCCAUAUAUGGGCGUAAACAAGCUUCUAGACAAUGGUAUAUAAAAUUCAAUGAUACCAUUACUUCCUUUGAAUUUAAGGAAAACACUGUUGAUCAGUGUAUAUAUCUAAAGAUCAGUGGGAGCAAGUUUAUCUUUUUAGUCUUGUAUGUGGAUGAUAUUUUACUAGCAAGUAGUGAUCUUGGUUUGCUUCACGAAACUAAGAAUUAUCUUUCCAAGAAUUUUAAGAUGGUUGAUAUGGGUGAGGAAAAUUAUGUUAUUGGGAUAGAGAUCUUUAGAGAUCGAUCUCGAGGAUUAUUAGGCUUGUCUCAGAAAGGAUAUAUCAAUCGAGUUCUUGAAAGAUUUAAUAUGCAGUUUUGUUCAGCCAUUAAUGCUCCUAUCACGAAAGGUGAUAAAUUAAGUGAAAAGCAAUGUCCAAAGAAUGAUUUGGAAAAGGAGAAAAUGAAAUUGAUUCCAUAUGCAUCAGCAGUUGGAAGUUUGAUGUAUGCACAAACGUGUACUAGACCAGAUAUUAGUUAUGCAGUGGGAGUACUUGGUAGAUAUCAAAGUAAUCCGGGAAUAGAACAUUGGAAAGCAGCAAAGAAGGUUAUGAGGUAUCUUCAAGGAACAAAGGAUUACAUGCUUACUUAUAGGAGAUCGGACCAAUUAGAGGUUAUUGGUUAUUCAGACUCCGAUUUUGCUGGUUGUGUAGAUAGUAGAAAGUCCACAUCGGGCUUUGUAUUUCUACUAGCUGGUGGAGCAAUAUCUUGGAAGAGCGUAAAGCAAAGUAUUAUUGCUUCUUCCACAAUGGAGGCUGAGUUUGUAGCAUGUUUUGAGGCCUCGAGUCAUGCACUGUGGUUGCGAAAUUUUAUCUUAGGGCUUAAGGCUGUUGACUCAAUUGCUAAGCCUUUGAAGAUAUAUUGUGAUAACACCGCAGCCGUUUUCUUCUCUAAGAAUGGAAAGUAUUCAAGUGGAUCCAAGCACAUGGAUCUUAAGUACUUGGUUGUUAAAGAAAGAGUCCAGAAACAACAAGUGUCAAUAGAAAAUUUAAGUACAACUCUUAAGGUUGCUGAUCCAUUAACCAAGGGAUUGCCUAUAAAGACAUAUGAGGAACAUGUUAUUAGAAUGGGUCUUUUGAGCAAUCCAUGAUUUAAUGAGUUAUGAUUAUGUAAUUGACACUUAAUUAAUUUAAUGAAAUGUUUCUGUUUUCCUGUUUCCAAUUAUGUGUGCACAUAUUAUAUUUGGAUUUAACAGGGUUUGUCCUAACAAGACAAAAUUAAAGGGGCUAUUAUGGAUUAGAAUAGUAAGGGUUAUUAGUGGCGUGAUACAUAGAAGGGAAUAUGAUGAAUGAAUCAUAUAACCGCUAUGAUUCACAUUAAUAACUCAAACUAGUUCUAGUAUUAAAGUACUCUAUUUACCUAUUAUGGUAAUCACCUUAAUUUUCUUUUAAAAUCGUGAUCACGUGUCAAAUGUUUUGUAUGAAGAACCCACCGAGUCAAAUAUUUUCUUAAACUUAUUUUUCUUAAUCGAUUCAGUGGACCAAGUGGGAGAAUGUUAGUUUACGUUUUUUAACGUUUUAAUUUUUGGUCCACUAAUCUUUAUUUUAAUUAAUUAAAUUGUGGGUAAUUCAAAUCAUGGUAUUAAGGUGAUUUUAUGGUAAUUGAUUUGUAACGUUGAAGGCAAUAAAAGACCAUGAUGGGUGGGAUUUGUCUUCUGCCGUUACAAAUCAAUCGUGGCCCUCUUCUCUCGUCUAUAAAAGAAAUCCACAGCUCUUCUCCUCAACCAUCAGACGCAAUUGAGAAUUCCAUCACUUACAGAAUACUAGUGAGUUGUGAUAUUAGAGAGAUAGAGAGAGAAGGUGUGUUACGAAUAAAGUUCUCAAGGAGAUUCGAAGGAGGCCUGACUAGGCUCGGCUUGUAGAUUGCUAUCGUUCAUCGUCUCUAUCGGAAUCCAUGGCGAACGGUAUGUCGAUAAUCCCAAUUAUAUGAAUAUGUUCUUAAGUUGAAUUUGAUUUCAAGAUUCUGUGAUUAAAGUUUUCCGCAUAAAUUAAAUAAAAGUCUUUCAAAGGAUGUAGCUAAUGGCCCAAGUAUUAAUUACUGACAAUUAACUUAAGGGUUGUAACAGUUAAGUUGUGGAAACAGUAUUCAGUUACAACUAUAAUUCUUGUGUUAACACAGUUAUAAAUCUACUAAAAGCAGAAUAAAUGAACACAAGAAAUUAAUGUGGUUCAGACACAAAUGUGCCCUACAUCCACGUGGACCUGCAAACACGAUUUCACUAGUUCAGAUUUAUAAUGUACAUUAAAAGGACUUAUUAAAAACAAUAAAGACUCCCUCUUUAAUUUUUACGCCGUUCUUGUACACAACUCGGGCUCCGUGUCUCUCUCUACAGCAGCUCCACUCCGGCUGAUCUCCCUUGAGAUCUAUACAGCAAAUCUGUAUAUGUUGGCACAGUGCAACGAUGGCACAGUCCUGCUCUGCAGAACGCCUUGGCAAAACUUCGAUGCUAUGAAGUGGUUUUUCUCCCAAAUAAUGCCCACGGUUCUUGUAUGUCUUCGAGGCUUAUAUAGCCACGAAAAUAAGCCCUAAGACCUAACUUGAACCCCAAGAAAUCUAUUUAACUAGGUAAUAGAAUGCUAGUUGAUUUCUACUUCUAUUCUAGAUAAGUACAAAAGAUACCUAACUAGAAUACAAUACAUGGAAAUAAAUCUAAGUUCUAAUAGAAGUAUUAUAAGAAUAGGACUCUAAUAAAUUCCAAAAUAAAUAUGGAAAAUAAAUCUUUGCCAAUCUUUUAAUUCCAAAACUUGGCGGAUUUCCUCGAUCUUCAAAAGCCGGAAAUAUGGCGCCAACAUAUAUAUACAUACAUAUAUAUAUAUAUAUAUAUAUAAAUAUGUGUAUAAAGAUAAAGGACAAUCUUGUACCAUGGUUACAUUAGCUCAGAAAUGGAGCAAAACGAGGUUGACAAAAAAAAAAAAAAACACAAUGGCAACAAAGCGACGCCCCACCGAAGGAAGGCCAAUCAAACACAAACCAAUUACCAAAAAAGCCCUUAGAAUGCUUGCAGAGAACUGGAUUGGCGAUAUCAACCAUGCGAUGGUGAAGUCGACGGGGACCAACGAGAGAUUUAUGGAGCGAAGACAAAGCCUACCACAACAAAAUUUGCACGGAAAUUCAGGGAUUUUGAGGCCUCUAGAAACGAGCAUGUGGCUAAAAUCUUGAUUCUUCUCCUCUUCUAUUUUUUAUUUUAUUUUUUAGAUUGAAAAUAAAAUAGGGGAUGAUUCCAAUCAUUUAAUUGGGUUUUGCUAGAAAACUUUAAAACUGAAAUGGGGUUUGGUCUAGGUUUUUGAAAAGAAAAAAAAGUGAGCUGAAGCUCGCAAUUUCUAUGUUGAUAAUUUGGGAUUUGAUGCAUAAGAGAGUAUAAAGGAGAGGAGAGGGGGAGAGAGGAGAGAACCUCUGUGAAUAGAAAAAAGAAAAAAAAAAUAAAAAAAAAAAAAGAAGGCGAGAAGAAAAUGAAGACAAAGAAAGAGGAGAGAGACCAAAAUUAUAUUGGUGGGCAAAGAAGUAAUUGCACAUAAAAAUUGACGGUGUUAGUUUUGUUAAUGUUGACCAUUAAAUACAGGGGCUAUUUUGUUAGGUUUUGUAGUUUAUGAGAGUAUUUGUGACACACCAUAUAAUUAAGGAGUGCAAAUUGUACUUUCCCCUAAAAUUUAUUUAUGAUAUUUAAAUUAUAGUAACAAUAUCAACCACAAAUGAUUAUUUGAACUUAAUUGUUAUAAAAUGAAAUUGAUUGUUAAAGAAUUGGUGCACUUAAUAAACCAAACUGUUAGAGAAAAAUUACAAGAAAUAAACGUAUAAAUAUAAUCAGAGACAGUUGACAAAUAAGAAAAUGAUGUUGAAAGAAUUUUACAUGGUUUUGUUUAAAUUUUGAACUUUUACAAAUUAGAAAAAAAACAAUAUAUAAUAAUUAUAAAAAUAAUAUUAGGGUUGCUUAGAGUUAACUUUUUUUUAAAUAUUAUUUUAUAUAGGGAAGUCUUAAAUCCUGACUAAAAUUUAUAGAAUCAAUCACAUAAUUCAUAACAAAUUUCUCUAAAAUCCUCCAAAAUCCUUUUUUGUCUUCGUUUUCUUUUUUUUUUUUUUUUAGGAAAAGACGUAUUAUCAAGCGAUCAUAUCGCUAAAUUUGAAGGCAGAUGAUACAUGGUAACUUAGCAAGAGAAUUGGCUAAACAAACGUUUUAUAAAAAUGCCUGAACAAUUCGACAUACCCAUCGAUCUAUCUUCGACCGAUGUUCCUCCAAUGUGUCACUACACAAAAGGUCAAGGGUCGGUUGAAGAUAUUAAGCAAGACUCUGCCGCCGGCAACAAAUUGCAAAGCAACCACCACCCGUCCAAUAGCAGCUGCUGCUCUGUCAAGCCAGCAUUUUUCUGUACCUCUAACUCAUUAGUUAGAUGUUCAGGUGGCGGUAUACACCACCACCUGCAAUGGCCGUCGGCCGCCGUUUAACAAUUUUGCAGCCCUGAGUACUCUCAGGACCCGCCAGGUGACGGUGUCCACCGCCUCCUGCAACAGCCGGCAACACAUGGGGGCAAGCCCAAGAACCGGCCGUUUAACAAUUUCGCCGCCGAGUAGGAACUACAGACCACCAGGGCCUGGGGUGGUGCUGGAAUGCCGGGGGGAGAGAGCCUGCCGCCGUAUCUUCAACCUUCCGUCACCUUAAUGCCCCUGCUUAGGUCACAGGUUCUCGCUACUGAACCCGGCGACAGAUAAUGCUGAAAAUUUUGUAUAUGAAUGAGAUUAGUUUUGGUUCGUUUUUCGAUGUGGGAUUACCAUUAUAUUUUUUUAAUUAAUUGUGAUUAUGAAUAAUCCUCCAAUACGGGAGUUUCUAUGCAGUUGCAAUAUUAUUUGAAAUAAUACGUCGUACUCAGCCCAUUUUGAAAUAACUAAGAGUCCAAUAUUAAUAUAUUAGUAUUAAAAUAUGGAUAGAUUAACAUCAAAUAUAUUUUAUAUGAAAAUCCUGAUCCACUACAACUAUUAUUAUUAUUAUUAUUAUUAUUAUUAUUAUUAUUAUUAUUAUUAUUAUUAUUAUUAUAUUUUGCCAACCUAUUUUCUAGAAUUUUUCUUUCCUCAUUUAUUUAAUGAUCAAUUUUAUAUUAUGACUAUUAAGUUUUUACAGUUUUUUCUUUUUGAAUGAGUUUGUAUUAUUUAAUUUGUAUAAAUAUUGAUGCUAUUACUGAUAUCACAAAUAAAUUUUAUUAUAACUUUUAGAUAUAAAUACCGAAUGGUCAAGUAAAUUCAAACAUUAAUAAUAUGCAAAUGCGUGUUGUUAAAAAUCCAUUUUCAUUUGGUAUUAUAAAUUGAAGUCAUGUGAGAGACACAUGCCAUUUUCCAUUCAACUUAACUGCAAAAAUAAACGGCUUGACCCUAUCUUCCUGCUAUGGAUGGGUGUAACUAAUCUGUACUUGCAAGACGGCAUUUUUAUUUAAAUUAAUUAUUUUGAAAAUUAAUUAAAAAAAAAGUUUGUACAUUGUUUGUUGAGACAGUGUUUCGGACAAAUUAAAGUUGUAAUUAAACAUGAUCAAUUAAUGAAAACAACAUAAGUGGGAGUGGCUUCCUGAGCUAUAUUUGUGCCAAAAAAUAGCAUAAUUAAGGACUAAUAUUGUAACUCCAAAAUGGUUCGAAACAAUUUUGAAAAAGUGGGUAAAAUAUGGGGACAAAAAAUGUAAUUUUCUGAAAUUUUUACAUUCCAAUUUUCUUGGAACAAAAAUUAGAAUCCAUUUUUACUUCUGAAAAAAAAAAAUUAUUUUUUCUUUUGAAAAAGUCAUUUCCAUCCAUUUUGACUCCGAUUUCCACACUUUUAUAGCCAAUUUAUGAGGAAAACCCUAACAAGUUUCUGAAGCUUUCAACACAGCAAUUUAAUAAGAUCCUACCCAAAUGAUUAGAAUUCGUAUUCCAUUCAUCAAUAAGUUAAACGUGCGAUAAUUCCAGAACCACGCCGCCAAUUACAAGAGGUAAAUUAAAUAAAACCAUGGUUGUGGAACAAGAUGAAUCAGUUCACCUUCCACUCGAAAUGAUAGAAAUCAUCGUGCCAAAAUUACCAGUUAAAUCUCUUCUUCGAUUCAAAUCAGUUUCCAAGUCAUGGAAUACUAUGAUCUCCGAUCCCGCGUUCGUCAAACAUCAUCUCCGGAUAUCGAAACAUUCGAACCCACAUAAUCUUUUCAUGCAAAAGCAUCCAAACUCUAAAGGGUUUUUUUCUUUAGUUAAAUUCGAAGGCCGGAAGUUCCGAACCGUAAAAUUACUAGAAUGCCCCUAUGCCUGUGUUAAGUUCUUGGCCUUCUGCGACGGCGUGCUACUUUUAUCCGACAUCUCUUACAAGAAAUUAACGUUGUGGAAUCCAUCCACUCGACAAACCGCAAACUUUGAGUUCCCAUAUGCGCAUUGUUGUUAUCCAAUGAGCUACGGGCUUUUUCACGAUCGAACCGUUGGUGAUUUCAAGGUAGUUGUUAUAUGUAGGGACCACUGCGCAAUUUAUUCGUGCAAGGACAAAGCGUGGACGAGGAAGCGACGGAUUCAAGAUAUUGGUCUAGUACAGAUUGGUUCCGGAGUUUGUGUCGACGGGGUUGUCUAUUGGGUUAAUCGUUGGAGUAGUGACGGAACGCAUAUUUUAUAUUUCGAUACAAAAGAUGACGACGAGUUGAAGGUUUUGCGGAAACCGGAAAAUGUUAACUUAACGGGCAAAAUGAUCGACUUGAUUUGCUUGAGAGACAACUUGUGCAUGUGUUGCAUUGGUAGAGGCGUGACGAAUGUUCAAAUCUGGAUAAAGGAAAAGGGCUCUGGCAAUAGUACUUGGAAGGAGUUGAUGACUAUUGAGAAUGUGCAGACGCGGGCUUCUUGUUUCGAGCCACUACUGCAUUUUGUCGGGAAUAAGAUUUUAAUUGUAUGGAAAGAUUCAAAGUUAGUCGUCUACAACCCUUCUGAGAAGACGUUUGAAGAAGUUGACGAUAGUGUGCUUUCCGGACGCGGAUUUUUUCCGUUUACGGAGAGUCUUUUCUUCCCCAAUCAAAAUAAUUAAAGUUUUUUUUUCUUUUUUUCUUUUAUUUUCGAAAAUUAGUUUGUAGUGGAUUUAAGGGUCAAUUUGUGUUUCUGAAUCGAAAGUGGAUUUAUGAAUGUGAACACUGAACACAAACCAGAGCAACCAAACUGACCCGUGCCCAAAUUAAAACUAAUAUCAAAUAUAGGACCUAAUUGCAAUAUUUGAAAACUUGCAUUAAAACCCUUCGGCUUCUACCUUCAACCCUUAAAUUAAACCUAAAUCUGCAAUGGCCAAAACCUAAAUUCCAAACUCCGAAACCAUGGCCGACAAUACAUCAUAUCUUCCACCGGAAAUCAUUGAAAGCAUCCUGUCUAGAUUACCGGCUAAAUCUCUCCUUAGAUUCAAAUCAGUUUCGAAAUCAUGGAAUACGAUGAUCGCCGAUCCUGUAUUCGUCCAAAAUCAUAUCCGACAAUCCAAACACUCAAACUCCGACAACCUUUUUCUAUGUCCCAACACGUAUCCUAUUCCCGUGGUUAAAUUGGGAGAUAAAAAAAUCCAAACUUUACAAAGAAUAGAAUCCCGCUAUGCCAGGUGGCAUGAAUUAUGCUUUUGCGAUGGCGUGAUUCUCUUAACCGACGGCACAUACAUGAGGUUUGCGUUGUGGAAUCCAUCCACCCGAACGUCGAAAAACCUUUGGUACAAGUACAGCUGUCCGGAAGCAGCUUUCGGGCUUUGCCGCGAUCCAGCCACCGACGAUUUUAAGGUUGUUAUUGCUGAUUCGAACUACUACUCGGUUUAUUCUUGUAAGAACAAAUCCUGGAUCAUGUUGAAAAAAAAAUACGAUGUUAAAUACACCGGUUUAGGUGUAAACCUAAGUUAUAAUAACAUCGGAGUCUGUGUUGAUGGGGCUAGCUAUUGGGUUUGGGGUAACGACAACGCCACACAAAUAGAAUUAGUGUAUUUUGAUCCGAGAGAUGACGAGUUCAAGAUUUUGCACAUGCCGGAAAAUAUUGCCGAUGCCAACCAAAAAUUUACGUACGCGGUCGAAUUGAAGGGAUGCUUGUGCUUGUAUUACAAUGGUAUGGACGAGUCCAGGAUUCAAAUUUGGACAAAGGAAAAGGGCAUCGAUGGUCAUUCUUGGAAGGUGUUGAUAACUGUUGAAAAUGUGGGGAUGUCAAUUUGGGCUUUUCAGCCAUUAUGUUUCGUCGGAGAUAAGAUUGUAGUUUGGAAAAGAGGUCUUCUUCGUCGUGGAUUACUAAUCUACAUCCCUUCUGAGAAGAGGUUUGAAGAAUUUGAAAAGGGCACUGUUGGGAUUUUUGACUAUCCAAUUCCGUAUAUAGAUAGCAUUUUCUUCCCCAGUGAGAAACCGAGACCUAAGAUGCAGAGGAAGAGAAAGUUUUUGCAAUAGGUUGAUUAAUAACGUUUUGGUCAUAAUUACUAGUAAUUCAUGUUCGUUUUGCUUAUUGAUCUAUGUUGCUUAAUCAGGUCGUAACACGUGGAUUAAUAGCUUUUUGAAGCCGCGUGUUAUUUUGAUUUUGAUCUUUCCUAUAGUAAUAGCUAACAAGUGUUUAUGAAUUUUGUUUCUAAAGUAAGCGAGCGUUUGGUUAUAUGCAUGCACGAAUUCUUGGUUUGCUUUGCUCGAAUAGAUACGUAGGAUCUAAAUUCAGUGUUAAAGAUAUAUUUUAAUUUUCCUAUGCAGUCUCUUUCAGUUUACACCCCAUGUGUAUGUGUGCUUAAUAGAUUAGUUAUUUAUGUAGAUCUACGGAUAAAAACUACAUGGCGUAUUUUACCAGGUGUCGGAUCUCAUAAGCUGCCUCUUUCUGUGCACUCGUUUUUGUUUCGUUUAAUGCUUUUGGUUGUAAUUGUGAUUCAUGUUUGUUUUGCUUAUUGAAAUGUUUCUCAAUCAAGUCUUAAUUAGCUUUAUUUUUCAUGAGGAUAUGCAUUGUGGCCUCAGAUUGCUUCCAUUUAUUGAUAGUCUAUUAUAUUCUUCACAAACCUGAAAAAACCCGACUAAGUAUAAAGUGCAAUUCAAAAUAGUUCUUAUACAUGAAAACUAAAUAAAUAAAUACAAAUAAAAACUAUCUAAAAGCUAGGCAAAUUAAAAAAAAAAAAUUAAAAAAAAAAUUAAAAAUUGCACUUUAUUAUACUUCCAUAAUUAUUUACAUAAUAUUGACUUCGAUGCCUCGUCGUUACAAAUUCAAUACUGAGCGAUGAUCAUAACAAAACUACAUCAUCCGAGCCUUUUCUGGGGACAUCGUUUUAAUCAUUUUGUUUGUUUAUUUUAGAAAAACCAUGACAUAACUUUGAGGAAGAAAAAAAAAACCGUCUUUCAGCCGCAUUCCAAUUUUACGGUUCAACCAGCCAAACCAGACCGAGCAAUGCAACAAAUCGGGGUCUAACUGGUUCAAUCGGCCGGUCCAGUACAAGAUGCCAGAAAUUAUAAGAGAAAGUACAAAUUGCACUUCACCCCCUAUAAAUUUCCUAUUAUGGCACUUUCCCCUAAAAAUUCAGAAAAGAGAUAACUCCCCUCGAAAUAUUGAUUUGGUUGCAGUUUGCCCCAAAUGUCAAUUUUGUGUGGCGUUGUGCAAUAAAAAUAACAUUUUAAAGGGACAAUCUGUAGAAAAUUAGUGUUUUUAAGGGGCAACGUGCAACAAAAAUAACAUUUAAAGGGGUAACGUGCAAAAGAAAAAACUCAAUUCCAGUUAAUAAUCCAUUGAAAUUUUGCUAUCAGGACAAUGUGCAACAAGUAUAACAUUUUGAAGGGAGGCGGUCACUUUUUUCUUUAAUUUUGAGGGGUAAAGUGCAAAAAAAAAUUAUAGGGGGUGACAUGCAAUUUGCCCUAAAAGAAAUAACAAUUAUAAUAGGGUUGCUCUAUCUAGAAUUUCUCUCAUUAAGGUUUGAGAUCGUCCCACUAGGAAAUGAAACUAUCACAAAAUAUAACAAAUACACAAUCAGGUUUGAUUUGCCAUUUUUCUGGUUAUUGCAUAGCUACCCCCGGCAUGGGGUGUUUUCUGCAAUUUUCGAAACUGCUGCAGGGAGUCAGCUGCUUGGGAGUGGAAACUCUGCUUAUUUGCACUAACCCCCAUCUGGGGUUCGUUCAUCCAGCAACUUUAGAAAUUCUAAAGUAAACAUUAACGGAUAAUUAACGGGAAUAUACAUUUCCGUUAACGGAUAAUUGACUGAAACUCUGCUUAAAGAACUAUACACUAAAAGUUAUUAAAAAAUAUAAAGUAAAUAUAAACAUUUAGUAGAAAUUAACUUUUGUUUAUUUUUUUUGUGUGGAGAGGGUUUGCUGUAUUUUUUAGGGGUAGUUUAGUCAUUUCAUUUCAGUCAACGGGCUUUUUUUUAAAUAACCUACAUCAUAAGGGGUAUAUGAUAUUUUUUUUUACACUGGUGCUUUUCCAGUAAUUAGACAUUUUACAGUGGGUGUAUACAAUUACGUUUUGGCCAAGAAUAAAAAUAAAAACUGACAUGUGCCCCAAAUCAAAACUAGUUUAAACUAUGGGACCUCAUUGCAAUUUGUGAAAACUUUGAUUAAAAUUUAGGGUUAAAUACAAAAAUACCCCCUGUACUAUGAACUUUGUAUCAUGUACCCCGUACUACGUACACAUAAAUACAAAAACCCCAGUAAUGUUAUAUUUUCUCCAAAAUAUGACGAAAAUACCCAUGUUAAAGCCUAUAUAUAAGGGAUUGCUUGAGCCAUUUUCCACCAUAUUUUUUUAACAUUUUCAGUCAAUUUUGCUUAGAAAAUUUUGGUAUUUAUAUUUUUUUCUCCAAAACAUCUAAUUGCUUAGAUUUUAUUUAUUUAUUUUUUCUGAAUAAAACAUUUUAUUUUUGUCAUUUUCAGUUUCUUCAUUUUUUUUCUUAAAUGUCUUCCGAUAGUUCAAACAUCCUAAGAUUACAAACAACUUUACGAUCCUAUGAUUGUUGAGAAUUUGAACUAGCGGGAGACAUUUAAAAAAAAAAUAAAGCAAUUCAAAUGACAAAAAUAAAAGGUUUUUUUCGGGAAAAAAAAAAAAUCUAAGCAAUUAGAUUUUUUGGGGAAAAAAAUUAAAAUACCAAAAUUUCUCAAGUAAAAUUAACUGAAAAUGUAAAAAAAAUAUAGUGAAAAAUGACUCAAACAAACUCUUAUAUUUAUAGGGUUUAGCCGGGGUAUUUUCGUCAAAUUUUGAAUAAAAUGUAACAACAGGGAUGAUUUUGUAUUUAUGUAUUGUACGGGGGUAUAUGAUACAAAGUAUAUAGUAAAGGUGUUUUUUGUUUUUGUAUUGAACCCUAAAAUUUAAAGCCGUACAUUCCCUUCUAUCCUAGAUUUGCCGUAGCCAAAACCAACACACACUGCAACCCCAUCGCCGGCGAAGCACCUCCCAUGCAAACUCACGCGCCGCCCUACAAAAACUCCGAAACCAUGGCUGAUAAUACAUCAUAUCUUUCACCGGAAAUCAUAGAAAAUAUCCUGUCGAGAUUACCGGCUAAAUCUCUUCUUCGAUUCAAAUCAGUUUCGAAAUCAUGGAACACCAUGAUCGCCGAUCCUGUAUUCGUCCAAAAUCAUAUCCGACAAUCCAAACAUUCAAACUCCGACAACCUUUUUCUAUAUCAGGAUGCAGCGUUUUGUUCUUGCACCAUAUUCAAAUUGGGAGAUCAAAAAAUCCAAACUUCACAAGUAAUAGAAUCCCCCUACAUCUCGUGGUAUGAGCUAAGCUUUUGCGACGGCGUGAUUCUCUUAACCGACGGCACAUACCGGAGGUUCGUGUUGUGGAAUCCAUCCACUCGAACGUCGCGAAAGCUCUGGCACAAGUACCGCUGUCGCUACGCAGCUUUCGGGCUUUGUCGCGAUCCCACCACCGACGAUUUCAAGGUUGUUAUUGUUGAUAAAGACUACUACUCGGUUUAUUCUUGCAGGAACAAAUCGUGGAUCGCAUGCAGAAAGGAAUACGAAAUCGAACACACUGGUUUAAGCAUGUGCGCCGGUUAUAAUAUCGGGGGAGUCAGCGUCGAUGGGGCUACCUAUUGGGUUAUGAGGUGCCGGAAUUCCAUACGGAUAGUGUAUUAUGAUCCGAGAGACAACAAGUUCGAGUUUUUGCAAAAGCCGGAAGACGACGUAGUCAACGACAACAGAUGGUUUUACGUGGUUGAACUGAGGGGACGCUUGUGCUUGUACUACAACAGUAUAGACGACGAGUCCACGAUUCAGAUUUGGACAAAGGAAAAGGGCAUCGACGGUAAAUCUUGGAACAAGUUGAUGACGAUUGAGAAUGUGGAGAUGUCGAUUUGGGAGUUUCAUCCGCUAUGUUUCGUCGGAAAUAAGAUUGUGAUUUGGGAUAGAGAUCUUCGUAUAUUACUCGUUUACGACCCUUGUAAGAAGAGGUUUGAAGAUUUUGAAGAGGACACUGCGGAGAUGUUCGGCUGUGUGUCGGUUUCGGUUCCGAUUCCGUAUGUAGAUAGCAUUUUCUUCCACACUGAGAAUCCGAGACCCAAGAUGAAGGGAAAGCUGAAGUGUUUACGAUAAGUGGAUACGUAAUGUUUUGGUUCUAAUUAUUUACUUAUCUUGUUAUUCAUGUUCGUUUUCGCUUGUUGAUCGAUCUAUGUUGCUUAAUCCGGUCGAUCGUAACACGUGGAUUAAUAUUAGCCUUUUUGAAGACUCGGGAUAUGUUUUGAUUUUGAACUUUCCUAACAAGUGUUUAUGAAUUUUGUUUCUAUUUAUAGUACGGCGUUUUCCUUAGUCACAUUGUAUGCAAUUAGCCCCGAUAACGACUCUCCUUCCUUCGUAUUUAAUUUAAACAUUACCAUCGGAGAACAGUUAGGGUAGCGCGAGUAUGAAGAGCAAUUUUUUUUUAGCAAAUUGCAAAAGUUGGUAUGUUACCUUCACGUACCACUCGUUGUGAAUACACAGAUUUAACACGGGUUGUUUGCCUUGGAGUUCCUUAUACGGAUCCUUUUUUUUAUCGUCACUAUAUAGAAUUAAUGGAGGCACGCUAUUAGUGUAAAAAAUAAGCAUGUGAUAAUAGGGGGAAAAUUACAGUUUAUGUCCCUAAACUUUACCACUAAAACGAUUUAUGUCCCCAAACAUUUCAAUCCGCUAUAUAUGUCCUUAAACUUGCCACUUUUGAUCACUUUAUGUUCUGCCGUUAACGUCGGCAGCUAACUUCGACGGAAAUUGCACGCGUGGCUCACGUGACGUCCAUGUGGCCGUUAAAUGUCGAGCUGUUCAAAACCCAGUGCCUACUUGGCCGACAAAGAGUGAUGUGGAGCGACACGUCAUUCUCCUCCCCUAUUUCUAUUGUAAAAUCCCUAAUUCUCCAUAUGCCCCAAUUAACCCGUAAAUCGAAGCCCUAAAACCCCAUUUCGAAUCCUUCAAUUGAGUUGAAAUUCCAAAAUAGCAGAAUCGUCUUCCCAAGUUUUUGAAUCUCCGAGUAGUUAAAGCGUCACAAUUGCAAAACAAUUUUCGAUUUGGUAAGUUUCCUCUAUUUAUUUGAACAAUUUUCGAUUUUGGUAAUUAGUGUACUUGUAGUGUUGAUUUCACCUCAAUGUUUUCGAUGUAGCAUAAAAUAUGAGUAAAGGAUCUAAUUAUGGCUGUCGGAGCUCAUCCUCAACGAGCUCUGAUGCUCAUUCAACAUUUUACACAAUCAAUUGUAAAUGUGGAUUUCGUUUGCCAGUGAUUACGUCAUGGACGCCAGACAAUCCAGGGAGAAGAUACCAAGCUUGCCCAAAUUAUGGGGUAAAAUGCUUUCCUUUUAUUUGUUCAUUACAUUAUAUUGGAUUUGUUAUUUCAAGCUUGAACAAAUUAUGGGGUUAAAUGCGUUCUUUUGAUUGAAGUUUUGGGAUUCGUUACAGAAAUCAACCUAUUGUGGUGUAUUCAAGUGGUUGGAUCCUGAAAUAUGUGGUAGAUCCAAGAUGAUUAUCCCCGGACUGCUUAGGAGAGUGAACAAACUAGAGGCUGAAUUAGCUUGCUUCAAAGAGAAAGAAGAAAUAUUGAACCAAGUUGAAGGUGAAGUGGCUUGUUACAAAGAGAAAGAAGAAAAAUUGAACAAGCUAGAAGGUGAACUUGCAAAAGAAAGAAGGAUUAUUCAGAAAAGAGCCAAGAAACUGGAGGGUUUGAUUGCAAUGUACAAUAAGAGGAUGAAGUUGCAAGUUGGAGUCUUUAUGGUCAUACUUCUGUUCAUUGCCAUAUAUGUCAUGAAAAUUGGCAUAGAAAGGGGGUAUAUGUAAUGUUUUGUUUGAAUGUGGAUGUUGUUUCUAAUGUUUUGUUUAUGGUUAAUUAUCAGCUGUUAGGAAUUGGAAUUCUUGUAAUGGUGGAUUUGGUAAUUUGGUUGUAGUUCUUGAAUUUUGGUGAAUUUGGUGAAUUUGGUAGUAGUAAUUGACUGAUCGAUUUUCAGUUGUUAGAAGUUCUUGUAAUGGUGAAUUUGGUAAUUUAGUAAUAAUUCUUGAGUUUGGUGAAUUUGGUAGUGAUUCUUGUAUUGGUCAUUUGAUGAUUCUUGUACCUUGUAUGUAUUGAUCAAUUAUAGAACUUAUAUAUACAUAAUUAAACUUUCAAACAUUCAAUAACUUAAAAGAGCCAUCAAACAUCUCAUACAUAAUUAAGCUUUCAAACAUUCAAUAACUUAAAAGAGUCAUCAAACAUCUCAUACAAACCAACUGUGUUCAAAUUCAAACAAAUCAAACAUCUCAAACAAACCAACAAACCAUCAAACUGUGUUCAAAUCCAAACAAAUCAACAAACCAUCAAACUGUGUUCAAAUCCAAACAAAUCAACAAACCAUCAAACUGUGUUCAAAUCCUAACAAACCAUCAAACAUUAAACAACCAAAUAUUCAACAUUCAAACAUCAAACAAACAAAAUAACAAAAGUACAAUCUUGUUCAAACUUGAUCACUUCUUCAUCUUAGAGGCUGACUUGGAAGCAACUACUGACUUGGAAGAUGCCUUGAAAGCAACUACUGACUUGGAAGAUGCCUUGGAAUUUGUGAUGGAUGCAGAGGCUGACUUAGAAGAACUUGCACCAAUUUCAGAGCCUGAGUUUCCCUUCAGUUGAUUGGUCACUGAUGAUGCUAAAUUGGAUAGUGUUAUGAAAUUAACACCUCCUUUUACAAUCAUUGGAGCCUGGAUUGUUGGAGAAGAUUGACUUGGCUGUAAUUAAUAAAAAAAAUAUAAAUUAAUAUAAAUAUUUAUUAUAAAAACAUAAUUAAGAAAAUAUUAAUUUAAAUACCUUAAAGGAUCCAGGUCUUCUAAACUGCAAUUUUGAACAAAUAACUUGCAUAAUUGAAAUUUUAUAUAUUAUAUAAAUUGAGAUAUUGAAAUUAAAAAAAAUAAUACAAUUAUAAACCUGUAAUUUUUCUUUAUCUUUUGCAGUCUGAAUUGGUGGUUGUGGUACUUGUGGAGUUGAAACUGAAGCUUGAGUUGAAGCUUCAACUUCAUUCCUUUGGUCUCCUUGCUCAGCACUCAUACCAUCACCCUUGCUCCCUUCUUGAACCUGUGAAAACUUCCUCUUUUUGCAUGUUUUAGAGUUGUGGUUUGUGCCUCCACAUGUUCUGCACUUGUUUGAUCUUUUAACUCCAACCAGCCUAUGAGGAUUUUUUGCAACAGGUGGCUCAUCUGCUUCUCUCCUCCUAAUUCUUUGAGGCCUACCUACUUUGUCUGUGUAAUUGGGUGGUAAUGGAGGCUCUAUUGUACUGGCAGGCCACAAUUCAGGUCCAUUUAAAGGAAAGAUAGGAGUUUCAUAGCAUUUCAGAUAGGUCUCCACUUUGUAACAAUUGUGCACAUAAGAUUCUGGAUCUUCAUUUCUGCACCAGAUAGCAGAACAUGCAUGUUUACAAGGGAUUCCAGUGAGAUCCCAUUUCCUGCAGCUGCACCUCCUCUCUCUAACAUCAACACUGUGCUGAGUUGAAGGUCCCAUAAUUUGGAAAUUCCACUCAUCAGACCUUAUUGGAAUGCACUCUCCAGCUUCUUUCAUUGUCUUCAUCAACACUUGCUUAAUCUUAGGACAGAGAGGACCAUCCCACUUAAGUGCUUUUUCUCUAUUUAUCUGAAUUCUUGUCAUCAAGAGGUUUCUAAUAGAUUCAAGCAAAGAGAUAAUUGGUUUUUCUCUUGCAUCCAGUAUGAAGCUAUUGAAACACUCACACAUAUUAUUCAACAAAAUAUCACACUUGGGAUAGGUAUUGAAAUGAGACCUAGACCAGUUUUGUGGAGGUUUUUUGGCUAGCCAAAUAUAGGCAUUUUCAUCUAUCUCCUUCAACUCUUGCAUUCUCCUCUGAAAUUCCUCAACUCUAGUUGCCCUUGCUGCAGCCCAUAAGGCUGAUUUAAUGGCCAAUCCAGUGAAACCAUCCCUUUUCAUGUUACUGUGAAGAUGCCUAACACAGUACCUAUUUUCAGCAGUUGGGAACAAGGUUUCAAAGGCUGGAAUCAAGCCCUUUUGCUUGUCAGACAUGAAUGUCCAUGUGUGUUCAUUUUCACUAAAGUUGAGAUCAACAUUCAGCAUAUUCAAAAACCACAUCCAACUCUCUUUUGUCUCACUCUCAACUAUUGCAUAUGCAAUUGGAUAGAUGUUAUUGUUUGGAUCUAAUCCAACUGCACUAAGCAACUGACCCCAUGAUUACCCUUUAACCAACAUCCAUCUACCCCAACCACUGGCCUGCAACCAUUCCUAAACCCAAUUUUACAUGCAUUAAAACACAUAUAAAAUCUUUUAAACAUGUUUUCAUCAUUCAACUGCAUUCUCACAGUAGAGCCAGGGUUACUCCUAUCUAACUCUUGACAAUAAUCCCUUAUUUUGCUAAACUGUUCCUCUAAAGUACCCUGAAUCAGAUUCAGAGCCUUUUGCUUUGCCCUAUAGGCCUGUGAUCUAGAUACAUUGGCCUUUAAGGUGGUACAAACUUCAUUUCUAAAUUCACUUGUGCCCAAUUUUGGAUUUUCUUUCAAUUUUUUCACAAAAGUCUUCCCAAUCCACCCUGAUUUAAUGCUUGUGUUGUUAUAAUUCCAAGAGCAUUUGUUAUGAUUUGGAUUAUAGCUCUUAAUUUGCCAAGCACCAUCCCCCUGCAUCUUUCCCACAUAGCAAAACCACUCACACCCAUCUUUUUUACAAACUGCCCUCAACCUAAUCUUGUCAACCUUCUGAAAUUUUAUCAUCAUACCUCUCCUAAAGCAAUGACUCUCAAUGGCAAACUUAGCCUCAUCCCUGCUACUGAAAAUUAAUCCUAGUUUCAGUUCUGGAUUUUUUUUUUCAGUUCUAGGAUUGAACUUAGGGUAUUUCACCCCAAGACUUUCUUCAUCACUACCACCACUGACAAAGUCAUCAUCACUAGCAACAAGAUUUUCCUCCCCUUCUUCAUUAUAUAGCUUAUCAAACAUCCCACCACUUAUGAAUUCACUACCCUCAUCUAUCUUACCCUUGCCCUUGUCUAAACCACCAAAUUCAUCUUCAGGAUCAACAUAAGCUUCAAAUAGCUUAUCAUCAUCCUCCAUAUCAUACUCUGACUCAUAAAAAAUGUCAUCAUCUUCACUGUCAUCACCCUCAUCACUUAACUCUACCCCAGUUUCAUCUAUCCCAAUUUCAUCAUUUAUGACAGAUUCAGUACCCCCCUCUGAGUUAUUAACCUUUUCAAUGAACAUCUGAACUUCAAAGUUUGAAGGAAUACAGUCAGCUAUGCUAAGAACAUCAGCAUCAGUUUCAAUUGGCCUAAAAUAAUUCUCAUGUUUUAGCCAAAAUUUGAAACUUCCCUUCUCAGUGUACCCUAAAGCAUUUGCAAAAUCCCACAUAUCUAAUAUACCAAAUUGGUCAAUAUCCAAAAAAUCAAAGCAUUCUACCUGCCCUCCUAUAUAUGUUCUAGUUGGUUCAUGCCUCAUUGUUCCACCAUAAAAAAAUUUCAUGCUAAAACAUGUAGGUUCACCCAUUUCAACUACGGUGUUUGAGGAAGCAAAAACAAAAAAAACAAAAAAAAAACAAAAAUUAGAAAAAUCAAAAAUCACAUUUUCACAUAAUUUAACAACAUAGCUACAAAGUUAAGGAUACUUACUGUAGUUUGGAGUCCACUGAAUGCCGGAUUCGCUCCUUCUUGACAUUUUCUUCUCCAAAAAUCUCCCAAAGCAGCGUAGCUUCUGAGAAGGAAACAACUCUUCAAAUGUGAAAAUGUUUGGAUUUUUAUGGGUUUGUGACUCCGAUUUUAGUCUGGGUUAGAGCAAGAAUGCAUAUUGGAUUGAAAAUUUGGGAAUGAGUUGAGCUGAUUGAAAUUGUGAAGUGUGGGAAAAUUAGGGUUUAUGAGUGAAACGUGAUUUGGAUUUGGGAUUUGGGAGAAUGAGUUAGAGGAAAUUACUAUAUUGUGCCACGUCAAUAUUUAAUUUUCAAUAUAUUAUUCCACGUCACAUUUAACGGCCACAUAGACGUCACGUGAGCCACGCGUGCAAUUUCCGUCGAAGUUAGCUGCCGACGUUAACGGCAGAACAUAAAGUGAUCAAAAGUGGCAAGUUUAAGGACAUAUAUAGCGGAUUGAAAUGUUUGGGGACAUAAAUCGUUUUAGUGGUAAAGUUUAGGGACAUAAACUGUAAUUUUCCCUGAUAAUAGGUGUUAUUAAUUAAUGGUUGCGGCUAUAUGCAAGACUAAUUCCACUUGUGCAACACCAAAUUAAAAUUUUCAAUGUAUAAAUACAAUAAUACCCUUAUUUAUUAAAAAAAAUUAAAAAUGCCAAAUAUGCAAGACCAAAAAUUCAAAAACACAAAAAACCCUAUCACAAGAGCACAAAACCACGAGACCAACUAUCAUCUUCUCCAUCUUCCAAAACUCACAAGACCUUUCUCCUUCCUCCUCCAUUAACCCACAAAACCUAGAAAUUCAAAAUAAUCAAAACUCAACAAAUCUUACAAAGAUGGCAAGUAUGGAGUCAGAAGACAUCAAAAUAGAAGAUUCUACGAUGGAAGAACCCAAGAAUGUAUGCAUUUAUGGGUUUUUUUAGCUAGAAUAUCGAUUUUCAAAAAAAAAUCCCGCGCAAACGAAUUCGACAUGUACAGGUCGAAUUUUACAGGUAAAAAUCGACAUUUAGAUGUCGAAUUUGAGGUAUAAAAGUCGACAUUUAGAUGUCGAUUUUUAGGUAUAAAAUUCGACAUUUGAAUUUGUGCUACAAAUUCGACAUGUCAAUGUCGAUUUUUACCUAUGAAAUUCGACGCUUAGGUGUCGAUUUUUAGCAUAGUUUUUCGACACCUUGGUGUCGAUUUUUGUUUUUUUCUCAUUAUUUGUAUUUGGUCUUACAUGAGAAAAGAAAGCCAAUUUAAUUUAUGGGCAUACUUGUCAUUCCAUCUUAAUAAAAUAGAAUCAUUUGGAAUCUUUCUUUAAUUUGGUAUUGCACAAGUGGAAUGAAUAUUGCAUAUAGCCGCAGCCUUAGUUAAUUAAUUAAUAAGCAUUGCAUAGUCUUAGGAACAUAUACAUAAUUAAGUGUAAAAGAUAUUUUAAUUUCCCUGUGGAGUCUCUUCGUAUGCACGCGUUUUUGCUUCGUUUAAUGUUUUGGUCAUAAUUAGGGUUUAUUUUGCUUAUUAUUUCUAAUGUAUAGGCACCACUUCUUGUUUGAGAUCUAUCAAUUACUUGCGAAUUAUAUGAGCUUCUCCUCGAGUAAUAUUUUACCUGUGUAAAGUUGUUAUCGAGUCCUUCUGACGGGUUCUCUUCGGUUCAAAUAUAAAUAAACGAAAAAAGGCUCCAUUUAUUGGAAGAGUAACCGACUAAUUAACAAUUUAUACGAAGAAUGAAGAAAAAUAUUUGGGGAAUUUGUUACUAAAACGAACUUCUAAUUCAUCAAAAAAUGCAUAAAUGGCCGCCUAAAAGAGUUUCCGAUAUGUUCGUAAGUUUUGCUCCCAAAACACCGAUAUAUUAAGAAGCUGUUUAACUGUCCUUGCUACAUAAUCAUUCCGGCAGUAUAUCCGAUGUUUAACUGUCCUUGCUACAUAAUCAUUCCGGCAGUAUAUCGAUCGAUCUUCUAUAUAUUGCCUUAGAGCCCGUUUGGCUAAGCUUAUUUAAAACAUCUUAUAAGUUCCUACAUCUGAUAAGAUGUUUUAGGAGCUGAUAAGCUGUUAGAUCUUAUUUUAAAAAUUAUUUUUUAAGGUGUUUGGAUAUAUAGCUUAUAAGUUACUUUUUGGUUUUAUAAGUUGUUCAGGUGUUUGGAAAUAAAAGGUCUGUUUAUUGCUAUAAUGACAAAAAAGUACAUGACGCCAAUAUAAUUGUUAAACUUAUUUGACUCAAAUACUUUUGUUCCUAAAAUAUUAUUAUAAUAUUUACAAAUUAAUUUUUCAAAUAAUAAUAAUAAUAUAAAAUAAAAGUUGUAAAAGAAAUAUAAAUUUUUUUUAUAGAUGAAAGAAAUAUAAUUUAUUAUGGAGAUAAUAAGAAUAUUCGUGUAUUUUUAUAUACAUAUAAAAUAUAAAUAGAGAAUAAUUUUUUUUACAAUUAUUAUGAUAAUUACGAUAAUUAUAUUUAACUAAUUAUUAAUCUUGAUUACAAGAAUACGUUGUUUUGAUAAAAUAUAAAUAUUAUUAGUAUUCAUGUAAUAUAAUAAAGUAUUUGAGGGUAAUUUUGUAUUUUAAGUGUUUUAGUAAAGAAGCAAAUAAGAUCUUAAAGAAAAAAGGUGGGGUAGAGGUACUUUUUAAAAAACAUCUUAUAAGCUCCCUAACAGCUUAUUUUUGGAAAAAAUAAGAUCUUUUGCAAUUUUUUUACCAAACACCUUUUAACAACUUAUAAGCUCCUAAACAUCUUAUAAGAUGCUUUUAGGAGCUUAUAAGCUUAGCCAAACAGGCUCUUAAACUAUUUCGAUUCACCUAUAGCCCCGUUUACUUUUUUUUUCGUGGACUAUACCAACUAUAAAAAAACCAAAAUAAAAAAUGAGAUAAGUCGAAGAUAUAUGAAAAUGCGAUUUUAUAAUAUCACUAUUUAUAAGCAAUUUUAAAACUGCAGUAAUUCUUCAAGAACAAGAAAAUCAAGUAACAUGUUUAAUAUUUGCAGAAAUCAUUUCUAAGCUACUAAAAAUAAAAAGAAAAAAAAAGAAAAAAAAGAAAAAAAGAAAAAAAGGAAAGAUUCUUCAAUUCACCAGCCUAGUCCUCAUCAUCUAAUAACAGCAAUCCCCAGAGUCUCGUUUUUCUUCAAAUUCCGAUCGGCGGGCUUUCUAAAAUACUUAACGACGUAAAUCGUAUUCCUUUCAUCAUCGUCAACACGAUCAGGCUCGUAAAAUGUAACCACGUCUCCAGCUUUCAAGUUAUGAGCCCUAACGAACAUUCCCCAUCCUCCACCAAUCUGGUAGUGUACGCUCCCCCCACUUCUGACCUUCGAUAACACCAUUGCGUAUCUCCGAUUGAUUCCGUCGAACACAAUCAUGGUCUUCGAGUACGAUUCCGGAUCCUGGUUUUUAAUAUUCGGAUCGCCGGAUAUUAUUAACGCAUUGAUACGGACUAAAUUGUCCUCAGGGGGUUUCCUAAUCAUUUAUUGGGCCAUGGAUUGAAUCUUCACUGGGAUUUGGCCCAAAAUCAUAUCAGGCCCAAGAAGAAGAGUUAGGGCAAGUUUGCUUAUUUCUUGCUCAUCAAGUAUCCUCACCUAUAAAGAGGGAGUUAUUCUCAACUCAUUACUUCUAUGCUCUCUCUUACAUAUCACACUCGAUUAUCUCUCUAUAAACUGACUUGAUCGUCGGAGCUUCUACGCCGGGAAACCCCUCCCGGUGUUGCAGGUACCCCUCCGGCGGAAUUUCCGGCAAGCUAUCAUCACAAUAUCGUCCAAGGAAGACAGGUCAUCAUCUCAACAAUUUUGGAGCAAAUCAAGUGGCGCCGUCUGUGGGAAACAGAUCUCGAGCUAGGACGUGAGAUGAUUUGAUUUUGGAGGUUGGAGAAUAUGAGCUGCCUCUGAUAGCAGAUCUAAAGGGAAGAUCGAAGAAGAACGGUUCAGAAUAUUUAUUGGGGAGUUUUUUUUAAUGGGAAAUCAAGAAAGAGGCUCAACAAAUCUGGUGUUCGGUAUCUAGAUCGAUGAAGUCAAAGAGGUGGAGAAUCUGAAAAUAAAUCUUUCCUUAAUGGUUGAACUCGACCAAAAGAAAUAUAAAAAAUAAAUAAAAUAGAUUCUCGAGGUAAAAAACAUGAAACGAGUUCAAAUCCUAAGUCAAGAGCUUGACGAAUCAGGUUAGGAAGAGAAAGGAGAGAAGCAGCAGUCAAUCCCCGUCUCAGUGCUCGUCGGUCCAUGACCACCGAGCGAAGUCUCGCCGACCUCGUCUGAACGAAAUCGAAUCUCGCAAAAUCGGGAUUUGCUGAGCCAUCUCUCGCCUACCGAACGUCGGCCAAGCUGAAUCUCGCGGGCUCAUCACCUCGACAUCCGAUUCUCUUCUCUUCGCCGAAGCCCAGAGCCGCCAAUUGAGCAAUAGCUCGGUCAGUUGUUUUCUUUCGUACUGGCCGCUCCAAAUCUGACCGUCUAAGUCUGUCAACCAUUACCAAUCGAAAGAAAGGGGAUGUUAAUUUUGAAUCAGAUCUGAAAUCAAUUUAAACGGCCCGAGUUGAUGCAGUUCGUGGAGGAGUUCUACCGAGCUUACCGUGCACUAGCAGAAAAGUACAACCACACCACGGGUGAACUUCGCCAAGCCCAUCGAACCAUAUCGGAGGCAUUUCCCGAAGAAGUACCUUUCGAACUCGGGUUGAAAAAACGGGGUUUGAAACAAUUGCACGAAAUGCUUCAAUGUUCAAAUUUUUCCGACAAAGGGAAAAACGGGAGUAAUGAAGUUCAAGGGCUAAAGAAAGCCCUUUUGGAUAUCGAAGAUGAAAAGGAAGAUGUGCUACUCCAGUACCAACAAUGUCUUGUAAAGCUUUGUAAAAUCGAGGGAGAGAUAAAUGAGGCACAAGAAAAAUCGUGAAGAGCUGAAAUCGAAGCCCAAGCUUUGAAGGAAGCUCUCAUUCAAUUAGAGGCUGAAAAGAAUGCUGGACUGGUCCCACAGAAAGAGUAUUUGGAGAGGAUAUCUGAUCUCGAGGCUAUGGUUUCGAAAUCCCAAGAAGAUACGAAGGGGCUCGACGAAAAAGCGUUCGAAGCAGAAAGCGAAUCUCGAACCCUAAAAGAUAAAAUAUCGAGAUUAGAGCUCGAAAAGGAGACGGUGAUGCAAUAGUACAAACAGUGCCUCGAAAAAAUAUCAGAGUUGGAGAACAAAAUCUCUAUAAUCGAAAAUGAGGCCAGCCUCCUUAAGAAACGAGCCGAGAGAGCUGAAGCUGAAGUUUCUGAACUAAAAAGGGCGUUUGCUCAUCUGAACAAGGAAAAAGAAGCUUCGGCCCUACAGUACAAGUGCUGCCUGGAAAUUAUAUCCAAGCUCGAAAAAGAUAUAUCAAGCUUGAAUGAUAAAGUCUCAAUUGGAAAUGAGAAGCUCAAGACUACCGAAGAGAAGUGUGCUCUGUUCGAGAAGUCGAAUCAAUCACUGCGAGUCGAAGCGGAUAAUCUUGCGAAAAAGAUUGCUGCGAAAGAUCAAGAACUCUCAAAAAAGCAGGGCGAAUUAGAGAGUCUUGAAGUGCGUUUUAAAGGACGAGCAUUUCCGCCACGAAGAAGUCGAAGCCACUCUCGAGACUCUGCAAAAUUCGCACUCUAAAUCUCGAGAUGAUCAAAUGGCUCUGACGCUUGAGCUCAAAAAUGUAGUUCAAGAGUUGAGAGAAACUGAAGCUAGCAAAAAUUGUUUGGAAGAAGAGAUUCGGCAGGUUAGAGAUGAAAACGAUAGUUUGAGCCAAACGAACUCUUCUAUGAAGAGUAUGCAGAAUGAAAUCUUUAGUUUGAGGGAGAAUAAGGAAAGGCUCGAAAAGGAAGUUUCGCACCACAUUGGGAUAACUAUUUUUCUUCAAAGGGAAAUUUCGAAUUUGAAAGAAGAAAUCGAAGGGUUGAAUAGGCACUAUCGGGAUUUAGUGGAGCAAGUGGAAGAAGCAGGUCUCGACCCCAUGUGUGUGUUGAUUUCGAUUAAGUGCUUGCACGAGGAGAAUUCGAAACUGAGGCAACUAUGCGAAAAAGGCAGAAACGAGAAAGCAAUCAUGUCGAAGAAGCUAGAAAAUAUUGAAGACGCAUUGUUGGAAUCGGGCCAAUUUAUUUACGGAGAAAAAACUGCUCUAGUUGCUGAGAAAGCUUCUAUUUUGUCUCAAUUACAAGCCAUGACCGAGAAUAUGCAGAGUUUAGUGGGAAGAAACGCCGUUUUGGAGAAUUCACUAUCCACCGCCGAAAUCGAGCUCGAAGGUUCGAGGGAAAAAUCGAAAGGGUUAGAGGAGAUUUGCAAAUUACUCAAGAACGAAAGAUCGCGUCUUUUGACCGAAAGGGGCAGUUUAGUUUCGAAGCUGGAAAACGCGGAGAGAAGGUUGCACAUUUUGGAGAAAAAAAAUUAUGGGGUUGGAAGAAAAAUACACUGAUUUAGAGAAAGAGAAAGAAGCCAUGCAUGAUCAAGUCGAAAAGUUCAAGGUAUCGUGGGAUGAGGAAAAUCAAGAACGGACAAGCUCUCAGAUUUUGAGCGAAACCCAAUUGGCCGGGCUCGAAAAUCAAAACGAUCUCCUUAAAGAAGAGAACACGUGUAAGAAAAAGGAAACAGAGCAAGAACUCGAUAAAGCUUUGAAAGCGCAGUUCGAAAUAUCCGUCUUGCAUAAAUUUAUAAAAGGUAUGGAAGAGAAGAACUACUCGCUCAUUAUUGAGUGUCAAAAACACGUCGAGGCAUCGAAAUUGGCGGAGAAAUUGAUAUCCGAACUGGAGGGUGAAAGUCUUGAGCAGCAAGUUGAAUCUGAGUUCCUAUUGGAUGAAAUCGAGACACAAAAAAUACACUUAGAGCAAGAGUCGAAACUCAUGGCUGAGAAGCUUAGGGCUGUCGAACACGGAAAAAAUGAAUUUGUGGAAAUAAAUGGGAAAUUGAAGUCGGACGCGAGUGAAGGUCGUAAAGAAGCUGCUGUACUCGAGGCUGAAUUCGGGAGUCUUUGUGUCAAACAAGCUGAUUUGCAGAAGGCGUAUAAUGCAUUACAAGCAGUUUACUCGAAAGUGAAUCAAGAAAAUACGUAUUUGUGGAAGAAGUUUUCGGGUCUGAAAGAUGAGAAAUACGAGUUAGAUCGGUAUAAAGAUGAUGCAAUUCUUGAUUUUUUAUCAUCUGCUAAUGUAUCUGAAGUCUUGAGGAGUCUCGGGAGAGAGAAAAUCGAAGAAGUGAAAUUACUUCUCGCAGAUCUGAGCCGACAAAAUAAGGUCAAUGUUAGCCUCGAAAAGGUAAUGAGUGUGUUGAUAGGGAAGCUUGAGUUGCAAAAGGCGGAAAAUUUAGCCCUGAAAGAUGCCGUUUUUAGCUUGGAAAUCGAGAGGGAUGUGGUCAGAGAAUACAAUGUUCGAAUGAACCAGGAUGUAAUAAAUGGUAAAGAGAGUUUGCUUCAAACACAAGCAGAGCUCUUCGAUGCAGAAACGAAGCUCGAAGCUGCGGAAAAAUCGAACUUAGCUCUGUGCACAACAAUGGCCGAAAUGAAGAAGGAAAACGAGAGCCUUAACUUAGCGAACAAGAAUUUGGAGUCGGAAAUUUGCUUACUUCGUCAAAAAAAAGAAGAAAAUAAAACUAGAGAGCAGAAUUUGAGCAACGAAUUCGAGCUAUGGGAAGUUGAAGCAUCGACGUUUUGCUUUGAUCUUCAGGCUUCGAUCCUACCCCUGAGCUCGAUAUUGGUUAAUAGAUAUCCAUGGAUUAUUAAUUCAACGGCUCGUAUUUCCUCUCAUAUACCCCGGAAGAUCCCUCAAAGCACAAAACUUAUUUCCAUAAUUUAGCGGGCUGGGUUUUCUUGAAAGUUCGGAGUUCUCGAAUGAACCCGAAGCUGGGUGAAACCUUGAAACUCACACUCACAAUUCACACCUCAAAUUCAUUUCUGGUAAUUAGACUUUUUGCCACUCACAUUUAUUACGAGAGGAGAUUAUGUGAGAAGAGAAGAUACAAGCCAUAUUUUUAUGUGAGGUUUCCACCUCGGCAAGAGGUCGCUACGAGUCGAGGCGAUCAAGUGUUAACACCACUAGGUUUAUCGAAGCUCAUAUAUUUAUCUUAAAAUGGGGCUCUCUCGUUAACUCGCAUCCUCUACCUAAAGCUCGAAGUUAUCCCCCGGCGAGAUUGUUGAAUACUUGCCUUAUCCCGGAAGCUCUCGUUCACAUUGCUCACACUUCUAUGCCAAUUAUCCCACAACUCCGAGUCGGAUUUCGCCGGCUCGAACAUUGUCAUCUCGGUACUCUCUAACCGAAUCUCGCCGACCCAACGCCCGUCGAGGACUUUUCGAGACUUGUAGUUCUCUCAUAUCUAACAUUGGUCCUAUGAAGCUCGCAUCUCCACCUCGAAUACGAAUCUAUGAAAGCUCGAACUCCUCUUAAUAUCCUUGCGAAGUAAGUUCUCUUUUAAAAGAUGUGCCUAUACCUCCAUGGCAAUAACUCUUUUCAUGAAACUUGAAAUUAUCCAUCACCUGGAUAGAAUAUAUUAAUACAAUACUAACUAAUGGAUUGGUGGAACAACGAGGCGUUAAAUCGCGUGUUUCACCGAGGCGUUAAAUCGCGUGUUUUACCGAGGCGUUAAAUCGCAUGUUUCACCGAGGCGUUAAAUCGCGUGUUUCACCGAGGCGUUAAAUCGCGUGUUUCACCGAGGCGUUAAAUCGCGUGUUUUACCGAGGCGUUAAAUCGCGUGUUUUACCGAGGCGUUAAAUCGCGUGUUUUACCGAGGCGUUAAAUCGCGUGUUUCACCGAGGCGUUAAAUCGCGUGUUUUACCGAGGCGUUAAAUCGCGUGUUUCACCGAGGCGUUAAAUCGCGUGUUUUACCGAGGCGUUAAAUCGCGUGUUUUACCGAGGCGUUAAAUCGCGUGUUUUACCGAGGCGUUAAAUCGCGUGUUUCACCGAGGCGUUAAAUCGCGUGUUUUACCGAGGCGUUAAAUUGCGUGUUUUACCGAGGCGUUAAAUCGCGUGUUUUACCGAGGCGUUAAAUCGCGUGUUUUACCGAGGCGUUAAAUCGCGUGUUUCACCGAGGCGUUAAAUCGCGUGUUUCACCGAGGCGUUAAAUCGCGUGUUUCACCGAGGCGUUAAAUCGCGUGUUUCACCGAGGCGUUAAAUCGCGUGUUUUACCAGGGCAUUAAAUCGCAUAGACGUUAGCUCGCGUACCAAAAUGAGGCGUUAAAUCGCGCAAAAACGAGGCGUCAAAUCGCGAAAAAAUGAGGCGUUAAAUCGCGCAAAAUGAGUCGUUAAAUCGAGCCAAUGAGUAAUUAAUCGUGCAAAAGUGAAGCGUGGUAAGUGCAAAAAAUGAAGCGUUAAAUCGCGCGAAAAUGAGGCGUUAAAUCGAAACGAAAUGGGGCGAGGUAAGUGAAAAAACGAAGCGCUAAAUCGCUAGAGACAUUCAAGCCAAUGCGGCGAGAUAAGCGCACGACUCAUACAACCAGAGAAAAAACGAUGUAAGGCGAAAAGACAACAUGUGAAUAAUACUCCUAGUCUAAUCACGAUUUCUAGACUUCGGAGUAGGGGGGAGUAGUUGAUACGGACUAAAUUGUCCUCAGGGGGUUUCCUAAUCAUUUAUUGGGCCAUGGAUUGAAUCUUCACUGGGAUUUGGCUCAAAAUCAUAUCAGGCCCAAGAAAGAAGAGUUAGGGCAAGUUUGCUUAUUUCUUGCUCAUCAAGUAUCCUCACCUAUAAAGAGGGAGUUAUUCUCAACUCAUUACUUCUAUGCUCUCUCUUACAUAUCACACUCGAUUAUCUCUCUAUAAACACUGACUUGAUCGUCGGAGCUUCUAUGCUACGGGCUUUUUCACGAUCGAACCGUUGGCGAUUUCAAGGUAGUUGUUAUAUGUAGGGACCACUGCGCGGUUUAUUCGUGCAAGGACAAAGCGUGGACGAGGAAGCGACGAAUUCAAGAUAUUGGCCUAGUAUUGAUUGGUUCCGGAGUUUGUGUCGACGGGGUUGUCUAUUGGGUUAAUCGUUGGAGUAGCGACGGAACACAUAUUUUAUAUUUCGAUACAAAAGAUGACGACGAGUUGAAGGUUUUGCGGAAACCGGAAAAUGUUAACUUAACGGGCAAAAUGAUCGACUUGAUUUGCUUGAGAGACAACUUGUGCAUGUGUUGCAUUGGUAGAGGCGUGACGAAUGUUCAAAUCUGGAUAAAGGAAAAGGGCUCUGGCAAUAGUACUUGGAAGGAGUUGAUGACUAUUGAGAAUGUGCAGACGCGGGCUUCUUGUUUCGAGCCACUACUGCAUUUUGUCGGGAAUAAGAUUUUAAUUGUAUGGAAAGAUUCAAAGUUAGUCGUCUACAACCCUUCUGAGAAGACGUUUGAAGAAGUUGACGAUAGUGUGCUUUCCGGACGCGGAUUUUUUCCGUUUACGGAGAGUCUUUUCUUCCCCAAUCAAAAUAAUUAAAGUUUUUUUUUCUUUUUUUCUUUUAUUUUCGAAAAUUAGUUUGUAGUGGAUUUAAGGGUCAAUUUGUGUUUCUGAAUCGAAAGUGGAUUUAUGAAUGUGAACACUGAACACAAACCAGAGCAACCAAACUGACCCGUGCCCAAAUUAAAACUAAUAUCAAAUAUAGGACCUAAUUGCAAUAUUUGAAAACUUCCAUUAAAACAACCCUUAAAUUAAACCUAAAUCUGCCAUGGCCAAAACCAAAAUUCCAAAACCAUGGCUGAUAGUACAUCAUAUCUUCCACCGGAAAUCAUAGAAAAUAUCCUGUUGAGGUUACCGGCUAAUCUCUUCUUCGAUUCAAAGCAGUUUCAAAAUCAUGGAAUACCGUUAUCGCCGAUCCUGUAUUCGUCCAAAAUCAUAUCCGACAAUCCAAACAUUCAAACUCCGACAACCUUUUUAUAUGUUAUGAUCAUAUGAUUUUUUCUUGCAGCACUUAUCCUUUUCGAGUGAUUAAAUUGGGAGAUAAAAAAAUCCAAACUUUACAAGAAAUAGAAUCCCCGUAUGAGUAUGGCAGGUGGCAUGCGUUAUGCUUUUUAGAUGGCGUCAUACUCUUAACCGACGGCACAUACGAGAGAUUCGCGUUGUGGAAUCCAUCCACUCGAACGUCGGAAAAGCUUCGGCACAGGUAUAGCUGUCCGUACGCAGCUUUCGGGCUUUGUCGCGAUCCAGCCACCGACGAUUUUAAGGUUGUUAUUGCUGAUUCAGACCACUACUCGGUUUAUUCUUGUAAGAAAAAAUCAUGGAUCAUGUUGAAAAAAGAAUACGAAAUUAAAUACACCUAUUUAGGUGUAGACAUCGGUUAUAAUAACAACGGAGUCUGUGUUGACGGGGCUAGCUAUUGGGUUUUGAGUUCCGCGCAGAUAGUGUACUUUGAUCCGAGAGACGACAAGUUCGAGUUUCUGCAAAAGCCGGAAAACGUCGUCGACGACAAUAGACGGUUUUACGUGAUCGAAAUGAGGGGACACUUGUGCAUGUACUACAACGGUAUAGACGACGAGUCAACGGUUCAGAUUUGGACAAAGGAAAAGGGCAUUGACGGUAAUUCUUGGAACAAGUUGAUGACGGUUGAGAAUGUCGGGAUGUCGAUUUGGGAGUUUGAGCUGAUAUGUUUCGUCGGAAAUAAGAUUGUGAUUCGAAAUAGAGCUUUUGAUAUAUUACUAGUUUACAACCCUUGUGAGAAGAGGUUUGAAGGAUUUGAAGAGAACACUGCUGAGGUUUUAGGCUCUGCAUCGGUUCCGAUUCCGUAUAUAGAUAGCAUUUUCUUCCCCACUGAGGAUCCGAGACCUAAGACGAAGAGGAAGCGGAAGUGUUUACAAUAAGUUGAUAAAUAAUGUUUUGGUUGUAAUUUUUUUACUUGUUAUUCAUGAUCGUUUUGCUUGUUGAUCUAUGUUGCUUAAUCCGGUCGAUCGUAACACGUGGAUUAAUAAUAGCCUUUUAAAGAUGUGGGAUACGCCAAUCUGGGAGUUUAAGCCACUUUGUUUCGUCGGAAAUAAGAUUAUAGUUCGCCUUGGAUCGACUCGAGUUCCUUAUACGGAUAGUCUCUUCGUUUAAUGUUUUGGUCCUAAUUACUUGACAUUAGGGUUUAUUUUGCUUAUUAUUUCUAAUGUAUAGACACCACUUCUUGUUUGAGAUUUAUCAAUUACAUGCGCAUUAUAUGAGCUUCUCCUCGAGUAAUUUUUUUCCUGUGUAAAGUUGUUAUUUAGUCCUUCUGACCGCUGACGGGUUCUUUUCGGUUCAAAUAUAAAUAAACUAAAAAGGGCUCCAUUUAUUGGAAUAGAAACAAAUUACACGAAGAAUCAAGAAAAUAUUUGGGGAAUUAAUUUGUUACUAUAACGAACUUCAAAUUCAUCAAAAAAUGCAUAAAUGUCCGCCUAAAAGAGUUUCCAAUAUGAUGUUCGUAAGUUUUGCACCCAAAACACGGAAAUAUUAAGAAGCUGUUUAACUGUCCUUGCUACAUAAUCAUUCCGGCAGCAUAUCGAUCGAUCUUCUGAAUAUGCCUUACACUAUUUCGAUUCACCUAGCCCCGUUUACUUUUUUUUUUUUUUUUGCGGAUUUCUCUUCUAUCUCUUCUGUUACUUUUUUAUUUAAUUUUAAACUCACUCUGUAGAUUUAUUUGCUUGUGACUGAGAAUCUUGAAAUUCCUGAUAUACAUGUAGUAUAUAUAUAUCAACCUAGAUUUUCUUGAUAUGUAAAUCUCAGAAUUCAACUAAAGAAAGGCCUUUCUGCCUCUACACACAUUAUGAACAUAAUAAAAAAUGAGAUAAGUCGAAGACAUAUGAAAAUGCGAUAACUUCGAUAUUCUAAUUUCACUAUAUAUAAGCAAUUUUAAAACUGCAGUAAUUCUUCAAGAACAAGAAAAUCAAUUAACAUGUUUAAUAUUUGCAGCAAUCAUUUCUAAGCUACUAAAAAUUUAAAAUAACAAAAAAAAAAAAGAAAAAAAGGAAAGAUUCUUCAAUUCACCAACCAGCCUAGCCCUCAUCGUCUAAUAACAGCAAUACUCGGAGUCUCGUUUUUCUUCAUGUUCCGGUCGGCCGGCUUUCUAAAAUACUUAACGACGUACAUCGUAUUCUUUUCGUCAUCGUCAUCACGAUCGGGCUCGUAAAACGUAACCACGUCUCCAGCUUUCAAGUUAUGAGCCCUAACGAACAUUCCCCAUCCUCCACCAAUCUGGUAGUGUAUGUUCCCCCCACUUCUGACCUUCGAUAACACCAUUGCAUAUCUCCGAUUGAUUCCGUCGAACACAAUCAUGGUCUUCGAGUACGAUUCCGGAUCCUGGUUUUUAAUAUUCGGAUCGCCGGAUAUUAUUAACGCAUCAACAUGAUCGAGUUGCAGCGUGGCGUUUUCCUUUAUCACGUCGUAUGCAGUUAGCGUCUUCGAUAGGCAUUCUUCUUCCGUUCGGUAGUAACUGCACAUAGUGAUUGAUUAAGUAACCCUUUUUUAUUUUGUUCUAGGGUUUAAAUGAUAAAGAGGAUGGAAGAGAGAGAGAGAGAGAGAGAGAGAGAGAGAGAGAGAGAGAGAGAGAGAGAGAGAGAGAGAGAGAAACCUGGCACCAGGGCCCGAAGGUUGCUCUAACGAUGACAGUAGAAUCUCGAAAUCUUCAUCGGAGUCGGAAUCGGAUCUAUCGGGGGGUUCGCCGAUCUUUGCUUUCCCUUUCUCUUUCCUCGAUCGGCGUGGAUAAGCAACACCAUUACUUCUUUCAACCAUUUUCUUGAAAUUAUUCUGAUCUGUUCUUUGAUUUUCUUCAAGAGUAGUGGUGAUGUAAUCUGAUCGAGAAGAAACAGUUGGUUUAUUUGAGUUUAUAAACCGCCUUUCGGAUUAAUUGUGUACUUCUCUUUUGCGUUCUUUAACUAUACACACACACACACAUAUAUAUAUAUAUAUAUAUAUAUAUAUAUAUAUACACACACACACACUCAAUCUACUUUUUUUUUUAAUUAAUUCAAAAAAUUAAAUAGUUGAAGCAGUGAUUUGGCCAGGAAACGGCUCAAUACAUUUAAAUUACGGUAAAUUCCUUAUUUUUGAGAAAUUAUAUCAAGUCCCCUACAGUUUGUAAAUUUCUAACAUCUACCCCUACAAAAGGGUGUUAAUGUAAGAAAUCUAUAAAUUUCAGAGAGGUGGAUGUAAUUGUAAACCACAAAUUUUCGAGUCUGCAAAUUAUAAUAAAAAUACAAGACAAGAAAAUAGGGAACAAAUAAUUUGUUAAUCAAAACGAUGUGGAUUACAUCUCGAAUUUAAAUAUGUUAUGAAUUCGAGGAAUCGAAUAUAUGAUUUCCUAUCACGAACAUCUCGAAUUCAAAUAUGUUAUGAAUUCGAAUUCAAAUAUGUUAUGAAUUCGAGGCUCAAAUAUGUUAUGAAUUCGAGUCGGAGGCUCGAGACGUGAGCUUGAGAGCUCGAUAUGUGUCUUUGUGAGUCUGAUUUUUAGAUGCACCAAAGAUCUUCUUUUAUAGACACAAUCUAGGGUUAGGGUUUCUCGACUUGUAGAGUGGGCCAGACAUUUUAAAACCCAAAUAUAUUAUGGACUUUAAUUUGAGACCUAAAUUAAUAACCGAUUUAUUUUGGUUAUUAAUUAGUAAUUUAUCUCAAAAUUUCGAUGUCUACAGUAAUUCUGAAAAAAAUGAGGGGUUCUUUCGGUAAUAGACAUCACCUUAGGGAGCGGUUACAAUUUAGCCUUUAGAAUUAAGACCGUUUAUACAGUUUUUCAAAUAUUUAAGCGAAACAAGCACCUUGAGCCUGAUUCGGACGCAACAACAACUAACUGCGUCUAUGGCAUACGCUCGUCUUUAAAUAAACUCCUUAUAUAAGAUUCAAAAACACGAUUCUUUAAAAUGUUUAUAAUAAACUCCGUUGAAGUCAUCAUUGUCAAGUACGACUAAGUACUAACGACUGAAUUCUCUGCUAAACACGGUUUUUAAAGAUAAGCAAAAAUCGCAAUAAAUACAUCAAAGCUAACAUAAUCCAAGAAGAACAGUACGUACAAACACCGGUUUACUAACAAAUGAAAAACAUCACUGCAAAAUCAGUUAAAUAAGAUAUCAAAUAGAUUAAAAACAAAUUACGAGGAAGCAAGACCUAAGAUCGAAGUCUAUAAACUCAUGGUUUACAAUAAGUGGGUAAAUAAUGUUUUGGUUGUAAUUUAAAAACUUGUUAUUCAUGUUUGUUUUGCAAAUUGAUCUAUGUUGCUUAAUUCAGUCGAUCGUAACACGUGGAUAAAUAGCCUUUUGGAGACGCGGGAUAUUUUUUAUUUUGAUCGUUCCUAUUGUAAUAGCUAACAAGUGUUUGUUUAUGCAUUUUGUUUCUAAAGGCAGUGAGUGAUCUUUUUUUUUUUUUUUUUGGUAAUGCAGGAACCCGCAGCCAACCAUAUAGGUGUGUUAGAAUCCGAGAGGAUUCUAUUUCGGUUUUUCAUGACGUAUACGAAAAACGUGUAUAAAAACUAGGGAAGUUUCCUUAGUUCUUUAAACUCUUAUUUUGUCAUUAAUUUAUUUAAUUACCUAAGUGUUUUAUUAACAAGGAAUUCCUUUGAAUAAGACUUUCCUUGUUUGCAUAACUCUUUUUCCUUACGUAAGAUUAUAUCUAACCUAAUGGGCUCUAUUUCUUGUGUAGGGCUCUACUAAUUCAACAAAAGGAAAUAUAAGAAGGCAGCAUCAACGUCGUUAUCAACUGUCCCUUUUAUUUUGAGAGAAAACUAUUUUCUGCUCUUACGUUGCUGCUCCAGAAUUGCUGAUCUUAAAUCGAGAAGAAAAUACAGAAAAAGGAGUUUGCUUCUUUCACCGAAAAGAAGAUCGGUUCUUCGGGAGGAGAACUCAGAAGAUCUCGGGAGGAGGUCGAUCCGCCGACUGAGGGACUCAGCGUUGAAGGAAUUUCAACCGUGCGGAAAGGGACGUGCUGCAAAGUGAAGAUUCACAAUUCAGCGUAGGAUACAAGAACGGCGUCGACAAAGAGGGAGUCUUUGCAUUUUCGAUUAAGUCCUAUUACUGUAUUCGUAAAACUAAAAAUUAGUGAAUUUCAUUUGCAGGUCCCCGUGGAUGUAGGGUACAAUUGUAUCCGAACCACUUUAAAAUUUGUGUCUUUUUAUUACUGUUCCAUUAACUGUUGCAACUCUUCGUAAAACAGUAGAACAGUAAUUAAUUUAUAAUUAAUUUGCACGAAAUAAUUCUAACAAUUGGCAUCAAGAGCCUGUCACUAAAUACAUCUAGUGAGAUUUUGGGAACUAACUAUUCUUAUUUUGUGCAGAUAUGAAUACUCAACGAGAAGGAUCGUCAACUACUCGCCCACCUCUCCUAAUCGGAUCAAACUACUCAUAUUGGAAAUCAAAAAUGAAGAUGUUUAUCAAAUCCAUAGAUGAGAGAGCAUGGCGCGCCAUCAUAACUGGUUGGACACCUCCCAUGGUCAAAGGAGAAGACAAAAUGGAAGUUUUCAAACCAGAAGCAGAUUGGAGUGACGUAGAGAUACUACUCGCAAACUACAACUCAAGGGCCCUAAACGCAAUAUUUAGUGGUGUUGAUGAUAAUCAAUUUAAACUAAUAGCGUCAUGUGAAUCUGCUAAAAGAGCUUGGGAAAUCCUUCAAGUCACAUACGAAGGAACGUCAACUGUGAGGACGUCGAAGUUACAAAUGCUGGCCACCAAGUUCGAAAAUUUGAAGAUGGAAGAGAAUGAGACGAUCACUGACUUCCAUGCUAAAUUAUGUGAUAUCUCCAAUGAAUCAUAUGCACUCGGUGAACCUUACUCUGAAAGCAAAUUGGUGAGAAAGGCGAUGCGCUCAUUACCUGAAAGAUUUGCUUACCGAAUUGCUGCCAUUGAAGAAGUCCGAGAUGUUGACACGCUCAAACUAGACGAACUCAUGGGGAAACUUCUGGCACAAGAACUCAAUCAUGGUGAAAAUCAUCGUGAAAAGCCUAGAGAAAAGAAGAUAGCCUUUCAAGCAGAAACUUCAUAUGCAACACCCCAAAAUUCGUCAACUCGAGAAGAUGAGGAGACGGUAGAGGAAUCCUUGGCAAUACUAUCGAAAAAUUUUGGGAAAUUUCUCAAAAAGAUCGGUAAAAGGGGAAAUCUUCCAAGCACAGGGAAAACCGUGAACUUUCAAAAUUCGAGGAGAAAUUCAAAUCAAGAUAACUCAGAGGAGUCAAAACCAAGAAGAAUACAAUGUCGAGAAUGCGAAGGCUUUGGUCACAUUCAAUCAGAAUGCGCAAACACCCUGAAGAAAAAGAAGAAAAUGUCACUUACUACUGUUUGGAGCGAUGAAGAAGAAUCUGAUGAUGACCAAGGAAACAACGAUCAAGUCACUAACUUUGUAGCAUUCAGCAGCAAAGUUCCUCUGGACAACUCAGAAUCAACUGUUGCAACAGACUGUGAAACAGAAUCCAGGUAUGAAAAUAUGUGUUCUGAUUAUGACAAAAAACUAAACGAAAAUUCUUCUUUUGCAGAGGAUCCGAACAGCAGCAGUGAUGAGGAAGAACCAACCUUGGAUGAAGUAAAGGAGGUAUAUGAAAAAAUGUACCAAAAAUGGCUCGACGUCGUUAAGGUAAAUAACUUCCUGGAAAAGGAGAAGUUUGUGCUUGUAGAGAAAAACAAGACACUAAAGGUAAGAAUCUCUACUCUUGAGGAAAGGAUCAUAUCUAGUGAUCAAGAGAAAAAUAGUUUGCAGGCUAAACUUACUCAAACUCAAGAAGCAAUUGCAAAAUUGAACUUGGGUAGAGGUAAUCUAGAUGAAAUCUUAAGCAACAACAAGCCAAACUAUAAUCGUCUAGGCAUAGGAGGGAGUCAGCUACCCAAAGUUGAUCUAAAGCGAAAGGAAGAUCAAAACAGAAAAAUCAACUUUGUUAAACAAGCUUCUGUCUCACAAACAGUUGCAACUGUUGAAGCAACGAAACACAAUUCAAAGAAAAGGUUUAUUCCCACUUGUUUUUUCUGUCAAAAUCCAGGUCACAUACGUCCUAGAUGCUUCAAAUAUUUAAAACUUGUGAAAAAGCUUGUGGCUCGUUCUCUUUACUCUGCUAGGGCUGAUUAUUUUCCUUCACCCUCUCAAAAACCCAAAAAUAAAAUUGAUAUUUCCAAUAGACCUCAGCAAAAAAUUUGGGUUGAAAAGUCCACGUUUAAAUGCUUAUCUGCGAUUACCUCUUUAAAAGCAAGUACUACUAAUGAUUGGUAUUUUGACAGUGGGUGUUCACGACAUAUGACCGGUGUUAAAGAGUUUCUGAAAAACUAUCAACAAAUCACCGGUGGAGCUGUUACCUUUGGAAACGGAAAAAAUGGUGAAGUGCUAGGGAAAGGAUCGCUAAAUCAUGAGAAUCUCCCAAAGCUGAAGAAUGUACUACUUGUAGAAGGACUCACGUCAAAUCUAAUAAGCAUCAGCCAGCUAUGUGAUCAAGAUCUUGAAGUCAGAUUCAACAAAUUCGCAUGUCGAGUAUUAGACAAAGACGAGAAUUGUGUUAUUCAAGGAACUCGAUCAUCUGACAACUGCUAUAUUCUUGUCUCUGCUGGACCACUGGAAGAGGAACCAACAAAGGAAUUGGAAAACAGCUCCAGUGUCGCACCAACAGUUCCAACAGUUGAUGCAGCCUCUACCAUUUCAGAAGAAAGAGACGUCAAUUCUGAAACAGGAGACGAAGCUGAAGUCAGGUCUCUCGAAUUGGAUGAUCAAACUCACAAGGAACCCUCAAGAAGAGUCAAGAAGAAUUAUCCAGUGGAUCAAGUCAUUGGUUCGGUAGAAAUAGGAAUUCAAACCCGAGGCUUUAGCGAUGCUGGUUGGGCAGGUGAUGCAGACGAUCGAAAAAGCACAACUGGAGGAUGCUUCUAUCUUGGGAACAAUCUCGUGUCCUGGUACAGCAAAAAACUCUUAUGGAUGAGACAACUCUUAUGGAUGAAACAAAUGGUAUGUGAUUAUGGUAUUAGUCAAGAUUUAUUGCAUAUUUAUUGUGACAAUAUGAGUGCAAUUAAUAUUUCCAAAAAUCCAGUACAGCACUCUCGAACUAAGCAUAUUGAAAUCCGGUACCACUUCAUUAGAAAUCUGGUAGAGGAAGGAACUGUCUCAUUAGAGUAUGUCACAACAGAAAAACAACUUGCUGACAUCUUUACUAAACCCCUUGAUGCACAUAGGUUCGAUUCCUUGCGAAAUUCGCUUGGAAUCUGUAUUGUUUGAUCUGUGCAGUUGCAUAAACUGUUGCAACUGUCUGUGUCCAGACUUGCAACUUUUAGGUUUUUAUGGACACAUCAUACAUACUGCAUUUUGUUCAUCUAAGUUAUGCAUUAGUCAUGCUGCAUGUGAUGAAAACUCUUGUGUAUUGGAUACUAUCUGUUCUUUCAAACUUUGUGAGGUAAAACUUCAUCAAUCCCCGAAUGAUGGCUAUAGAGGCUUUAGUUUAUUUAAUACUCCUCACAAUCUCGUCAUGGUUUAACACUUUCAUAAGGAAAAGCUGCCUCUCCAAAUGAGUGAAAGCUACUCUUGAAUUUUUGUUUAAACUAUAUAUAAUAAAUUGGUUUGUGAAUAGUUCGAAGCCUUUUUGAGUUGAGUCAGUAAAUCACGUGGCCGAAAGCUCCUACAAGACUCAAAUAGAAAGCCCAGGGGACUACACAUUGCACGACCAUUGUAAACUCUUAUAUGGUCAGUGAAUAGUUCGAAGCCUUUUUGAGUUGAGCCGGUAAACCUCAUGACCGAACCCUCACCACACGACUCAAUUAGAAAGCCCAGGGAACUACACAUUGCACGACCACAACUAUCUCGCUAAUUAAAUUGCUUUGUUCUUCAUGAAAAAGCUACCAUUAGUAGGGUGUGUAUGCUACCUAAUAAGAGCGUUUUUGUGCUUGAUUUGAGGGUAUUAAAUUUAUUGUUAGUCUUGUUAGUUUGUAUUUCGGAGCUUGCUCUUUGUUAAAAUUGAAGAUAAACCCCAUGGGUUUGAUAGUCCUAAUAGUAUCCUAUUCACUCGUGUUUACCCACUCAUAUUUUCUUUCCUUCUCUCACGUUUAUUUUUUUCGUCCUAGUAAUUUAAUUCUGCAUAUUAGGCAUAUAUAUAUAAAAAAAAAAAAAAAAAAAAAAAAAAAAAACGGGGUGGGUUCGUAUAUGUUUUGGCGGCAAUCAUUUUUUUUGAAGUCACCCACUUUUCUGGGCAUUUUUUUUCUUCUCGAAGUUUUCUUGAACUGUGAUGGGCUUCAUAUGUGAAGGUUGAGAGUUGCUGUACCUGAAUUUAAUUUUCAUGAAAUUGCUCUCAUUGUUGGCAGAAUAAUAUUUGCAAUUUCUUCACUAUAAUCUUCCUAAAUUGCUAAAAUACCCAUGAGAAGACCAAUAGUUACCCUUGUUUCUGCCCCUUUUCGUUUUUUUUUCUUCAAUUUGGUUUUCUUCUCUACUGCUCUUUUUUCCUUCUUCUUCCUUUGCAGCAAAUCACAAAUCUGCACUCAAAUCAAAGGAAUCCAAGAGCACAGUUAUGGGGAAACGAAAAAGCACCGGUGGAUCGUCUUCUUCGUCCAAACGACGACCAUCUCGACCAGCAACCACUCCGAUGACCGCCCUGUCUUCGGGGAGCCAUGUGAUGCCGUGCCCCUUGCUUUUUGGGAGCCCCCGCUCCUUCUCACGGCUGCCUCUGCUGAGAAUUUUGGGAAUCUUCCCGUUGUUGUGGGUCAUAGGGUUUCUCCACCGCCAUCGCCGCUAGUGACGCCACCGUCGCCGCCAGUGACGCCGCCGUCACCCUUCAACUAUUCUCCGCUGCCACACUCUCCGGCUGCCCAAUCGUCUCCACCACCAGUUGAACCGACAUCGCCGCCGUCGUCAACCACCGCACCGGCUUCACCCCCACCGCCGCCAUCCUCGUCGGUCAACAAAGGCAAGGGCCUUGCCACCACACCACCGCCGCUCCGUCGCUCCCGUCGACGUGCUACUCACUCUGCCUCAUCUUCCGCUCAACCCACCACCUCUGAUGACUCUGCACCCGAUCCCGUGGUGCCUAUAUCUGCCGUCGAUGCCUUUAAUUCUCGGUUCUUUCUCCGAGCGAAUCAAAUCCGAUGGCGUCUGUCAAGUGUUUCAUGAUUUUUAUGCCAACCUACCUAGUGGGGUCUCUGAUUGUCGAAGUCGUUUUUACGAAGAAGAAACUCGACUAUUUUACUGCCUUGCUCAGAAAGGGGGAGAUUAUUCUUGAGGGGGAGUUGACAACGAAGCAUCAACAACCCAGGAGGAACCGCAUACAGGGGGAGCUGAUGCAGCUGCUGGAACUACUACUGAACUGUUGUUGCUCCAACUGUUCCAACAGUUGAUGGUACAACAGCUGAAGUUGAUACGAAUGAUGACGAGGAGUUGUUCGUUGAUGCUGAAUAUAUUCUGGAGUAGUUUUUUUUGUGGUUGUCGAAUUGAUUUUCUGAACAACGGCAUCUAAUAGUCUGCUAGGCUUAACUUUUUUCUUGUUUCGUUAACUGCUUUUUCCUUUAACUGUUCUAACAGUUACUCUAUUAUGCAGUCUAAUGUUUUGUCAGGUAAUUGAUCAAGGGGGAGGACUUGAUUAUAAUAAAUAGAUGACAAAGGGGGAGAUUGUUAGAAUCCGAGAGGAUUCUAUUUCGGUUUUUCAUGACGUAUACGAAAAACGUGUAUAAAAACUAGGGAAGUUUCCUUAGUUCUUUAAACUCUUAUUUUGUCAUUAAUUUAUUUAAUUACCUAAGUGUUUUAUUAACAAGGAAUUCCUUUGAAUAAGACUUUCCUUGUUUGCAUAACUCUUUUUCCUUACGUAAGAUUAUAUCUAACCUAAUGGGCUCUAUUUCUUGUGUAGGGCUCUACUAAUUCAACAAAAGGAAAUAUAAGAAGGCAGCAUCAACGUCGUUAUCAACUGUCCCUUUUAUUUUGAGAGAAAACUAUUUUCUGCUCUUACGUUGCUGCUCCAGAAUUGCUGAUCUUAAAUCGAGAAGAAAAUACAGAAAAAGGAGUUUGCUUCUUUCACCGAAAAGAAGAUCGGUUCUUCGGGAGGAGAACUCAGAAGAUCUCGGGAGGAGGUCGAUCCGCCGACUGAGGGACUCAGCGUUGAAGGAAUUUCAACCGUGCGGAAAGGGACGUGCUGCAAAGUGAAGAUUCACAAUUCAGCGUAGGAUACAAGAACGGCGUCGACAAAGAGGGAGUCUUUGCAUUUUCGAUUAAGUCCUAUUACUGUAUUCGUAAAACUAAAAAUUAGUGAAUUUCAUUUGCAGGUCCCCGUGGAUGUAGGGUACAAUUGUAUCCGAACCACUUUAAAAUUUGUGUCUUUUUAUUACUGUUCCAUUAACUGUUGCAACUCUUCGUAAAACAGUAGAACAGUAAUUAAUUUAUAAUUAAUUUGCACGAAAUAAUUCUAACAAGGUGCACUGGGUAAACCUACACUCUCGUAUAAUAGCUUGCAAACCAUACGAGAGAUGUAAACCACACUAGGCUAACCAUGUGUGACAAGCUCGACCUAGCGACCGUUGAUCUUUUGUUUCUAUGUUAUGGCGUUUUCCUUAACGACAUUGUAUGCAAUUAGCGGUGAUUACGACUCUCCCUCCUUCAUAUUUAAUUUAAUGGUAAAUUACGAACCUCCUGAACUUAGGUAAAUUAUGAAAAACACCUCCACCUAUCCGUAAUCAUACAGUUUAUGAACACAUGAAAUUCGAAUUAAAGUGAUUUAUCAAAUUAGCAAUGGAUGUUUCGCGGUUUGUAGGCAAAAUUAGAAAUAAAGACGCUACGAGUUUUGAAUUGAAAAAUGGUGGUAUAUAAGAUAGUAGCUUUGGGGUUUUCAUUUCCGCUUUUUGAAAAAAUUAUAAUUACCACGUACCCACUCGCUGUGAAUAUACAGAUUUGCCAAAAUCUGGGCGAUCGAAUUAAGAUGCCAGUAUGGGAGUUUAAGCCACUACAAAUGUAUUUUUUGUGAACACAGGGAACCAAAUAUGAAAUCAAUGCAAACUUAAGGGGUGAAAACUAUAAUUUUCCCUUUUAUAUAUAUAUGUUUUAUUAAUAUUUAUCUGCCGAUGCCAAAUCAAUUGCACCCCGGCCUGUAAAUAAGUAAAAUCGGCUAAAACAUAUUAAGGGUAGGAUAGUAAAUUUCUCUGCACUGUUAAAUUUCUAACGGUCGACUAUUAAGAAAAGGGGGUGUUUUGUAUUUUUCGUUAGUGUAGGGGGGGUAAAUUAAAAUAAAAAGUUGGUGGGUGGGUGGGUGUGUGUGUAAAUAUAUAUAGUUACGAACAGAACGCAAAAAGAGAAGACUCCGAGCGGUUACAUUCAAAAUAUAUAUAUAUGAUAUUUCUUCUCACUCAUCGAUAUAUUAGCAUAAUUACAACUGUGUCUCUUCUCGAUCAGAUUAAAUAACCACAACUCUCCAAGAAAAUCAACAACAAAUUAAUUAAUUAGUUUCAAGAAAAUGGCUGAAAAAGGAGGUGGUGCCUCGUCGAGGAAGAAGGAUACAGCUGGCAAGGCAAAGAUUGGCGAACGCAGAAAGAUAGACGACUCCGAUGAUUAUAAUCAAGAAUAUGCUCAAUUCAAGAUUCGCAGGAAUAAUCCAAGAUCAUGUUCCAGGUUCUCUCUCUCUCUCUCUCUCUCUCUCUCUCUCUCUCUCUCUCUCUCUCUCUCUCUCUCUCUCUCUCUCUCAAGAACAUUGCAGCAUGUAGGCGGUUUAAUAUGUUCAAGAAUUUUAAUUUCAUUUAAUUUAUUUUUCUUUCUGAAAAAUAAAAUAAAAAAUAUGAUUUACAGUGCUAUGGAGUAACUGUUUACAGUGGAGCUAACUCCAGCUGACGUGGAUGAGAAGCUAAACCUAACUCAAUUACAGGCAUCCAUGCUUAUGGAAGCAUAUUCGAGACCCGUGCUCGAAAAUUUAAUCAACUUUUCGACGGCUAUCGAUUUGUCUGAUGAACACAAGAACAAAUACACUAUGCAAUUAGCAAAGGAACCGAAGUAUGCAAUACCCGUCGCGGAUAUAAUCUACUACCUUAAUCAAGGCUGGUUAACCGUCGUUCAGAAACGCGAACUGAAAGCCGGAGACGUAGUCAAGUUUUACAAACUUUCAUCAGUGGGACUGCAUAUUUUUGUUAAAGGCCGUGUGCCGUCGUUCUUUAUUCGUAUCAACAAACCUGAUGCAGAAUAAGCUCGAUAAAGAACCGAGUCAAGGUUAUUUCGAGAGAACCGAUAUGCAGGUUGAAGAAAAAUGAAUAAUAAAAAAAAAAUUAAGUAGAUCAGAUUAUUUUUCAUGCAGUACUAGUUAUUAGAUGUUUCUUUACUUUUGUUUGAUUUGUUGUGCUCCGUCGAAAAAUAGAGAUUGUCGAUUUUCUUUUUAUGAACAAGAGAUUAUUUUCUUUUCUUUAAAAUACGUAUGAUCGAUAUAUGGACUUGACUUGAGAAGACCGAAUGCAAUUAUUUAGUUCGAUGUACGUAGGUCCGAUCCAAUAUAAUACGACAUCUUUAAACGCGUAACUAAUUGAUCGACGAUCUAUACAUUUGCAUGACAUGUAUGUAUAUUAAUUACAACUGGUUUUUAUUAUCCAAUUUGUGAUCAUCAAGGGCAAAUGAUUUCUACUAGCUAGGUCGGGCAAAGGCCGAUGAGAGAUGGCACGCGAAAAGUUUUAGGAAUACUUUAUGUAUUUAAUAUAUUUUUUUACGAAAAAUCGGAUUGCAAAUUCCACGAAUUAGGCUGUUUCCAUAAUCAAGAAUCCUAAUAUCAGUGUCUUCUACAUAGAUUAAACUUUGACGACACGUAAUAAAACAUAAAUAAAGUUGUGUUUCCGUAAUAAGAAUCCUAGUCGAUCAUUUGCCAUUUUUUUUCCCUUCGUUUUUGGACCGCACUUUCGUCGGCCCCCGCCUCAUGCUUCUCAGAUUUCUCUCUUUUGUUUCCCUUAUUUUCUUCAAUUUCUUGUCUCCUUCUUCAUUUCGACAAUGAUUCAGGGGUGAUUGUAAUUACCGAUACCACAGGGACCUUAAAGUUAUUUUAGCAUAUCUCAGAGAUGUAAUUUACCCUAUUAAUUUUUUUGUCAAAAGUAACAAUAUGGGGGGCCUCAGUAAGACGGCAACAUACCUCGAGGGUAUUCGUAAUUAGACCUUACCUUAGUGAAUUUCUCGUAAUUUACACUUUAUUACUUUUCAAAUGACAAAGGGGUAUAAUGGACAAAACACAGUUUUGUGAAACAGCUGGUUAGAAGGGGAUUUUCGUAAUUAUGUAAACGUGAGGGAGAUUUUCAUAAUUAGCUAGGCUUUACCUCAGGGGUUUUUCGUAAUUUGCCAUAAAAUGUAAUUUAGACAAUUCUUUCAUUCACAUGUGCUCUCAGUUUUAGGGGAGUAUUUGUAAUUACAAAUACCAUAGGGGUUUGUAGUAUUUAGUCUUACCCAAGCGGGGUAUCCGUAAUUUACCCUUUAAAAAAAUUGUAAGGGAUUUGAGUGAGGUUUAUCUUUUCAAUUGGGGUGCAAUGAAGAUAAUUUAUUUUAUGUGCAAAAUGGUAUUAAAUUUUCUUAAGAAUUUGAAAGAUAGGAAGACAAAUCCCACACAGACUCUUUGUUGAAAAGGGAACUAUGAAAUAGUAUAUAUAGGCCCCGUUUGAUUGGUAAGAUAAGAUUAAAUAAUCUAACGAAACUCAAAUAUUUUAUUGGAAGACAAGAUAAGUCCCAUGAUUACAUAUUUUUGGCGGGUCGACCCGACAAUUUAUUUGGGAUACCAAACAUAAUAUUAAGUCCAACUAUUUAGUUAAUCUUAGCUUAUCUAGCAACCAAACGGGGCCAUAUUAUACACGGGAUUCACCAAAGCAAUACAAAUUUAAACUCCGAAAUGCUCCCGCCGCCGCCGCCACCGCCACUCCCGCCGCCGCAGCCAUAGCUAUGAUGAAACUAGAUACAUCGGUUCUUCCACUAGAAAUCAUAGAAAUUAUCCUGUCAAAAUUAUCAGUUAACUCUCUUCUUCGAUUCAAAGUUGUUUGCAAGUCAUGGAAUACUUUGAUUUAAGGAGUUCUAUUUCCGAAGAGUUAUCUUUGGUUAAAUUUGAAGAAUCCAAGAUUCCAAACUGUGAAAUUACUUAAAACCCCCUUGUGGCUUGGAUAUUAUCUUGAGCUAUUGCGACGGCGUGCUACUUUUAACCAACUCUUCGUACCGAAGAAUUGGGUUGUGGAAUCCAUCCACUCGAAUUCGAACAACUCUUCGGGUCCCACGGGAAUUCGGCGGUUGUUCGAAGAGUUACGCAUUUUAUCAUGAUCCAAUUGCUGGCGAUUUUAACCUGUUCGUUAUAUGCAAUAAUUACUAUCGAUUUUUGUUGGGGAUCGGGCACGUGUGUACGCAGCGGAAACAAAAAUUUUAUUUUAUUUAUACAAACUAGUUUAUAUAAAUAAACACGUGCACAUGAAUUACAAGUAAUUGCGUACCUUUUCGCUUCCAGUCACCAACAAACAUGCUUACAUAUAUAAUUAAUUUAAAUAACAUAAAUUAAAUCAAAUAAUAAACAUGCUCAACGAACGAUUCAUAUAAACACAUAAUCGAACAUAUAGAUUCAUGUGAUUCAAUAAUCAAUUAACACACAUUAAUCUCAAUUAAUAUAAAUUAAUUAGGGAAAACGAAUUUUUACCCUUGAAGCGUGAAUCGAACGAAGACUCGAAAAGAUGGCUAGCUGCUUUCCCACUUCGACGGAUCCGACCUGUUUUCUGAUAUGAAAUUACAGGCCUGCUCCGACUUCAUUAUCUCCACGGUUAUUGAUUGGAUCAACAAUUCGUUAGGGAAUUGUAGAUAUAUGGCUUCUGAAGCUUCUGUAAAAAAUUCACGUCCAUCCAAUCACUGGUUGAUUUACGGCGACUUUUCUCGCUAGAUUGCGCAGAAAAUCCGAGAGCAAUUUUUCAGAAUUGCCUUCUCACAUCACCGGCUUGUGGCGGCGCGUGGAGACUACCCUAGUGGUGGCGUUGGCGGCAGAAGAAUCUUAUUCCUCUUAGGUUUCACCUCGUAUAUUAAAUCCACUAUCCACGCAACACUAAAUACGUGAUAGUUGAAGUACAACGAAGAAGAACUAGGGGAAUAGGAAGAUGCCGAUGCGGCGGCGCGACGGCUGGUGGUGGAGGUAGGGUUUCGGCUACAAGGUGGCUAGCUGAUGGAGGGAGAGAGGCUAUGGUUUCAUUCUACGUUUCCUUUUUGUGUGUCUUUCACAAGACAUAUAAAUCCUAAUUAUAUAGUUCUUGUGAAAACCCUAACAGGCCUUAAGUUGUGCUAGACCCAACAACUUAAGUCCGCUAUCUUUCUCGGCUCGUUUCUAACAAACGAAUGCUCGCAAAAAUAAAACAAUUAUAUUUUGAUGACAAGCACAAAAUUCUCGUCGAUACGAGUACCACUUUGCAAUUUUCCAAUUUUUGAAAUUAGAAACCCUUAUUUAGGACCUGCCAAAUCGGGAAAUUUCCCAAUGUAGAAUGUUCACUAACUUUCCGUCGAAUUAUUUUCCUCUACUUAUUCUCAUCCAUAAUUAACAAUUAUGAAUGUUGGACUCAAUCACAUUGACUUCCAAUUACACUAGAUUAACUAAUUAAUCUUACCUCGUUGCUUAAGGAUCUCAAGUAUACGAGCAGUGACCCUCGAUGGUUCAGGUGUAAGCUAGCCGUGGGCCCACAACCCAUUGUGGUUUAAACUUGUCCCUAGAGUUAUAGUUAAGUUGAAGCUAUUUUCAACUUAACAACCCAAUGAAUCAAGAUUGGCGUCUAGCAACUAUGCGUCACGAUUCCCUAAAUACAAAUGAAGUGCCUCCAAGAAUCGUGUGAUAUAGUUAACGUACAGUACGAUCCCUUCGAUACAUGUAUCCCGAUUGAACUAGAGGCAUUGGUUCGUCGCGACCUCUUUAUGAGUUCAAUAACUGUGUGGACGUUCUUGAUUAUAUAACCCGUUCGUGUUUGACUUAGAGAAACAUAUUUCUCUAAUCACGAUACUUUCAGUUGUGGCCACAAACUUCAUGGGUUAUAAAUCGCAAGAACACACAUGAUAUCCCUGAGUGAUCAAGCGAUCGAAUCCCCUAUUACAAUGCACAAACCUCCCUUUAGAUUUCGGACUGCACGAACACUGGCCCUUGGGGCAGUCCUCGGUUGAACUCAGGAAGAGGUCACGAUACAGCUGGUCUUCUAGUGAAGUCACAUGAUGUCUGGGUCUUAAAGAUUAAUGGCGUACAACUAUAUCAUAGAAACCUCUCUACUAGAUUAUUGGGAACCACUUAGAGAUCUCUAGAUUGAGGGAGUUCAGUGAACUCAUCAACUUAUGAGCACCCACUGAUGUAUGCCGAUGUCACAACAUCGUUGACUGAUGAAACGCAGUACACAUACACUAAUUGCAAGUCUCAAAUGGGAAAUGUUGAUAUCCUCAUUAGUGACGUAACCCGUUGACUAGAACUACAUUUAACAGUUAUUAUACUUCAAUAAAUAAUCUCACGACUCUACUAGAUAUAUUCAUAGUAAUUAAGUAACUGUAAGGACUAUAUUUAUGCUUAUGCAAGGGACAAAGAUAUAGAAUGCCAAAUGGGGUAUUUAUAUCAUUAAUACGAAAUAGAUUAUUUACGAGUAGCAUGAGAAAACACAACGAUUAGUUGACUCUGUGGUCACCUACUCUAACAAGUUUUUUCAUGCAAGAACAAUGCAUAGACGUUGAAACAAGAAUUUGCAGGCAGACAACGUUGUGAACCAGAGGUUUUCGUUGACGAUGUUUUCUAUUGGGUUAGAUUUGGCGAUAAAAGUCGACAUAUAACAAUAUAUUAUGAAAUAACAUAUUUUGAAAGAAUUAUUGAAUUAUUGAAACAGUUCAUCCAUUGUUUGUACCGAUUUUACAUUUGAUCUCUCAUGUUUCAGUGUUUUGUUAAAACUAACAUAAUCAAGAGUGAGCACUCAUCACCGGCUUAACUGACGGACUAACGAUAAAUUGACGAAAAAGACCAAAAAUGUUAAAUUAUUGAAAUAUGAGGAAUCAAAUGUACUUUUUGUGAACAUGGGGGCCAAAUAUGAAAUCGAUGCAAACAUAAGGGGUGAAAACUAUAAUUUUCCCUUUAAUAUAUAUAUAUAUAUAUAUAUAUAUAUAUAUAUAUAUAUAUAUAUAUAUAUAUAUAUAUAUAUAUAUAUAUAUAUAUAUGUUUUAGGGGAAAUAUGCAGUACCCCUGAAAUGGAAAAUAUUUUGAACUAAACUCAAUUGACUGUUAGAGAAUUUUGCCUACACCCAAGUUUGAUUCUUAAUUAGUGAGACCCCCUGACCAGCCAUGAUAAGACUAAAGUGCCCUUAUGUGGUUAUGUUUUUAACGUGAAACAAUUUUAUCUCACUCUUUCACUCCCCCUCUCUCUCUCGUUCUCGAUUUCUUUUUUUUUUUCUUUUCAGAUUUGUCCACCACCACCACCACCGUCGCCUCAUAUCUCACUCUCUUUCCUUCACCACCGCCACCACCGUCAUUGUCGUCGACUCUCCAUGCCUCUCUUUUGUUAUUUUUCUAUCUUUAUUUAUAUAUUUUUCAAUUUUUUUUUCAGAUCUGAAAAUACAGUUUCAGAUCUGAACAGCAGCAGUAACAUGACUAUAGUCAUAUUCGAAUAUGACUACGAAUAUGUAUAUAUCAUAUUUAUGUAUUUUUCGAAUAUGAAUGUAGUCAUAUUCGAAUAUGUUCUAUCUUCUCGUUUUCAAGUUAACUUCUAAUAACUAGAUUCAAAAUUGUUAUUUAUUUUGUGGAUGUUGAUUGGAUUGGUUUCGUAAACAAUAGGGAAUUUUCGUUGUUUUAUAUAAUUUGGUAAAUAUGACUACAUAGUCACAUAUAGCCAUAUUCAAUUAUAGUCAUACUCGGAGUUGUAAACCUGUUGAGAAAAAAAAAUCAAUUUUUUGUUUUAAAAAAAAAAUAAAGAACAAAAAUUUAUUAAAAAAAUAAUAAAAAAAUGGCUAAAUAAUCCGAAAAUAAUAACAAAAAAAAUAUAUUUUAUUAUUUGGUAGCAUUUUUUUAGAAAUUUGGAAGCAAAUUUUUAGGAAUUAGAUUAUUAAUAUGGAAAGAGAGAAAAAAUGAAUUAUUCAGACUAAUUAUGCUAAUUGACAUAAGGGUAGAAUUGAGAAUAAAAUUUCUACGAAUUAUCACAAAGAAAGACUUAAGGAUUGGACAUAUCAACAUUUCUUAUCUAUAUGAGAGGAUUAUUGCUAAUGACCCCUAUGUUUUAUUAAUAUUUAUCUGCCGAUGCCAAAUCAGUUGCACCCCGGCCCGUAAAUAAGUAAAAUCGGCUAAAACAUAUUAAGGGUAGGAUAGUAAAUUUCUCUGCACUGUUAUAUUUCUAACGGUCGACUAUUAAGAACAGGGGGUGUUUUGUAUUUUUCGUUAGUGUAGGGGCCGGGGGUAAAUUAAAAUAAAAAGUAGGUGGGUGUAUAUAUACAUAUAGUUACGAACAGAACGCAGAAGAGAAGACUCCGAGCGGUUACAUUCAAUAUAUAUAUAUAUAUAUAUAUAUAUAUAUAUAUAUAUGAUAUAUCAGCAUAAUUACAACUGUGUCUGUUCUCCAUCAGAUUAAAUAACCACAACUCUCCCAGAAAUCAACAACUAAUUAAUUAAUUAAUUUCAAGAAAAUGGCUGAAAAGGGUCGAGGUGGUGCUCAUAAUCCAGGCUCGUCGAGGAAGAAGGAUACAGCUGGCAAAGCAAAGAUUGACGAACGCAGAAAGAUAGACGACUCUGAUUAUUAUGUAUAUGCUCAAUUCAAGGUUCCCAGGAGUAAUCCAAGAAUCCCAUGUUCCAGGUUCUCUCUCUCUCUCUCUCUCUCUCUCUCUCUCUCUCUCUCUCUCUCUCUCUCUCUCUCUCUCUCUCUCUCUCUCUCUCUCUCUCUCUCUCUCUCUCUCAAGAACAUUGCAGCAUGUAGGCGGUUUAAUAUAUAUGUUCAAGAAUUUAAUUUAAUUUAAUUAUUUUUUUUCUUUCUGAAAAAAAAAUCAAAAAAUAUGAUUUGCAGUGAGGGAGUGAAGGAGGAACUGUUUACAGUGGAGCUAACUGCAGCUGACGUGGAUAAGAUGCUAAACCUGACUCAAUUACAGGCAGACAUGCUUAUGGAUGAAUAUUCGAGACCCGUACUCGACUCUUUAAUCACCUUUGCGAUGGGUAUCGAUUUGUUCGAUGAACACGACCAGAAAUAUCCUAUGAUAUUAGGAAAGCAACCGAAUCCCGUCGGAGGUGCAUUCCACUACCUUUGUCGAGGCUGGUUUAUCGUCGGUAAGAAACGCAAACUGAAAGCCGGAGACGUAGUCAAGUUUUACAAACUUGCAUCAGUGGGACGUACUUUUGUUAAAGGCCGUGCGUCGUUCUUUAUUAAUAUCAACAAACCUGAUGCAGAAGAAGCUCGAUAAAGAACCGAGAGACGACGAUCAAGAUAAUUUCGAGAGAAACCGAUAUGCAGGUUGAAGAAAAAGGAACAAAACCCACAGGAGGGUAAAUGUAAUAUUUGAACUUACCCGAGGGCAAAUUAUAAGAAACCUCUUGAUGUAAGCUCUAAAUACAAAACCCCUUCAUAUUUGCGUGAUUACGAAACCCCCAUAAGGUAUGUUGUCGUCUUACACAGUCCCCAUGCGGUGUUACUUUUGACGGAAUAUUUUUAAUCCCAUGGAAUAUUCCUCUAAAAUCUGAAUAUAUCACUGGAAAUAUCAUUUUCCCUUUGGGGUAAUUGUAAGUAUAUCAAUUAUGUCGAGGGUAAAUUGUAAUACAUUAAAAAACCAUAGUUAUUUUUAACUUAAAACUACAAUACAUUUCUUCAUUUUAUAAUUAUUUAAAAUAGAAAAUAUAUAUUAAAAAUAAUUAAACAUGAAUUGUAGCAUCAUAAGUUUUUAUUUGUGCUGUAUUUUUUAUUCAAUAAAAUCGAUUUUAUAUAUUUUGGAAAUAUUCUCAUAUUUCUUAUUUAGGUUAUACAUAUUUUCAUUAAUUUUUUUUAAGUUUUUAAUAAUAUUUCAAUUUUAAACGGAUGAAAUGUAAAAUGUAUAUAUUAAAUAUAAUUAAGUCAUAAAAACAAAAACAAAAAAAACUUGCGACCCCUUGCGAGCAGAGAAGUCAUCACUCUUACUUUUUUGCUCCGAGGCAUGUUAUGGUGAUUGGAUAUAUUAUUGUUUUUGUCCAAAGUAACAUCGGGGGCCUCAGUAAGAUGGCAACAUACCUCGAGGGUUUGUUAAUUAGACCUUACCUUACGGGGUUUCUCAUAAUUUACUAUUUAUUAUUUUUCAUAUGACAGAAGGGUGUAAUGGACAAAACAAAGUUUUUUGUGAAUUUAAACGAUAAAACACUCGUUAGAGGGGGAUUUUCCUAACUACGCAAACAUGAUGAAGAAUUUCAUAAUUAGCUAGGCCUUACCUCAGGGGAUUUUUAGUAAUUUGCCAUAAAAUGUAAUUUAGACAAUUUAUUCAUUCACAUGGGCUGUCAAUUUUAGGGGAGUAUUUGUAAUUACUAAUAUAGGGGUUUGCAAGUUAUUUAGUCUUACCCUAGCGGGUUACCCGUAAUUUACCCUUUAAAAAAAAAUUGUUAAAAAAAUUAAGAUAUUAUUAUGUGCAAAAUAGUAUUAAAUUUUCUUGAGAAUUUGAAAGCAAUACAAAACUCCAAAACGCUGCCGCCGCCGUCACCACCACCACCACUACCACCACCACCGCCACCACCGCCAUGGCUAGGAUGAAACUAGAUAGAUGGUUUAUUCCACUAGAAAUCAUAGAAAUUAUCCUGUCAAAAUCAUCGGUCAAAUCUCUUCUUCGAUUCAAAACAGUUUGUAAGUCAUGGAAUAUUCUGAUUUCAGAUUCUGUAUUCAUCAAAAAUCAUCUCCAUCAAUCUAAAACUUCAAACCUGCAUCAAAAUCUUUUUCUUCUACGUAACUCGUCAAAGAGUUCCGUUUCCGAAGAAUUAUCUUUGGUUAGAUUCGAAGAUCCAAAAUUCCAAACUGUGCAAUUACUGAAAACCCCCCUUGGCUUGGACAUUGUCUUAAGCCAUUGCGACGGCGUGCUACUUUUAACCGACUCUUCGUACCGGCAAUUCGGGUUGUGGAAUCCAUCCACUCGAACCCAGACAACUUUUCGGGUCCCACGCAAAUUCGGUGGUUGUUCGAAGAGUUACGGGCUUUAUCAUGAUCCAAUUACCGGCGAUUUUAACGUGUUCGUUAUAUGCACUAAUUACUACCGAGUUUUUUCAUGCAAGAACAAUGCAUGGACGUUGAAACAUGAAUUCGCCGAGGACAGAUAUAGUUGUGAACCGGAGGUUUUCGUUGACGGUGUUUUCUAUUGGGUUAAAAUAACUCGACAUAUAACAAUAUAUUAUUACGAGAUAACAUAUUUUGAUCCGAGAGAUGACAAGCUCAAGACGUUGCCGGAGCCGGAGAAUACAGACGGCACCGGAUCGAUUUACUUGGUCGAAUUGAAAGGCCGUUUGUGCAUGUAUUGCAACGUCGGGAGAAACAACGACCACACGAAGGUUCGAUUUUGGAUGAAAGAAAAGGGCCCGGAAAAUAAUCAUUGGGAGGAGUUUAUAACCGUUGAGAAUGUGCCGACCAUAAUUGUUUUUUUAGAGCCACAAUAUUGUUUUAUGGAAAAUAAGAUUCUAAUUGAAUUACGUGAUCCAACGAGGAGGAGAUUCGUGGUCUACAACCCCGGUGAGAAGAUAGUCAAAGAUGUUGAGGACAGUGUGUUUAAACAAAUUGAAGAGAGUAUGCAUUUUGGCCUCAGGUUGCUUCCAUUUAUUGAUAGCCUUUUCUGAGUACGUACAUGUUUCUGCUUAGAGAUCAUUUAUCGACUUGUCGUCGUAAUAAUUAACAUUUUUCGUUCCUAUAAAAUAUAGUAUAUCAUUAUUAUCACUUAUUUGAUUUUUUGUUCGUAUACAAUUUUCGACUGGCGAUUGUACUUAUGGUCUGCUUAAGCCUAGAAUUGGCCUCUUUCCUUUUCGUUUGAUGCUUUAACUACGUUGUUCCGUUAGUUUUGUAAAUUUUUUCGUUCCUCGUUUAUUAGAAUAUAUCAAAUUUUCGUUUGAGGGUUUAUUUAGUUUGAUCUAUAAUACGUAAUCUUGUCAUAUAUUCAUAAUCUUCGUGUGCCAAAACGGUAGGUUGAAUCGGGUUAGUAGCUCUGUGAAUCCUCGGUGAAACAUAUCGAUGCACGAGGACUUGUUUUCCUCUAAUAACCGUAACUUUUACGUGCUCUUGCUCUUUACCUCGGAUUCAAAAUUUCCAAUAAAUGCUUUAAAUUAAAAAUCACGAGCAUUUUUGGUUCAUGGAUCUCCUUCUAUAAGUGUGAUACUAAGCACCAUUCCGCCUAUUUAGUAGUUCGCCUUGGCCCAAUGUUCCAUAUAAGACCAGUAUCCUGUGCGAUGCACGGGGGCAAUUUAAAAAUAAAAAUAUGUUUUGGAUAAAAUAAUCGAACAAAAACUUUGAAUAGUUGAUAUAUAAUACGAUAUAAUCAAAAAAACUUAAAAAAUGUUCCAUACGACACAAUCACUCUUUUAUGAAAAUACCAAGAAUUAUUUGUCCAAUGGAUCAUAGACUAAGUCGUCACGCAGCCGAUCGACAUGAAAUAAAUCGAGCCUUAAAAUCUAUUGCAAACAAUUCCUCUUCCUCUUAGGCCUAAAAAAUGUGUUAGGAGAUAUUAGACUUUCCACAUACGGAACAGAUAGAAAGUCGAAAUAAUGUGUGGUGUCUUCAAAUUCUUCAAACGUCUUCUCAGAAGAGUUGUACAACACAACUGUUGUCCCGCGCAAUCGAACGACAAUCUUAUUUUCUACGAAACACAUUGGUACAAAAUACGAAGCGAACCUCUCGACAUUCUCAACGGUUAUCAACUCCUUCCAGGAAUUAUUGUCCACGCCCUUUUCCUUUAUCCAAAUAUGAACAACCUUGUCUCCUUGUUUGUAACUAUACACGCACAAACGGCCUCCGAAAUCAAUCAUGUUAUAAGUAGGUCUUUGGACUUUGAAAAUACCGUGCUCGUCGUUCGCCAUCUUGAACUCGUCAUCUUUGGGGUCGAAAUAUGUUAGUUUAUAUCGACGUUCGUCCUUUUCCAUCUUUAACCAAUAGACAACCCCAUCGACAAAAACUCCCGGAUGAUAAGCUACUCCAAAAGUGUCUCCGAAUUCUUUUUUCAUCGUCCAGGCUUUGUUCUUGCACGAAUAAACCGCGUAGUGAUUCGAACAUAUCACAACAACCUUAAAAUCGCCGAUUAUCGGAUCAUGACAAAGCCCGUACCAGUUGCAAAGCCCGUAACACUUAUCAUCAGUAUUUAAUUCGAAUGGGAGCCGAAAAAUUGUCUGCGUUCGAGUAGAUGGAUUCCACAACACAAAUUCCACGCCACUUGGUGUUUCGUCGUCACUUGUGAAUAGUAGAACGCCAUCACAAUAGCAUAAGACGCGCAUGUUGAAGCCACGAGGGCUUUUCAGGACAUCUAAAGAUCGUAAUGUUCGAUCUUCGUCGAUUUUAACCAAACAAAACUUUCCACUAUUAUAAUUGAAUGUAAAGUCACAUAGAAAAAGAUUCUGCGAGUUUGAAGCUUUAGAUUGGUGGAGAUGAUUUCGGACGAAUACGGGAUCGGAGAUCAUCGUAUUCCAUGAUUUCGAGACGGCUUUGAAUCGAAGAAGAGAUUUGGCGGGUAAAUUUAAUAGGAUUAUUUCUAUGACGUGUAGUGGAAGGUAUGUUGAAACUUGUUCCGAGUGAUUUUCAGCCAUGGUUGGUUGUGGAGUUUCUAGGGUUGUUGUUUUACAGGAUUUAUUACUUGUAAAUUUGUUUUGUUAAUCAUCGUAUAUGUAAGGAAACGUAUAUAUAAAUAUCACGAAAUUCAAAUCGAUUAUAACAAGGGAUACGCUCAUACGCACACGCAACUCAUGAUGAAAGGUAUUGGUUUAUGAUUGUGACUCAAUUAAUUCCUUCCCAAAUAAGAGAUAACAACUAGGUCAAAUUCUUACUAAAAAAAAAACUAGGGUAAAAUUCAUUUUGCACCCUUAUACUAUGCAAAAUGUAUUAUUUACCCCCAGAUAUAUAGAAAAAUAGCGAAAAGUACAAUUUGCACCCUUGAAUUAUAGGGUUUGUCACUAACUCCCUCCUGAACCAUAAAACGGAACAAAAUAACCUCUCCAUUUUCAAUCCGUUUGUGUGUGAUGAUGUGGCUGAGUUGACUUUUUUCAUUUUUUAAUCACUUUUGUGGCGACAAUAUUUUUUGACGUUUUAACCCUCAAUUUCCUAUAUUUGUAUCUAUUUAUAUGCACAGGUUCGUUAAAAUACUUAAUAAAACUUAUAUUACCAAAAAAAUACAUAUAUUAAACAAAAGCUUCCAGACAUAUCUAUCUAAUUUUAUCAGCCCAUAGUAAUACAGUGUUGGAAAAAAAAUUAAUUAUAAAAAGAAAGAAAAAAAAAAACCCAAGAUGCCUUCUCUUCUCCGACGGCUUUUGUCUACUCUAUUUCAAGCAAUGUACAAUUCAUCCGCCCUGAAAUCUGACGUUAGGAGUCGCUUCAGUUUCAGUUUAAUGAGGAGGGGGCCGAAUGACGCCGUCGAAGAUGUUUGGGGAAUCGACGUUGAUAUACACGAGUGAAAGUAGGUUCUUAUCCCCUGCUACGACCUCACAACAGGGGCGCCUUUGGUGUUCUCGCGGGCCGAUGCAUUGGAGAUGGACUUGCAGUGUGUGGGACCACCUUAGCCGAUCUUCUCGAUCGGAGAAGGAAGAUAGAGGCAAAGAGAAAGAAUAACGGGAGAGGUUGGCAAGUCAAAAUUUAUUAAUUAAAGUUUGAGCACAAAGCAGGAAAACAUUACUAAUGUGGCCAGGGGCGGAUCCAGGGGGUUUUCUUGGGGGCGAAAAUAUAGGGGUAAUUUAAGAGAGAAAUUUUUUUUUGGGACUAAAGUGUACAAAAUUAAAAGUUUGAGGGUGAAAGUGUAUAAACUAAUACAUAAAUAAAAAAAAUAAAAAAAAAAGAAAAGCUUAAAAAAAAAAGCAGCUUAAAAAAAAGGGUCUAUUAGAUAUAACUCCCUUAAACAUUCAAAUAAUAGGGGUAGACCCAAAUUUAUAUUUGCCAUUUUGAUAACAGCCCAAACUUUUCAUAAUUACAUAAUUACCCUCAAUCAAAUCCCACAAAACCCGUUAGUUUACCUUUUGAAAUAAAAUCAAAUCCCUUCCUAUUUUCCCGUUAAAUCACUAUCAUCCCAAACCCACUAUCGAAUAAACUGCAAAACCUCUCAGAACAACUUCCCGGUACGGCCGAUUGAAAGGGGAAGACGUCUGCACUGCCGUGAAACGACGAUUUUCGUGCACUCCGAGCAAGCUGUCGUAGGUACGUCGUCGCCACUCGCUGAAUCGCUAUCAUCCAUCGAUUUGUUGAUAUGUUUUGGCUAAAUCGACAAUCACGUUUGUGUAAUUGCAGAUCUGUUAUAAUCGCAUACCGAAUUCGAGCACUAAAUCAGUGAUAUUGCAACAAUUGAUGGGCAGGACAUCCACCAGAAGUGAUAUCGUCGUUGGCCGCCGCCGUCGCCGUUGCCGUCACUGCUCCAAUCUAGGGUUACUCAAAUCUAGGAUUACUCAAAUCUAGGGUUUUGAUAAUUCUUCGGCCCAUAGUUGAUUAACGAGAUGCAUAGUCGAAUUACAUCUGUAUUAAUAUACUAUCCCAUAUCAUUUAAUAGACUAUCCCACUGGUAUAAUUUUACUAUGGAUCUCGUUAAUCGACUAUGGACCGAAGAAUCAUCAAAACCCUAGAUUUGAGAAGUGACGGCGGCGGAUUUGUGUUUUAAAAUUAAUAUACUAUCUCAUAUCUUUUAAUAGACUAUCCCAUGUAUCUAAUUCGACUAUGGGUUUAGUUAAUUGACUAUUGGAAAAAUAAUAAUAUAUAUGGAAACUGAAUAAUAUGUUUGUUUGAAAUACUAAUCAAUUAGGGUAAUUUUCCUUAUUAUAUGAAAACGAUUAAGGUAAAUAAUAAUAUAUAUGAAAAAUAAUAAUAUAUAUGGAAACUGAAUAAUAUGUUUGUUUGAAAUACUAAUCAAUUAGGGUAAUUUUCCUUAUAUCAUGUAAUAGACUAUCUUAUUGAUCUAAUACGACUAUGGAUCUCGUUAAUCGACUAUGGAUCCCGUAUUAUUCAACCACAUAGUAUAUUAAUAAUUUCAAUAUAGUACAUUGAUCUGCUAUGAUAGUAUAUUACGGUUAUAGUAGUGAUAUGAAUUGUGUUACAAACAAUAUACCACUGAAAUGACAAGAACAUUGAGAACAACACCAACAUAAAGUAUUCCAACAUAACCAAUAAAAUAGUACAUUAAUAAUCUCAUAAUUUCAAUCUAGGGUUUUGAUAAAAUACAUAAAACACAUCAUAACACAAUCAAACCAAUAUGUCGAGUUAAAACUCUAGUACAUUAAUAAUCUCAUAAUAGUAUAAUAAAAUGAUAAUGGUAGUAUCAUACGGUAUUCAUAAUAGUAUACUACUGUAUUACAACGGUUUAAAACUUAACCGAAGUUACCGAGCCAUUACAUCGUAAACACCUCUUUAUAGCAACCAACCCACCAAACCUCAACAAAAUCCGUACGAAAUUCGCCAUCGAAAAAACCUAAAAUCAUGAAACAAAAUUAAAAAUGCAGAAUACUAAAAAAUGAUUAAAUAGACUGCAAAUACAUUUGAAUGACAAUACAUUAAUAUCAUCAAAAAUAAACUUAAAAUGCAAAAUCCAUACGCUAAUUUAAAAAAGACUACGAACUACAUUUUAAUGUACUACCCAGCACACUUAAAUCGGCUGUUAUAAACAAAUAAACCAACUAUCGAUCGGGAUAAAAAACAUGAACUCGACCACAGCGGACAAUUAUUCCGAUUAUUGCAUAAACCAACUACGAAGCUUAUAUAAAACAACUCUGGUCCGAUCUGCGUGAACCAUCCUCUUCUAACUCUGUCAAUCCUCUUCCAAACAAACAUCAUCCGCCAAAAAUAACGAUGUAUAUAUUAAUAUGAUACGACAUUAAAAAUGCAGAAUACUAAAAAAUAUAUUAAUAUGAUCAAAAAUAAACUUAAAAUGCAAAAUUCAUACGAUAACUUAAAAAUUACUACGAAAUAUAUUUUAAUGUACUACCCAGCGUCCUAAAAUCCGCUGUUAUAAACAAAUAAACUAACUAUCGACCGGGAUCAGACUCAUGAACUCCACGACAGCGGACAGUUAUUUCAAUUAAUGCGUAAACCAACUACGAUGUUCAUAUAAAACAACUCUGGUCCGAUAUGCGUGAACCAUCCUCAUCUAACUCUGUCAAUCAUCUUCCAAACAAACAUCAUCCGCCAAAAAUAACGAUGUAUAUAUGAUGGAAUAAUUUUGUUAAAAAACGUUCUACUUAAUAGAAUCAAGUAUCAACACAACUCUUUAAAAUUUCUAACCACCGUAAUCGACAAUCCUAGACAUUGAGCGAAAAAUAAAAACGAAUAACGCAUUCAUACCCGGUUAACAACGUCCAACAACGAACGCUCAAAUUCGAUCCUAUUUCAACGACGGUGCAGAAAUCUUCAAAGACGAUAAAAAACCGCUGGAACGCUGAAGAGAACCUUCGAAAAAUAUUGUACACAAUUUGAUAUAACGGCCAAUGAUCUCACAUAAUUUUAUUCCGUGAUUUUAGGCAACGUAUCAGCAAAUCUCAAAUCACGUAGUAAAGGAAAUAAAUGCCGUUUAAAAAUAAAACAGGGGUAUUAAAGGAAAAUUAUAUAAUAUAUUUUGCCAAGUUGGCAAAAUUGGGUCUAUCUCAAAAAGGAAAAAAAGAAUUGGAUCUACCUCAUUAGAAAAUAUGAACAAGGGGGUUAUCGCUAAUAAACCCUAAAAAAAAAUCUUGGGGGGGGGGGCCACCCCAGCCUUAGGCAUGGGUACGCCCCUGAAUGUGGCGAUUUACGAGCAAGCGAAUUCAACAGAUAGAUAUUUGUUUGACCUAAUCAUAAAAUAAACCCUCCAAUUAAUUCAAACAAGUAAAGCAACCAACAUAAAAUUAAUAUUGCUGAAUAUAUUUCUUCUGCCUAAGACUAUGACUUACGAACAACUGAUUAAUUUUUCUAUUACAACUUCCUCUUUCUCUUGUGCCGGAAAAAACGCGCCGGGGUCGAUCAGACUAUCCAGAUACGGAAAAUACUCACAGUAGACACUAGAACGUUCGAUGUCAAAUUUUUCAAACGUCUUCUCAGAAGGGUUGUAGAGCACAAGUCUGCUCGAGUAUAAUUGGAUUAGAAUCUUAUUUUCGACGAAACACAAUGGUUUAAAAAACCAAAUGUACGUCGGCACAUUCUCGAUCGUUAUCAACUCCUCCCAGUAAUUAUUUCCGACGCCCUCUCCCUUUAUCCAAAUUCGAAUCGCGUUACCGCGGCCGUCGUUCGCAUUGCAAUACACGCACAAACGCCCUUUCAAAUCAGCCAUGUAAAUCCAUAGGUGGUCGACUACAAUCUCCGGCUUCCGCAAUAUCUUGAACUCGUCGUCUACCGGAUCAAAGUAUGUUAUAAGAUAUAUACCGGGAUCCAUCAAGAGCAGAUAGAAAACUCCGUCAACAAAAAUAUGUGGAUCGUAAACUACCAGAAAACUAGUGUCACCGAAUUCUUUUUUCCUCGUCCAGGAAUUGUUCUUGCACGAAUAAACCGUGUAGUAUUUCAAACACACAACAACAACAACCUUAAAACCGCCGGUUCUCGGAUCGUGACAAAGCCCGUAAAUUUUCUGGGAACGGGGGUUUACUUCGUACGGGAACUGAAACGUUGCAUGCGUUCCAGUGGAUGGAUUCCACAGCACGAAAUCCAUGCAAGUUUGUCUGUCGUUGGUUAAGAGCAGAACGCCGUCGCAAUAGGAUAAGACAACGUUGGAGCCGGGAGGGUAUUCCGAUAAUUGUAAAGUUUGGAGUUUACGAUCUUUGUCGAUUUUAACCAAAGAGUAAUCUUCACUAUUAUAAUGACUGAAUCCCAACUCACCUAGAAGAAGAUUACGUGAGCUUGAAGUUUUCGAUCGGUGGAGCUGAUUUUCGACGAAUGCAGGAUCGGAGAUCAUCGUAUUCCAUGAUUUCGAGACUGUUUUGAAUCGAAGAAGAGAUUCCACGGGUAAAUUUAAUAGGAUAGUUUCUAUGAUUUCUAGUGGAAGAAAUGAUGUACUUCGUUUUGGGUGCUUUGCAGCCAUGGCUGUAGAGUUUUUCUAGGGUUUUUGUUGGCGGCGUAUAGUUUUGGAGAUCAAUCAUCAACGACUCAACGUGCCGCUGUGUGUAUAUAUUUAUAUAUCACUCGCACGUGUGUUAAUUAGGGAUGUAAUUAAUUAAUUAGGGAAUUGAUUUUGUUUUCUUGAAUAUCUUCGCAACAUAUAGAAAAAUAACCAACUCAGAAUUCGUAUAGGUAAUGCUUAUGGGAUAAAUUUCGGCCACUUUUGAAGUAAUGAAUAGAUGAAUUGUCGGUCCCACAUCGAAAGUAUUAAACCUUUGGUGUGGAUAUAUAUCAAUUAUAACUAGGGAUGUUUACAAAUAAGCCUAUUAAUGGGUACUUAUUCAUAAAGUGAUUCAGACAAAAAAUUUAUUUACCAAUAAGUCCCAUAUUUUUGUAAAUGAUUAAAAUAACCCUUCAUACUUUAAUAUGCUUCAAUUUCAUCCUUAACUUAAUUUAACUUCAAUUUGACCCCAAAUUUUAUAAAUUAUUCAAUUUUGACCCAAAACGUUUUUUUUUCAAAUUUUUUUUUUUCCAAAACUUUUUUUAUUCGCCGGAUUCCGGCGUUGACUUUUCAAUUUUUUUUUCUUCGCCGGAUUCCGGCGUUGACUUUUUUGAAUUUUUUUUUUCUUUUUUCUUUUUUCUUUUUUUUUCUUUCUGUAACUUUUUUUUUUCCGUUUAAACAUCAAUAUUGCUAUGAUUGACAGUAAUAUUAACUAUACUAGUAAUUGUACCCGUGCGAUGCACGGGACAACAAAUUGCAUUGUUUUGAUGUUGUAAGAAUAUAAACAAACGUUUGAUGUAUCGUAUGAUCAAAAUUCUAUUAUACUGGAACAUCAUUAAGUAUACUACACACAAAAAAAAAAGGAAAUAACUUUACUAUUGAAUAAUUUUCCAAAUGAAUUGAAUCAGCUAAUACCAGUAGAUUGAAAAUUUGAACCAGGAAAAAAAUCAUCAACUAUGUCUUUCAUGUUGAGCUUAAAAGUAAUUAGAUUUAAUAACUUAGUUAACAUAAUCAAAACUAAACUAUCGACAACAUAAAAGGCCAUCUAUACAUCUUGCAUCGGAACUAAGCCCUUCUCCACUGCCUCAUUUUCAGGCUGUUUUGCCACUGGAAUUAACAAUUGGAAAAUUAAGAAACAAAAAUAAAUAUAAACAAUAAAUUAAAUAUCGCAUACAAACAAUAAGUCUUGAAGGUCGACUUCCAAUAGCUUGUGGCUCCGCCCAUUUUUGGUUAAUUCUCUCAAAUCAUCCAUUUCAAUAACAUGUCCAAUAACAUAUAAAAUGAAAUAAUUGUUAUACAUAAAUUUUGAAAACUUUGGUAUAAAUUAAUGAAACACAUAAUUUAACAAAAUGAAAUCACCGAUAAGCAAUGAUGGAAAAAGAUGUAAACUAAUUGCCACACAGUCAAUAGGAUGAAGAAGAUAAAAAACAAAAUCUAAAGUCGGGUUACCAAAAGAAGAAGCCUUAGGUAGGGAAGAAAUAAAAUUCAAAUGUUGCAGACAUUAUGUAAAACGAUGUCACAAAAUUCGCUAGGGAUGAAAAUCAGAUUUAUUUACCCUUUUCUGUAAAAAUCGAAAAUCAGAUUAUUAUAAAUAAUAUCUAGGAGAAUUUGAUGAAAAUCGAUAAUAAUAUUUAAAAUAAUAUUUAGGAGAUAAAAAUUUGAUAAAAAAAUCAGAAAAUAAUAUUUAAAAGAUAAAAAUCUGAUAAAAAUCGAAAAUAAAAUUUAAAAUAAUAGUUAGAAGAUAAAAAUUUGAUAAAAAUCGAAAAUAAUAUUUCAAAUAAUGUUAAUGAGAUAAAAGUUGAUAAAAUACGAAAAUAAUAAUUAGAAUAAUAUUUAGGAGAUAAAAUAUGAUUAAAAUCAAAAUUAUUAUUUAAAAUAAAAUUUAGGAGAUUAAAUUUGAUAAAAAUCGAAAAUAAUGUUUAGGAGACAAUAAUCUGAUAAAAAAACAAAAUUAAUAUUUAGGAGAUAAAAAAACUAAUAAAAACAUGAUAAAACUCGAAAAAAAUAUUUAAAAUAUUAUUUAGGAGAUAUAACUUUGAUAAAAUUCGAAAAUAAUAUUUAGGAGAUAAAAAUCUGCUAAAAGUUGAAAAUUAUAUUUAAAAUUAUAGUUAGGAGAUAUAAAAUUGAUAAAAUUAAAAAAAUAUUAUUUAUAAUAAUAUUUAGGAGAUAAAAAUUUGAUAAAAAUAAAAAAUAAUAUUUAGGAGACAAAAAUCUGAUAAAAAUAAAAAAUAAUAUUUAGGGGAUACAAAUAUGAUAAAAUUCGAAAAUAAUAUUUAAAAUAAUAUUAAGGAGAUAAAAAUUUGAUAAAAAUUGAAAAAAAAAUUACAAAUAUGACAUUAGGGUUUCUUAGGGUUGCCCUAGCGUUUCUUUCUUUUAUAUAUAAGAUUACUGUUAAACACAGUAAAAUUAAAACACAGUAAUAUUGCUAUAUUAAUCUCUAGCACAGUAAUAUUAACACAACAAAACUCAUUAUUAUUGUGUAAUAAAGUAAUAUUACUAUGUUAGCUAUAACAACAGUAAUAUUACCGUCAAACACAGUAAUAUUACAAUAAUAGACAGUAAUAUUAUUACGUUACUCCGUGAAUAACUCAAACAAACAAAAAAUUCCAAAAUAAAAUAAUAAUAUUGAUGUGGUUGACAGCAAUAUUACUAUAACAACAGUAAUAUUACCGUCAACCACAUUAAUAUUAUUGUGUUUACAGUAAUAUUACAAUAAUAGACAGUAAUAUUAUUACGUUACUCCGUGAAUAACUCAAACAAAACAAAAAAACCCAAAAAAUGAUAAUAUUGAUGUUGUUGACAGUAAUAUUAUUGUGUUUACAGUUAUUUUACUGUCAACGACAGUAAUAUAAUUACGUUGACUUGUCAACAAAUAAAACAAAAUAAAAAAAAUAACAAAAAAUAAAAAAUAAUAAUAUUACGUUAAUUUACUGUCAACGGCAGAACAAUUACAUAAAUGUAUUGUCAACGGCAGUACAAUUAUGUUAAUUAACUGUCAUUGACAGUAUAAUUACCUUAAUUUACUGUCAGGACAACACAAUUAUGGUCAACGUUUAGCGGCAGGCGUAAAAAAAAAAAAAAAAAAAAACUUAAAAAAACACUAAAAAAAAUCAACGCCGGAGAUCGCCGAAACCGGCGAAAAAAUCCGGAAGAAAAGAAAAAAAAAAGUCAACUCCGGAAACCGGCGAAAAAAUCCGAAAGAAAGAAAAAAAAAAUUGAAAAGUUACCGCCGAAAUCCUGCAACGUUGAUGUGUUGACCGAUCAAUACAAUGUAAGAACAUUAAUUUCAUUUUACGGAUUUGUUUUCGGCAAUGUUGACCGAUCAAUACAAUGUAAGAACAUUAAUUUCAUUUUACGGAUUUGUUUUCGGCAAUGUUGCGACAACUCCAAUUCAAUUAUUCUAUUCAAUACCAUUGAAGUUGUUACGUAUAAAUUAUCUGCUAAGUCUCUCGGUCUCUUGUUAGAUUCAAAAUAGUUUCCAAGUCACGGAAUACUAUCAUCCGUUACUUAAUAAUUACACGGGUUUUUACACAAUGGUUUCAUUUGGUUAAGUUGGAACAUCGAAAAUUUCAAACUGAAAGACGACACCGAAACUUCGCACCAGUUAUUAAAGUUUGUUGCUAUAUAUUUAUGAAAUACUACCUUGUUUUGUCGAUCAGGGGUCCUGAGAAACGACACAUUCGAGAUUUUGCACAAGCCGGAAAAUAAUACUAAUGUGUCGAUUUACGAGCAAACGAAUUCAGCAGAUGUUUGUUUGACCUAAUCAUAAAAUAAACCCUCAAAGUAAUUCAAAGAAGUAAUGCAACCAACAUAAAAUAAUAUUGCUGAAUAUAUUUCUUCUGCCUAAGACUAUGACUUACGAACAACUGAUUAAUUUUUCUAUUACAACUUCCUCUUUCUCUUGUGCCGGAAAAAACGAGCCGGGGUCGAUCAGACUAUCUAGAUACGGAAAAUACUGACAGAUAGUAUAACGUUCGAUGUCAAAUUUUUCAAACGUCUUCUCAGAAGGGUUGUAGAGCACAAGUCUGCGCGAGUAUAAUUGGAUUAGAAUCUUAUUUUCGACGAAACACAAUGGUUUAAAAAACCAAAUGUACGUCGGCACAUUCUCGAUCGUUAUCAACUCCUCCCAGUAAUUAUUUCCGACGCCCUCUCCCUUUAUCCAAAUUCGAAUCGCGUUACCGCGGCCGUCGUUCGCAUUGCAAUACACGCACAAACGCCCUUUCAAAUCAGCCAUGUAAAUCCAUAGGUGGUCGACUACAAUCUCCGGCUUCCGCAAUAUCUUGAACUCGUCGUCUACCGGAUCAAAGUAUGUUAUAAGAUAUAUACCGGGAUCCAUCAAGAGCAGAUAGAAAACUCCGUCAACAAAAAUAUGUGGAUCGUAAACUACCAGAAAACUAGUGUCACCGAAUUCUUUUUUCCUCGUCCAGGAAUUGUUCUUGCACGAAUAAACCGUGUAGUAUUUCAAACACACAACAACAACAACCUUAAAACCGCCGGUUCUCGGAUCGUGACAAAGCCCGUAAAUUUUCUGGGAACGGGGGUUUACUUCGUACGGGAACUGAAACGUUGCAUGCGUUCCAGUGGAUGGAUUCCACAGCACGAAAUCCAUGCAAGUUUGUCUGUCGUUGGUUAAGAGCAGAACGCCGUCGCAAUAGGAUAAGACAACGUUGGAGCCGGGAGGGUAUUCCGAUAAUUGUAAAGUUUGGAGUUUACGAUCUUUGUCGAUUUUAACCAAAGAGUAAUCUUCACUAUUAUAAUGACUGAAUCCCAACUCACCUAGAAGAAGAUUACGUGAGCUUGAAGUUUUCGAUCGGUGGAGCUGAUUUUCGACGAAUGCAGGAUCGGAGAUCAUCGUAUUCCAUGAUUUCGAGACUGUUUUGAAUCGAAGAAGAGAUUCCACGGGUAAAUUUAAUAGGAUAGUUUCUAUGAUUUCUAGUGGAAGAAAUGAUGUACUUCGUUUUGGGUGCUUUGCAGCCAUGGCUGUAGAGUUUUUCUAGGGUUUUUGUUGGCGGCGUAUAGUUUUGGAGAUCAAUCAUCAACGACUCAACGUGCCGCUGUGUGUAUAUAUUUAUAUAUCACUCGCACGUGUGUUAAUUAGGGAUGUAAUUAAUUAAUUAGGGAAUUGAUUUUGUUUUCUUGAAUAUCUUCGCAACAUAUAGAAAAAUAACCAACUCAGAAUUCGUAUAGGUAAUGCUUAUGGGAUAAAUUUCGGCCACUUUUGAAGUAAUGAAUAGAUGAAUUGUCGGUCCCACAUCGAAAUUAUUAGUACUUUAAUGCGGAUAUAUAAUCAAUUAUAACUAGGGAUGUUUACAAAUAAGCCUAUUAAUGGGUACUUAUUCAUAAAGUGAUUCAGACAAAAAAUUUAUUUACCAAUAAGUCCCAUAUUUUUGUAAAUGAUUAAAAUAACCCUUCAUACUUUAAUAUGCUUCAAUUUCAUCCUUAACUUAAUUUAACUUCAAUUUGACCCCAAAUUUUAUAAAUUAUUCAAUUUUGACCCAAAACGUUUUUUUUUCAAAUUUUUUUUUUUCCAAAACUUUUUUUAUUCGCCGGAUUCCGGCGUUGACUUUUCAAUUUUUUUUUCUUCGCCGGAUUCCGGCGUUGACUUUUUUGAAUUUUUUUUUUCUUUUUUCUUUUUUCUUUUUUUUUCUUUCUGUAACUUUUUUUUUUCCGUUUAAACAUCAAUAUUGCUAUGAUUGACAGUAAUAUUAACUAUACUAGUAAUUGUACCCGUGCGAUGCACGGGACAACAAAUUGCAUUGUUUUGAUGUUGUAAGAAUAUAAACAAACGUUUGAUGUAUCGUAUGAUCAAAAUUCUAUUAUACUGGAACAUCAUUAAGUAUACUACACACAAAAAAAAAAGGAAAUAACUUUACUAUUGAAUAAUUUUCCAAAUGAAUUGAAUCAGCUAAUACCAGUAGAUUGAAAAUUUGAACCAGGAAAAAAAUCAUCAACUAUGUCUUUCAUGUUGAGCUUAAAAGUAAUUAGAUUUAAUAACUUAGUUAACAUAAUCAAAACUAAACUAUCGACAACAUAAAAGGCCAUCUAUACAUCUUGCAUCGGAACUAAGCCCUUCUCCACUGCCUCAUUUUCAGGCUGUUUUGCCACUGGAAUUAACAAUUGGAAAAUUAAGAAACAAAAAUAAAUAUAAACAAUAAAUUAAAUAUCGCAUACAAACAAUAAGUCUUGAAGGUCGACUUCCAAUAGCUUGUGGCUCCGCCCAUUUUUGGUUAAUUCUCUCAAAUCAUCCAUUUCAAUAACAUGUCCAAUAACAUAUAAAAUGAAAUAAUUGUUAUACAUAAAUUUUGAAAACUUUGGUAUAAAUUAAUGAAACACAUAAUUUAACAAAAUGAAAUCACCGAUAAGCAAUGAUGGAAAAAGAUGUAAACUAAUUGCCACACAGUCAAUAGGAUGAAGAAGAUAAAAAACAAAAUCUAAAGUCGGGUUACCAAAAGAAGAAGCCUUAGGUAGGGAAGAAAUAAAAUUCAAAUGUUGCAGACAUUAUGUAAAACGAUGUCACAAAAUUCGCUAGGGAUGAAAAUCAGAUUUAUUUACCCUUUUCUGUAAAAAUCGAAAAUCAGAUUAUUAUAAAUAAUAUCUAGGAGAAUUUGAUGAAAAUCGAUAAUAAUAUUUAAAAUAAUAUUUAGGAGAUAAAAAUUUGAUAAAAAAAUCAGAAAAUAAUAUUUAAAAGAUAAAAAUCUGAUAAAAAUCGAAAAUAAAAUUUAAAAUAAUAGUUAGAAGAUAAAAAUUUGAUAAAAAUCGAAAAUAAUAUUUCAAAUAAUGUUAAUGAGAUAAAAGUUGAUAAAAUACGAAAAUAAUAAUUAGAAUAAUAUUUAGGAGAUAAAAUAUGAUUAAAAUCAAAAUUAUUAUUUAAAAUAAAAUUUAGGAGAUUAAAUUUGAUAAAAAUCGAAAAUAAUGUUUAGGAGACAAUAAUCUGAUAAAAAAACAAAAUUAAUAUUUAGGAGAUAAAAAAACUAAUAAAAACAUGAUAAAACUCGAAAAAAAUAUUUAAAAUAUUAUUUAGGAGAUAUAACUUUGAUAAAAUUCGAAAAUAAUAUUUAGGAGAUAAAAAUCUGCUAAAAGUUGAAAAUUAUAUUUAAAAUUAUAGUUAGGAGAUAUAAAAUUGAUAAAAUUAAAAAAAUAUUAUUUAUAAUAAUAUUUAGGAGAUAAAAAUUUGAUAAAAAUAAAAAAUAAUAUUUAGGAGACAAAAAUCUGAUAAAAAUAAAAAAUAAUAUUUAGGGGAUACAAAUAUGAUAAAAUUCGAAAAUAAUAUUUAAAAUAAUAUUAAGGAGAUAAAAAUUUGAUAAAAAUUGAAAAAAAAAUUACAAAUAUGACAUUAGGGUUUCUUAGGGUUGCCCUAGCGUUUCUUUCUUUUAUAUAUAAGAUUACUGUUAAACACAGUAAAAUUAAAACACAGUAAUAUUGCUAUAUUAAUCUCUAGCACAGUAAUAUUAACACAACAAAACUCAUUAUUAUUGUGUAAUAAAGUAAUAUUACUAUGUUAGCUAUAACAACAGUAAUAUUACCGUCAACCACAGUAAUAUUACAAUAAUAGACAGUAAUAUUAUUACGUUACUCCGUGAAUAACUCAAACAAACAAAAAAUUCCAAAAUAAAAUAAUAUAUUGAUGUGGUGACAGCAAUAUUACUAUAACANNNNNNNNNNNNNNNNNNNNNNNNNNNNNNNNNNNNNNNNNNNNNNNNNNNNNNNNNNNNNNNNNNNNNNNNNNNNNNNNNNNNNNNNNNNNNNNNNNNNAAGAAGAUACGUGAGCUUGAAGUUUCGAUCGGUGGAGCUGAUUUCGACGAAUGCAGGAUCGGAGAUCAUCGUAUACCAUGAUUUCGAGACUGUUUUGAAUCGAAGAAGAGAUUCCACGGGUAAAUUUAAUAGGAUAGUUUCUAUGAUUUCUAGUGGAAGAAAUGAUGUACUUCGUUUUGGGUGCUUUGCAGCCAUGGCUGUAGAGUUUUUCUAGGGUUUUUGUUGGCGGCGUAUAGUUUUGGAGAUCAAUCAUCAACGACUCAACGUGCCGCUGUGUGUAUAUAUUUAUAUAUCACUCGCACGUGUGUUAAUUAGGGAUGUAAUUAAUUAAUUAGGGAAUUGAUUUUGUUUUCUUGAAUAUCUUCGCAACAUAUAGAAAAAUAACCAACUCAGAAUUCGUAUAGGUAAUGCUUAUGGGAUAAAUUUCGGCCACUUUUGAAGUAAUCAAUAGAUGAAUUGUCGGUCCCACAUCGAAAUUAUUAGUACUUUAAUGCGGAUAUAUAAUCAAUUAUAACUUAAGUAUUGAUUGCUCAUCCCGGUUGCGUGGGCUCGUAAAUCCAGUCAUCUCCUAUGGGGACCGACGCUCGAUGACCAGGUGUGAGGCUCAGUAUUUCCUUCGUUCGAAGCUCGGUGAAAUUAGUUGGGCCGGCCUAGUGUGGAGUUUUUGCUAUCUCUCUACGGGACCUAAUAGAAUCUUUUUACAUGUCCACUCACCCAAAUUUCAGUCUUCACAUAGAUCUCUGAUCUCUACACCUUCUCUCUCUCUUUACACCACCAUCGUCUUCACAUAGAUCUCUACACCGUCGCCGCUCGUUGCCGUUGUCGCGUCCUUCAUCUCUAGGUAAGGUUUUUUCUUUCUUUUUCGUUAUCUCUAUCGAUUUCUCAAUUUUUUUUUUCCUGAUCUGUCCAUCGCCGCCACCGCCGUUGUCGUCGACUCCCCAUCUUUCUUUUUUGUUAUAUUUCUAUCUCAAUUUCUGUAUUUUUUGAUUUUUUUUAAAAAAAAUUUCCUCCAGAUCUAAACUAGCAGCAUUAAAAUGACUAUAGUCAUAUUCGAAUUUUUUUCUUCUCCUAAUCUAAAACUUUCUAUUUCUAUUUCUGUAUUUUUAGAUUUUUCUCUCUUUUUUUUCCUCUAGAUCUAAACUAGGAGUAGCAGCAUUAAAAUGACUAUAAUUAUAUUUGAAUAUUUUGUUCUUCUCCAAAUCUAAAUUGGCAGCAGUAACAUGACUAGUCAUAUUCGAAUAUGACUAUUAUCUGAAUAUGACUGUUGUUAUAUUCAAAUAUGAUUUUUUUAUGUGAAUGUUGAUUGGAUUGUUUUCGUAAGUAAUAGGCAAUCUUCGUUGUUUUAUAUAAUUUGGUAAACAUGACUGUACCACACUAUACAAUCAAAUUUUUAAAUUAAAAAUGUAAAAAAUUGCAAUAUUUAGAAAGAAUAUGACUAUAGUUGAUAUAGUCACGUAUAGUCAACUAUAGUCAUAUUCGGCAUAGUAAACAAGUCGAGAAAAAGAAUUCAAUUUUUUGUUUAAAAAAAUAUUUUUAUUAAAAAUAAUUAGAAAUAAUAAAAAGUAAUAAUAAAAUUAAAAUACGAAAUAAUAAAAAAUAAAAAAUAAAAUUCAAUUUUUUUUAUUUGGUAGCAAAUUUAUAGGAAUUUGGAAGAAGAUUUUUAGAAAUUAGAUUGUUGUUAUGGAAAGAAAAAGAAUAAGGAAUAAUUGAGAUAAAUUAUCCUAAUUAAUCCUGAUUAGCGGGAUUAGAUGCCUCAUUAAUAGGGAUUUUGAAAAUACUGGAUAAUUAUUAAAAAAGAUGUGAUGGAUAGUAAAGGGUAAGAUUGAAAACAAAUAAUAUUCUAGUGAGUUUUCACAGAGAAAGAAUUAUGGUAUGUACAUAUCACCAUGAGAGGUGUACAGCUAAUGACCCCUAUAGAAAUAUUAAAAAAUAACCAACCAUAAAUAAAUCUAUUUUGCCAAAAAAUACAUUAAAUAUAAAUAAAUAAAUCAUUAAAUAUAAUUGCGAGUUUAUGUUUCACCCAAACUCAAGUUAAAGGAAUUUUUUCCUAAUUAUACAAACAUUAUUGGAAUUUCGUAAUUAUACCUUAUCUCAAGGGAUUUCUGUGUAAUUUGCCACAGUUGCGUAUUCUGUAAAACAAAACCCCACGCGCCAAAAAAAAAAAAAAAACCCAAACCCUAGAAACUCAACAGCCAUGGCAGCGAAGAAGCACUUGAAACGAGGUACACCAGUUCUUCCACAAGAAAUAAUACAAAUAAUCCUAUCAAACUUACCACCAAACUCUCUCCUUAGAUUCAAAACAGUCUCCAAAUCAUGGUAUACCAUCAUCUCCGAUCCACUAUUCAUCCAAACUCACCUCUGCUCGAGUCUAUCCGAGUCGAACUCGUUCGCUAAAUCACAAGAUCCAGAAUCUCAACCUGUGAAAUUACUGGAAGGCCCUUGUGGCGAGUAUGACGUCAUGUCCUUUUGUGGCUGCGUGCUUCUCUUAGUAGAGGCAAACAUCUCGCUCAAGAAGAGGCUCGUGUUAUGGGACCCGUGCACUCGAACGGAGACGUAUGUUUGGUCGCCGGAUAUUUGUUCCGGUCGACAAAGUUACGGCCUCUGUUACGAUCGAACAUCUCGUAAUUUUAAGGUUGUCGCCUUGUCUCUGGAAACGGAACGCUACGUAGUUUAUUCGAGUAGGAACCGAUCAUGGACGAAGAGGCACGGAUUCCCGGGCAGCGGUAAACCCGACACUUCCGCGCCGGGAGUGUACGUUAACGGGGCUAUCUACUGGGUUUGGAGGCGCUCGUAUAAUAAGGUUAAAGAAAUAAUGUAUUUUGAUCCGAGAGAUGAUAUGUUGAAGAUGCUGCGGAUGCCGGAAGGUGUCGUUGUCGAUGAUGUCAGCAAAUCGAUUCGCUUGGUUAAUUUGAGAGGGUGUUUGGGCCUUUACUAUUGGAUUGGGGGAGAAGACGAGAAGAAGACGAAUAUGGUUCGAAUUUGGACAAAGGAAAACGGCAUUGACAAUAAUUGUUGGAAUGAGUCGGUAACCUUUGACAAUGUUCUUGACCGAAUUUGGUGGUUCAAGCCGCGGUGUUUUGUGGAAAAUAAGAUUGUGAUUCGAUUCCGGGAUUCGACGAGAUUUGUGAAUUACGACCCUUUUAAGAACACGUUUGAAGAAUUUGAAGGCGACGCGAGUUGUUAUGAGUAUGAAUUUGUUCCGUAUGUACAUGGUAUGUUCUUCCCCAUGCAAGAAACCAGGCCUAUGAGGAAAAUCAUAUGUUUGUAAUAGAUUCGAGGCUUGAUUCAUGUUCGUGUUGUCUUGGAAAAAUGUUUAGUUUUCGAUUUUACGAAGCAACAUCUUUUCGUUUGUUAUUACGCUAUCUGUCCAAACGGUCAAAGUUGUUCGAUGCUCGAAUCUUAAUUUUGUGUUCUUUGCUAGUUAAGGUUAUAGUUUUUUCACCAUCGUCUCUUUUAAUAUCGAAACUUUUAUCGUUGGUUAUUGAAACAAACGAGCCAAUUUUUUUUAUGCGACGACAAGAUAUAAACAAGGAAGAAUCAACACGGAGAAAAUAGGCAACAUGAGGCUAUGUUUGUUCGGAUGACUUAAAACAUGAACCUGAUCAUCGAAGCAAAUAAAGAUAAAAGAGAUCGAUAAAAACCAAUCUCAGCUGAAUCAAAAGAAGUUAGUUGAAACUAUCCGUAAGGCACAUUAAACACGUGCCCAAUUAAAUUCUACACAGAAAAACGUGUCGGGGGAAGAAGAGACUUUCCGUAUACGGAAUUAAUCCAAAGUCAUGAAAAUAUCUGCACUCGUUGAGUACUUCAAACGUCUUCUCGCAAGGGUCGUAAACCGCUAUUUCUUUAACUUCGACUCUAAUUACAAUCUUAUUCUCCAAGAAACACAGUGGUCUAAACGUAUCAAUAGAUGCACGAACGUUUUCGACAGUCAUUAACUCGUUCCAAGAAUUAUUGUCCAAACCCUUUCCCUUAAUCCAGAUUCGAACCUCCGUCUCGUCUCUUCCAUAACAAUACAUGCACAAAAAGCCUUUCAAAGAAACCACGUAAAUCCGUUUCCCAUGUUCUACAUUUUUCGGCGUCUUAAUAAACUUGAACAUAUCGUCUCUCGGAUCAAUAUAUAAAAUUUCUUCGACAUUGUUAUCGCGCCUCCAAAUCCAAUAGGUGGACCCGUUAACAAUGACUUCUCGUUUGUUAAAUAAUAAACGACCGUUAGAUGGAUAUUCUUUCUUGUCUGUCCAAGAAUUGUUCGUACAAGAAUAAACCGCAUAGUACUUCGGCGUCAAAAUAACAACCUUAAAAUUGCCGUUUGUUGGAUCACGACAAAGCCCAUGAAAUAUUGAAUUGUUGGAGAAUUUAUACGGGAAACGAAGCUUUAUCUCCGCUCGAGUGGACGGAUUCGACAACACAUACCUCCUCUUGAAAUAGUCGGCUACUAGUAACACGCCGUCGCAAGAGCAUACGACUUGCUUACGGCAUCCCAUAUUUCCACAACGUGGAAUCUUCGAUCGUGCAAUUUAACCAAAAAAUAAUAAAAUCUACGUACGUCGUCGAAUUUAAGAGAACAAAAUCCACUACGCAGCGACUUACAUACAAAAAUAUUACGAGGGUUUUGGACAAAUACAAGAUCCGAGAUCAUAGUAUUCCACGACUUUGAAACUGCUUUGAAUCGAAGAAGAGAAUCGAUCGGUAGUUUCGACAAGAUAAUUUCGACGAUUUCGAGCGGGAGAUCCGAUGUGUAAUAUUGUUUCUUCGACAUGCUCACGUUGUUUGCCGCCAUGGUUUUCGAGCUUGUAGAGAUUUUUGUUCGCGAAGAGGUUUUGGAAUUUUGUGUUGUUACAUACAAUUCCCUUUUGCAUACGGGGGCAACUAUUUUGAAUACUAACUUUUGCUUAGUUGAAUACCAAAAAAAUAGAAAUUAAAUAAUUAAUUGGAAAUUACUUUAAUACCCUUAAUGAAAAUUAAAACCAAAUAAUAUUACAAAUACUAUUUUUCUUUCUUAAAAACCAAAUAAUCAAAAACCUAAAAAAACAUUUCCCUCCUCACUCCCAAACCCCUCACCUCCUCCACCUCCUUCUUCUCCCUCCCCAAAAACCCUCCUAAAAAACCCCAAAACAAAAGAAAUCAAAACCUUACACAACUUGCAAAAUGGCCUCAAAUGACAAUAGAAUGGUAGUUUACGAGCAAGGAGAACCCAUUCAGGUAUGUAUUCAUGUAUUUUUUGAGCUAAAACAUCGAUUUUGAAAUUUUUUUUUUUUUUAAGCUCGCCAUGUAUUUUCGACACAUACAGGUCGAAAAUACACCUAUUUUUCGACAUGUAUGUGUCGAAAAUACCCUUAGAUUUCGACACUUAAGUGUCGAAAUCUAGGGUAAUUUUCGACACUUAAGUGUCGAAAAUUGCAUCAUAAUUCGACAACUUAAGUGUCGAAUUUGUUCCUGUUGCAAAUUUACUUGUCUUAUAUUUUCGACUCUUUUGUGUAGAUCGAUUGCACCCAUUCAUUUACCACGUCCGAAAAAUUCCCAACAAAAGAAGCUUUAAUGGCAUGGGUUCGUGAAGUAUGUAAAAGAAUUGGAAUGGUGUUAAUGAUUGGGGGUUCGAGUGACGGGGAUAGAGGACGUAGGACACCGUAUGUGAUUGUUCGUUGUGAGCGUGGGGGCCAUUAUGUUGGCAAGAAGGUACCAGGUGAAGAUGAUCAAAGACCGGGAAAAAGGAGCACCGGUUCAAAGAAAUGCAAUUGUCCGUUUAAAUUGAAGGGGACAAGGGAACACAAGGAUGAUGAAAAGGCUGAGUGGAAAUUGGAUGUUAGUUGUGGUAUUCACAACCACAACUUAUUCGAAAACUUGCACGGACACUCUUAUGCCGGAAGAUUAUCAAAGGAGGAUGUUUCCUUUGUUCACACUAUGAAGAAAGCAAUGGUGAAACCAAGGGAAAUUCUAAGAGCAUUGAAGCAAAAGGACCCGUCUAAUGUAACUGGUAUGAAGACAGUUUACAAUACUAUCUCUAAGUUAAAUUUCAGUGAAUUGGAUGGGAGAUCUCAAUUGCAAUCAUUGUUUGUCAAGUUGAAAGAAGAUGAAUACCUCUCGUACCAUAGAUCGAACGAGUUGAAUGCGAUUACCGACUUGUUUUGGAUCCACCCGAAAUGCAUUAAGUUGGCACAGUCGUAUCCGUACGUAUUCGUCAUCGAUUGCACGUACAAGACCAAUCGUUACGGACUCCCAUUUCUUGAGAUUGUGGGUUUUACUUGUACCAACAAGACGUUCUCAAUUGCCUUUGCUUACUUGGACCACGAAAAGACGGAAAAUUUUGAAUGGGCGUUGCGUUGUUUGAAGGAGGCCAUGACCAGUUGUCCUCGGCCUAAUUGCAUUGUAACAGAUCGAGAUUUGGGUUUAAUGAAAGCAGUGGCCAAUGUGUAUCCAUCGAGUCAUCACUUGCUGUGUCGGUGGCAUGUGAACAAGAAUAUAGUGGCCAAUUGUAAGAAAUUGUUCCCAAAGGACAUCACCAAAUGGAAGCAAUUUCAGUCGAGUUUUUCGGCUCUUAUUGAAAGAAAUACCAUAGAGGAGUUCAAUGAGGAUUGGGAGGAUUUGAAAAGAACAUUUAUUGGUUAUCUCCCGGCUAUAGAGUAUGUAGCUAAUUCAUGGUUGGAUCCGUACAAGGAGAGACUUGUAUCGGUGUGGACAAAUAAGUAUACUCAUUUUGGAACGUACACUUCUAAUAGGGUGGAGGGGGCACACGGACGAAUGAAAAGGGAUGUGCGUAAUUCAACUGGCACAUUUGUGGAUUUGUAUACGAAAGUCCACAAUCAAAUUGUCGAACAACACAAUGACAUCAAGGCUUCCUUUGAAGUAAGUAAAAAUACUUACGAGCACACUUUCAAAACGUUGAUAUACAAUGAGCUUCGUGGAAGUAUCUCAAAAUACGCUCUACAACUACUCAAAGUUGAGGUGGACAAUGCGAAACUAUUGCAACCGAGCGAUAUGGGUUGUAGUUGCGCCAUCCGAACAACCCACAGUCUACCAUGUCGCCAUGAACUUCAUGAGUAUGUUGUUGUGAACAAAUGUCCUAUCCCACUUGAGUUAAUAGGCUCGUAUUGGAAACACAUGAGUAUGGAGCCCGCCGCGACCACAGGCCAAGUCAUCCUACCAACCAUCGACGAAGAAUUAUCGGAAUACCAGAAGCUCUUUGAAUGUGCCGAUCUCGAUGCCAAAACUCGAUUGCGCAACCAUUUGAGACAUUUUACCCACCCAGAGAAGACUAACCUUACGGAGCCAAGUGAAAAAGUUGUUAGCAAAGGUCGACCGGCAAAAAGUAGGAAAGACAAAUCAAGCACUCGGGACAAAUCACAUUUUGAGUAUGUGGAGCCAAAGAAAAAAAAAUCGAAGCAAGCUAGUUGUUCUCCAAAGGUAAAUGUCGCUACUAUCGUCUCAUUUCAUUGAAAUUGUAUUUUAUAAUUGUGCUGAGUAAUGAAAUGUAAUAUACUGCAGCUUAUACCUGUACUGAUGAGAUUACGAGGGCAUUCGAAUGAUUCUUUCAACACUAUACCAACUCAAGAGUCAGGAAAAAGCACUAUACCGACACAAGAGUCGGUCAAACCAUUAUUUGAAGAUGCAGAUGUGGGAUUGCCACCAGGUUUGAUCGGCAAGAAUAAGUACAUUGACACGAUCCAUCCACGAUUUCGUAUGCACGUUCGAGAAAUCAUCAAUGUCGGUUCAGAUGGACACUGUGGAUUUCGGGCAGUUGCCUCUAUGAUGGGAUUUGGAGAAGAUGAAUGGGGUCGAGUGCGAGAUGACAUGCUACGGGAGUUGACUUCUAAUUUUUCCACUUACACGACCAUGCACCGUGGCGAAGAAACCGUUAGAAGCAUGCAAGCUAUUGUGAGUAACUGGGAUGUUCCUGCAACUCGUGAUCAUUGGAUGUCUUUGCCAAAUAUGGGUCAUGUAAUUGCUUCAACAUACAAUAUUGUGCUUGUCUACUUAUCCAAGUAUCAGUGUCUCACGUUCCUUCCCCUAUCGAGCGAUCCAAAGCUUUUCAGCGAGAGGCAAGAGCACGGUAUGGCAUUCGUCGACAACUGUCACUUCGUGCAUGUUGUAUUGAACAAGAAUUGUCCAAUACCUCCUAUCGCCGAUUAUUGGUACCGGUUUUUUUGAAAAAUUUGUAAAUUUUUUUUUUUUUUUUUUUGAAUUUAACCCCAAGUAUAUUGCAAUGUAAGAUAAAAAUAAUUUGAUACAAGACUAAUCCCAAAUAUAUUUCAAAUUACCAAAAAUAAUUUCAUUACAAACAACCAAAAUCCAUAUAAAACUAAAUUAAAAAGCAAGUAAAACAAAUAAAAUCCAUAAAACAACAUCCAUCUAAAAAAAUACAAGACUAAUCCUGUGUUUUUUUCUUCCUACUAAACACGCGUUUCACAACCGCCUGUGGGGCAUCGGACGAGCUCGAUGGCGGUGGAAGUGGCCCUAUCGAGCUACCUGGAGGUGGUGGUGGUGGGGCAUCCGACGACCUCGAAGGAGGUGGAAGUGGGGCAUCCGGCUCGAUCAAUCUGACAAUAUCAUUUAGGGUCCCCCACAUGACCGUAUGAGCGUCGGAUGGCGCAAGUCCCCGUACCUCGCUAAGUGUACCCUUCACCAACUCCAAAAUUUGUGAAAGUUGGACCUCCUUAUCGGUACCACCCUCUGGACGAGCUUCAUGGGGUCGAGGUCGAUCCGCCUGGGGUCGAGUAGGAUGGGCUCCAUGCCUACUCAGUUGUAACAUGCAUCUGGGUCGGAACCAAUUCAUGUAGUCCGGCGAAGUGUCCGCCUCCCCGAGUUCAAUUUCAACGGACCUCGACUCCUCGUCCAGACAAUACUCCUCCCACCGAUCAGAGAAUCGUUCGCCGUACGCAACGAAAAUUGAGUUCUGGACCGGUCGACCUUUGCUAACUAGAGCUUUGUACAUAUCUUUUGACAUGUAUGCACGACCUGGAAUGAUUUGCACCCGGUUGAACUGCCUCAAGACUCUGUCCGGAUGAUAUGCCUCGAAGUGGUCCAUGCAACAUAUCAUCCCACUAAACCAAGCAGAAUCUGGCAUCGGGAAACGAUCACGAAUAGCCGUAUACGGUGACCAUAUAACCUAAGUAAAACAUAUUAAAUAAAAAAUUAGAUGUAAAACAUAUAACCUAAGUAGUAAUAACAGAUUAUUAAAGUGGUAUGUUACCUGAUCGGGGAUCAAAUCAUCUAAUCGAGAUCGCAGGUACGACGCUCGUUCAGGCGUUGAAGUAGUCUUUGACUGAGGCUCCCAUCGGCUCGCUAAUGGCCCCUCGAAUUCCGUCUUCAAUGUGCCACCCCCCAAAUAAGGAAAGUGCUCGUAAAUCCAUGACUGAAAGAGCGUCAGCCAGCCAGCCAUCGAGUUCGUUGAUUUUUGUGAGGCUGAGGAAAGCUCAUCGUACAACCGGCAAAGACAUGCAGUGCCCCAAGCAUACUCGCCGAUCCGAUCCAAAUCAGCUACAAGAUUUAGGUACUCAACGCUUACCAUGUUGCCUGUCUUGUCGCACAGUAUAGUACACCCGAGCAAAAAUAACAAAUACGCCCGAAUGGCGUACGUCCUCUUCUCUGCACUAUCUCUCAGGGUCACUUUGCUAAAUUUAGCCUUCAACCAUUCCAACUUGACCGCUUUCUUCUUGUUUACAUCGUCCGGGUACUCACCUAGCAACUGGAACAUCAAAGUACUGGGAAUGGUUUUGGAAUCACGGACCAAACGCUCGCAAGAUACGGUACGCCCAACAACUGGCAAACCGACCAACGAACUCACAUCGUCAAGUGUGAUGGUCAUCUCUCCAACAGGUAAGUGAAAUGUGUUGGUAGCUGGCUGCCAUCUCUCUACGAAGGCUCUAAGUAGAUGGCCGUCCACAGUGUUGUACGAUGCCUGUACAACUGACAUUAAACCACAUCUUUGUACUACAUCUUUAAUAAACGGCGCCGGCUCCCAACCUUUCAAAGUUGUUGUGUGAUUUCGUAUUCGAAAUUCUGAGCCGCGCUCCGAACGAUCUGGCCCUCCGUUCACAAUAUGAUAAGCAAUGUGCUUAUCAAAUUUUGUGUACAAUUCCGGUAUCUCGGGACCUAGGACCGGUUCAUUGCUCGAAUCACCAACUUGUACAGUCGAAUGUACAGCCGGCACCGGAUUCGUUGACGAAGAACCCUCUCCAGACUUCUUCUUGGUCGUGGUCUUUUUCUUGGUCGUGACAGGUAUGCCCUUGCCUUUAUCGGAUAAUUCCUUCCUCUUUUUACGGUUCGAGACAGUCGGAGGUAUACGAGGUUGACGUGGUUCUUCCACUGCAAAAUAACACACAAAUAAAAAUUAAUAUACAUAAUAUAAACACAAGCAAAUAAAAAUAGGAAAAAAAAAAAAAAAAAAAAAAAAAAAAAAAAAAAAAUUUUCACAGUUUAAAUUCGACAGAAACCUGUCGAAAUAUGGGGUAAUUUUCGACAGUUUACUGUCGAAAAUGGAUUGAAUUUUCGACAGGUUGCUGUCGAAAAUGAAACCCAUUUUCGACAGUAAACUGUCGAAAAUAACAAAAUCAAAAGCAACCCUUUCACCAUUUUCGACAUGUACAGGUCGAAAAUGGAGAACGAAGAACCGACCCACGAAUCUCAAAUCAAUGCUCAAAUCGACUGAAAUCAGAUGCACCCAUUACUAAUUAACGAUCAUUCUAACCUAAAACAACCAAAUCCUAAUUACCCAUAUCAAACAUUCAAAUCUUAAAUAAAUAUUAAAGAAAAAAAAAAUCGAAACAACUAUAACUUACUAUUCGAAGAAGACGACGGCGGCGGCUUUGGGCGACGUUGGGCGGCGUGGGCGGCGUUAGGCGGUGUUUGGCGUCGGCGUCCGGCGGCGGCGAUGGUUGGGCGGCGGCGGCGGCGUCGGGCGGCGUGAGGUUGACGGAGGGAGUUUUUGUGUUUGAUUUUUUUUUUCUUUUUUUUUUAUUUGGUUUUCAAAUAGGUAAUUUCAAAGAAAAAUUAAUGUAAUUAGUAUUUUGUAUGAAAGGGUAUUUUUGUACUUUUAUUUUUAUUUUGGUAUUAAAGUAAGAAAAAACUUAAAAAUAUGUACUCAAUUGUGGUUUUCAACUAGGUAGUAUUCAACUAAGCAAAAAUUAGUAUUCAAAAUAGUUGCCCCCUUCUUUUUCUUUUCAAAAGUUCUAAUUUCAAUUGACUUUUUCGAUUUUCAUCCCUAAAAUAAUAAGAGAGUUUUGAAAAAGUGAAUGUACCCCUUCAAAAUAUUAUACUUGUUGCACAGUGCUCCGAUAGAACAAAUUCUGAUGAAUUGUUAACAGGAAUUGAGUGUUUUUGUUGCACGAUGCCCCUUUAUAUAUAUUUUUGUUGCACAUUGCCCCUUCAAAACAUUAUUUCUCUGCACAUUACCCCUUUAAAAUGUUGUUUUUGUUGCACGAUGCCCAUCGAAAGUUAACUUUUGAGGCAAAGUGCAACCAAAACAAUAUUUCAAGGGGUUAUCUCUUUUAAAAAUUCGUAGGGAAAAAAGUGCCAAAAUAGGAAAUUUAUAGGGGGUGAAGUGGUAUUUGUCCUAUUUGAUAAGGGGCGUAUUUGGUUAUUAAUGCAUGAACUUUUAAAAAUCGGUUUUGAAGUUACCUCAUUAAACCGCUGAGCCAAACAUGCCCUUACCUCAUUAAAUUAGGAAAAAAAAUAAAAGAAAACGUGUCUUUGCAGAAAACGUUUUUAAGCAGAUUGCAUAUGUUUACAUAUAUGUAUAUAAUAAAAUAAAGAGUAAUAAUUAAUCUAAUUUUUAAAUCAACCCCACCUCCGUUCUACCGCUCCGGCCGCUCCCGCCACCUUUCAUCUUUCGCCGUCGCGUUCCCCACCGCCGGCAGUUUGAAUAUCUAUCUUCUAUUGUUGGUUUCUGUUUUCAAUUGAAAAAAAUAAAAUUAGGUUUUACAGAAGAAGUGUUUAAGCUUGUUGUGAAGUGGAGUUUGAUUUUCUGAAAAGGGGCGAGCAACAAAAUGGGCUCGCAAUUCUGCUGGGGAAAAAUCUAGCUUGUGAAUUUUGUGUGAAAUUGAGAAUUGCGCAAUUCUAAACUGUUUCUGCGGAAGCGAGUUUGCAAUUUCAGUUUUUGGCUUCUCAAAUUUGAGAAAGCCAACCUUAAUAUUUAGGGGGUUUAGGGUUUACUUCCUGUAAUACAUAGAAUUGAAAGAGACGGAAUGGACCAAGAAGAAAUCGACAAGGUAGUUCUAGCGUAUUUGGAUAAAAGGGGAUUCAAGCAAGCAGGCUUCGCUUUCCAGCAAGAGAAGCAGCAGAAUAGCAAAGGCAGCAACACUUCUUCAACCGCACAAAUUGAUCCUGAUAUUGCCAAACAAAUCCUCGCCUUCUCUGAGUAUGUAGAAAAUUUCAGGCACUUUUGAGUAACUCUUUUUAGCUUAUCUAAAUUUCGACCUGACUUUGAUGUAUGCAUAAUUUACUCUCGUUUUUCGGGCGAAAAACAUGGGGUUCGAUUAGCUUUGUUGUAUUUCAUCUGUUCUGUUGGUGUUUGUUUGACUAUUAUCUGAGAGGAGUGCUAGAUUUUUCAGCAUAGAAAUAUAUGGUAGUAGCCUUUAAUUAUGCAUGUAACUUUUCGGCUUUGCUUGUUGCUUGUUGUGUAUUUAAUGGAAUGUGCUAUCAGUCAUUCAAAUUUCAUGUUUUUUUAUUCAGAGUGGACAGUCCUGCACAAUAUCAAGAAGGGUAUGGUAAACUUCGGUCAUGGGCUUAUAGUUCAUUGGAUCAAUACCAGGUAUUAAGUUGCUCUGCUUACGAACAUCCUUUUUUAUUGCUUUGCUUUGAGAUGUUAUGUUACUCAGAUGUUCCCUUUGUUAUCUAUAUAGCACGAGUUGGUUCGCGUGUUGUAUCCAGUAUUUGUCCAUGGAUUUAUGGAUCUUGUGGCCAAGGGUCAUAUUCAGGAAGGUAAGUGUAUUAAAGAUUUCACUUUGUUUUGUGUUCUCACAAUUGGAACCUCUUAAACCAUUGCCUUUUGUUUUUCAGCUCGAUCUUUUUUUAAUAGCUUUCGAGGAGACCAUGAUGUGAUACAUUCUCGCGAUCUCCAAAAACUGGAAGGCGUUCUUUCUCCCUCGCAUCUGGAGGUCCACCACUGUCCUAUAAUUAUUAUCCAAACUUUUAAUUUGAUGUAUUCUAGCUCAAUUUGGCGUAAAAGUUUCUUUGUUUGUGUAGGAAAUGGAAUUUGCACAUUCCCUGAGGCAGAGCAAAGUGAAUAUUAAGAUAUGCAAGGUAAUUUAUCUUCAUUUAUGUUUACUUUACAUUGCAUAAUAUUUUUCGCGUCAAUCAUGAGAUACUGAAGUUGCAUACAGUACAUCGAUAAUUCGUAACUAGGAAAAAAAACGAUGCAAGGUACUUAGAUAGUAAAAAUCCCGUUUCUUGUUACUAUAUUUUAAUCAUGUAUAGGAUGUAUUGAGAAGUGAGUAUUUGCGAAGCUUUUAGCAUAAAGGCUGCACGAUGGAGAGUGAUUCAACUGGAAAAUGGAAAAUCCUGUUACGAUAAGUAAACCUUAAUGGAACAGAUUGAUUCUGUUUUCUAACCUAAUAAUAGAGACAGUCCAGAAUAUCCAAUGUAGUAGUUUUCAUAUGCUUAUGUUAUAUUUCUAGGCAUGGUAGAGUUAAAACAGCAUUCUUAAUUUCGCAUGAUUGCUAUUGAAGAAGCUUUAGAAUUACUAGAAGGGGAAUGGAGGGGAGGAAUUUUACAUUAGAUAUAAAUGCAGGAUUCAGAAGUAAAAAGUCAUUAAAAAAAGGUCACCGUCCAUGGAUAAGACACUUUUUACCACUUUGAAGUUUGAAAUUUUGGAGAGAGAUCUAUCCCGUGAAGAAAGCAUGAUAAAAAAGGUAGUUUCUUUUAUUGGUAUGCAACGUAUCCGAAAACUAGUAUCAUAGGGAAAAUAUGUGCCAACAGCUGGUAAUAACUCAGAAUAUUCGUAAUGAUUGUGCAAUUCCUAGUGUUCGAUUCCAAGAAGAUUUCUAUAAGCCAGAAGUAUUAUCGAUGACUGCCGUAUGCAUAACCCAGAAUAAGGGUAAUGGCUGUAAUUGCCUUAACCAACAAUAUUACAUAUGUGAAUAACAAAUCUUGUGAUGCCCUAAACACCGAAACAUAUUUCCGUUGAGCCUGCUGUGCUUGUUUAUUGAAACACUCAUAUCUUUCACGCCGAAAAAUACUUCUAAAGCAAUGCCGUAUAUGCAUCUCAGGUUAGACCUGAGUCUUUGAUACUGCAUAUUUGGAGUUUCCUUUUGUAUCCUUGGGCACAAACUAUUAACUGUACUGUUCUUAAGACAUAUACUAACUGUUUCAGUAUGUAUUGAUGGGAAUUAUCAUAUGGUAUAAACUACUUCUCAUGUAGAUAGUUCGUAUUGGAUAUACAUUCCUACCGGGUAUAUUCUUACUUGUUUCAUUUAUUCAUUGCAGUAUUCGUACGACCUACUUAUGCAAUACCUGCACAAGUCUCAAUCUAUUACAAUCAUUGGCGUCAUCAAUGAGCACAUCAACUUUAAUGGUGCGAUUUUGCAUUCUUAUUGAAGUUUAAAUCUAAUAAUGUGAUUGCUUUUCAUAUGUUUUAACUUUCCUGUAUGUCCAUUAGCAUUUUCGCAAAGGUAUAUUAAACCAAUAAUGCAUUUUACAGUUUCUCCUGGACAACCAAGUUCAAUUGCGGAUGAUGCUGAAUUUGUUUCGCUUUUUGGAAGUGGUCAGGAUGCAGCUAACCUUAUAAAUCAAAAGGAAAUUCACUGGGGGGUUAGUCAACUACUACACAUUUAUCUCCUUCAUGAGUACAUCUUUCUUCAUUUGAAUCUGAAGUUCACAGAGUCGUCUUUCGUUUUUGGAUUUCAUGUUAUUGUCUAGGAGAAUGAAUAUUGCUCUAAUGUUCCUCCAGAUGUAAUGAUUAAGCAAUGAUAUGUUUGCAUUAGACCUUUCAAAAGAAAACGAAAAGGCGAAGAUGUGGUUGAUAGUGUUUCUUAGUAAUGAAUUAGAGCUACGCUUAGUCUUAAGUAUUUAUGAAUCUAUAAUUGCUAUUGACUUCUGAAGUAUUUAUUUGUCCGUGAGUAGAAAUGACGUGGUCCCGCUACUGUGUAUGAGAAAUGUUCUGGUUGCAAAAUGGUAUGUUUCUUUUAUUGAGAACUAUUUGGUCUGCGAUGUGAAGAAGCUCCUUAGUUGGAUCUUCUGCAUAUUAUUUUACUAGUUUUAUCUACUGCUAGUCGAAGUGGAGCUAGUUCCUAUACUAUAUGUCUAGUAGUUACUCAAGAUAUGGUUGCAUUAAGUUGCUGGUUUGGAAAUGAGGUGUUUGCUUGUGUAAAUCUGGUAGGAGAGUUGGUAUUUCAGUAUUAGAUGAAGUUCAAGUAGUUGGGCAGGGUGGAACUUGAGAGCUGGUUUUGCUUGUUUCAAUUGGUUUAUUCUUUAUAUGUCAUAGUGAUUUUCUCGCAUUUUCCAGAGAAAGCAUAUAUAUUUGUUGGAUUCUCUUGUCUAGGCAUCCUUAUACCAGUUAUACUAUCUCAGUUGCUUGAAGAUUCUUUGGAAGAAAAGUUGGAAAAGACUUCGAACAUGGAUUCAGAAAAGGGAGAUGGAGAACUGAGAGAAGGGGACCUGGAAGAAAAUAAGGUCAGUGACUUCAUUUUGUGAUGUGCAGAAGCGCUAUAGCAAAUUUCAGUUCGAGUUCUAAUGUUUCUGAUGAUUCUUUUUUCUGUGUCCAGAAAAGAUCUGUUGAUGGGAAUAAGCAAGGCAAUUCACUUAAAAAGCUGAAAAAAGACAAGGUUUCCAAUGCAACAGCAAAAGCUUCUCGUGCAGACAAUGUCACAGUAUCUGGAGCACCGCGUGUCAAACCGGAGCUACCCUUACCAGUAAUGUAUUUCCUAAAGUACCCUUGGUUAAUGCUUCUUCAUUUCUUCUUCCACAUAGGUAGUCAUACAUAGAUGCUGAAAGUUAAGGGGAAUGUAAAAAGUGUUGUCUUGCAGGAAAGGGAUAAGUCGAAUUCCUACAACGUAAUGUAGUGUUCUAUCAGCAGUGCUCCUACCGUAAAAAUUAGAAGGAAUUCAAUAAAGCAAUUAAUAGAUGAUCCAUUAUUUCUGUUAUGAGCAACUGUUGUUAAAAGAUCAAGUGACCCAUAGCAAAUAACACAUAAAAAAUCGUCGAAAUAAUUCAACCUGUAUCUACCAUAAAACAAAUCAUGUAUUUUGUUCUAGUAGUUCCGAGACCCAAAAUCUGCUAAUUGUAAAAUUGUUUUUAUGCUCACGUCUGCACAUGGUCUGCAUUAGAAAGAGAUGAUGCUAAUUUAUCUUGUGGUAAAUCUCUUUGCUAUUUUUUUAUGUUGCAAGUUUUGCUUAUCAUUUUCCCUUUUCUUCUUAGACCAAUUGAGGUAGAGCAUUCCAUUCUUGAAGACUUGAGGAAUCGUGUGCAGUUAAAUAGCACGGCAUUGCCUUCUAUAAGCUUCUAUACCUUUAUCAACACACAUAAUGGGUAUACUUUUCAGACAAUCGUUCUUGCUUUUUUUCAUAUUUAUUAUUUUAUGGUUUGGUACACUUUAUGUUUUCUGUAUCUCUGGUGAUCUUUGGCUGUUUUACUCUCUCACAGGUUGAAUUGUGCAUCAAUAUCUAAUGAUGGUUCACUAUUAGCUGGUGGUUUUUCAGAUUCAUCGUUAAAGGUUGUUUACUUUUCUAUAUUUUUUGUUAUCUCAUUUCAGUAUUGCUUGUUGUUUGAUAACUCAAAAAUAAGAACUGACAGGUUUGGGACAUGGCAAAGCUUGGGCAACAAAGUCAAAAUUGUAAGUCAUUUCUUAUUUCCCUUCACCUGUUUUAUACUAUUUGUGGAGUACACAUUUUUCUCUGAAAUCAGAUGGCGUUUUGGUGAUUUUGGCAUGCCUCGUGAUUUGGGAUAAGUUCUGUUACGAGCUUGUCUUCUGUAUGGUUACUUACAUGCCUGUAGUAUGGAUUUGACUUUUUUGCCUGUUAGCAUGCGGGGUUUUAUACUACAUUUAUAACAUUAUGGGUUUUUAGUAUGAUUUGUAAGAUAGCUACAUUCAUCUAUUGUUGUCAUGGAAAAUCCAUAUGUUCGUAAUUUCGUAUGAAACGACAAUGUUUGUUUACUCGAGUGAUACCAGCUUUGCAGGGUGAAAGUGAGUUAACCCCCAAUCAGAAUAUGUCUAGCUCAAAUGUUGGGGGAAAAUCGUACACAUUAUUUCGAGGUCAUGCUGGUCCUGUUCAUUCAGCGACUUUUAGUCCGUUUGGGGAUUUUCUUUUGUCUUCAUCAUCAGAUUCAACAAGUAAGUUUAGCUGACAACUUUAGUGCAGAAACUUCUUUUCAAGAUUCGCUUCGGCUUACGCCCUUGUUUCACAUCUAACUUUACUCCCUAUUUGUUCCCUCUCUCUUUCUAUCUGAUUUUUUAACUGACUAGUAAAACCUGGCUUUUGAUUGCAGUUCGAUUGUGGAGCACAAAGUUGAAUACAAAUCUUGUAUGCUACAAGGGUCACAAUUAUCCCGUGUGGGAUGUGCAGGUAUGUAAAUGGGCUUCAGUGAAGAACUUCAGAAGUCUCGUACUUCACUUCCCACCCUAUACACAUUUUACACAAACGCACACAACAAAAUGAGGGAAUAUCAAAAAGAUUUUUUUUAUUCUGAAAGGUUAUAACUCAUAUAAAAUUCGAACUAAAAAUUUGUGUGCACCGGUAAUAGCCAGAUUUGUACCUUAGGUAGGUAGAACUCGGUCUCUGCUCUUCACUCAAAUCUACUGUAGUGUAUAUGUGAAGGAGUGACUGUUGUAUUAAAGGAUGUGAAAGGAAAAGUAGCUGCAUAAUCACUUAAGCAGAAGUUUUUGGCAUUAGAGAGAAUUUGCCGUUAUCAUGGGGUAGAGAGUUGACGUAGAACUUCAUUUCCGUACAUUCUGCAAAUGUUUUAUUUUGUAUUUUACUUGUCUCAAAAUUUUCCUGUCCUCGUAUCUGACUCAGGUUAUUAUAUUGCAGUUUAGUCCAAUGGGACACUAUUUUGCUAGUGCUUCACAUGAUCGAACUGCAAGGAUCUGGUCUGUGGAUAGAAUACAGCCUUUGAGAAUAAUGGCAGGCCAUUUAUCUGAUGUAGAUGUAAGUAAUUUCGUCGCUCUUCCUCUUCGUCUCUCUGUGUGUGUUCUCCUUGAAGUUAAAUGGGCCAGUAGAUGUGCAGAUGUGGGUCUAUAUGUCCCAUACAUGCAUGUGAUGUAUAUAAUAUAAGUAUCAUAAUGCGUGCACGUUUCAUAUGUAAGCGAUGCUCUCUCCUAGUUACUUAACCAUAUUAUUUCACACCUUAAUUUUGUGACUUAUUGACAAAACGUAGAAAAAGAGUUCCUGAUUCUAGCUCCACUAGUCGAAUGGGUUUUGAUGUAUAACAGAAACUCCCUCACCUGUAAUAAAAUUGUCUUUAACUUUCUGUGUUUCAGUGUGUACAAUGGCAUGCAAACUGCAAUUACGUUGCAACUGGAUCUAGCGACAAAACAGUUCGGUUAUGGGAUGUCCAGAGUGGGGAGUGCGUAAGAAUUUUCAUUGGUCACAGAAGCAUGAUCUUAUCUUUGGCAAUGUCGCCUGAUGGUCGUUACAUGGCGUCUGGUGAUGAAGAUGGUACUAUAAUGAUGUGGGAUCUUGCUACUGGUCGAUGCAUUUCCCCUUUGGUUGGCCACAGCUCUUGCAUUUGGUCACUUUCUUUCAGGUUUUUCUUUUAAAUAUAAUUUCCGAUCGAGAAGUAAAAGGUAGUUGUAAUUGAAGUCCUUGAAUUGAUGAGAAAUGUCGACGAUUCUUAUUUCAGUUGUGAAGGUUCACUUCUUGCUUCUGGUUCUGCCGAUUGCACUGUAAAAAUAUGGGAUGUCGCCACUAGUUCAAAGGUGUCAAAAGCUGAAGAGAAGUAUGUUUAUCAAAGUUUUCCUGAAUAUAUAAACUGGAUAUUUUAGUUUUAACUACUAUUAUUAUUUUGGAAUAAUAUUGGAUUUGUUUUUUUUUUUUUUUUUUCUUUUUUUACCAGCAAAAGUGGAAGUGUGAAUAGACUAAGAUCAUUGAAGACGUUGCCUACCAAAUCGACUCCCGUUUAUGCUCUAAAGGUAACAACAUUAGCAAGUUCAUCUUUUUCUUCUUCUUUUGUCUCUCAAUUCUUAAUUAUUGAAUUGUUUUCUUGAAAACACAGUUCUCUCCGAGGAAUCUUUUGUUUGCUGCUGGAGCUCUCUCGAAGCAACCAUGAAUUUAUAGACUUCCAUUUUAGUCUUGCUUCCUCGUAAUUUGUUUUUAAUCUAUUUGAUAUUUUAUUUAACUGAUUUUGCAGUGGUGUUUUUCAUUUGUUAGUAAAUCGGUGUCUGUACACUAUUCUUGGAUUAUGUUAGCUUUGAUGUAUUUAUUGCGAUUUUUGCUUAACUUUAAUUGAAAGUUCUAUUUCGCAGAGAAUUCAGUCGUUAGUACUUAGUCGUAUUUGGCCCAUGAUCUUUUCUUCAAAUUAUAAUUAUGUACUCUCGAUGGAUCAUGUGUCGGUUUAAUUACGCAAGUACACCAUGAUGACCUCAACGGAGUUUAUUAUAAACAUUUUAUAGAAUCGUGUUUUUGAAUUUUAUAAAUGGAGUUUAUUUAAAGACGAGCGUAUGCGAUAGAUGCAGUUAGUUGUUGUUGCGUCCGAAUCAGGCUCAAGGUGCUUGUUUUAACAUAAAUAUUUGAAAAACUGUAUAAACGGUUUUAAUUCUAAAGGCAAAAUUGCAACCGCUCCCUAAGGUAAUGUCUAUUACCAAAAGAACCCCUCAUUUUUUCAUAACUACAUUCACCUCCUUGAAAUUUAUAGAUUUCUUUCAUUACACCCUUUUGUAGGGGGUGGAUGUAAGAAAUUUACAAACUGUAGGGGACUUGAUAUAAUUUCUCAAAAUUAAGGGGUUCUUUGUAAUCACACUUAACCUCAAGGAGCCGGUUGCAAUUUACCAUAAUUUAAAUGUAUUGAGCCGUUUCCUGGCCAAAUCACUGCUUCUACUAUUUAAUUUUUUGAUUUAAUAAAAUAAAAAAAGUAGAUUGAGUGUGUGUGUGUGUGUGUAUAUAUAUAUAUAUAGAUAGUUAAAGAACGCGAAUAAGAAGUACACAAUUAAUCCGAAAGGCGGUUUAUAAACUCAAAUCAAGCAACUGUUUCUUCUCGAUCAGAUUACAUCAGCACUACUCUUGAAGAAAAUCAAACAACUGAUCAUCAUCUUGAACUAAUUAAUAAUUUCAAGAAAAUGGUUGAAAGAAGUAAUGGUGUUGCUUAUCGACGCCGGUCGAGGAAAGAGAAAGGGAAAGCAAAGAUCGGCGAACCCCCCGAUAGAUCAGAUUCCGACUCCGAUGAAGAUUUCGAGAUUCUACUGUCAUCGUUAGAGCAACCUUCCGGCCCGGGUGCCAGGUUUCUCUCUCUCUCUCUCUCUCUCUCUCUCUCUCUCUCUCUCUCUCUCUCUCUCUCUCUCUCUCUCUCUCUCUCUCUCUCUCUCUCUCUCUCUCUUCCAUGCUCUUUAUCAUUUAAACCCUAGAACAAAAUUAAAAGGGUUACUUAAUCAAUCACUAUGUGCAGUUACUACCGAACGGAAGAAGAAUGCCUAUCGAAGACGCUAACUGCGUACGACGUGAUCAAGGAAAACGCAACACUGCAACUCGAUCAUGUUGAUGCGUUAAUAAUAUCCGGCGAUCCGAAUAUUAAAAACCAGGAUCCGGAAUCGUACUCGAAGACCAUGAUUGUGUUCGACGGAAUCAAUAGGAAAUACGCAAUGGUGUUAUCGAAGGUCAGAAGUGGGGGGAGCAUACACUACCAGAUUGGUGGAGGAUGGGGAAUGUUCGUUAGGGCUCAUAACUUGAAAGCUGGAGAUGUGGUUACGUUUUACGAGCCCGAUCGUGAUGACGAUGAUGAAAAGAAUACGAUGUACGUCGUUAAGUAUUUUAGAAAGCCUGCCGAUCGGAAUUUGAAGAAAAACGAGACUCCGAGUAUUGCUGUUAUUAGAUGAUGAGGACUAGGCUGGUGAAUUGAAGAAUCUUUCCUUUUUUUUUUUAAUUUUUUUUUUUAUUUUUAGUAGCUUAGAAAUGAUUGCUGCAAAUAUUAAACAUUUUACUUGAUUUUCUUGUUCUUGAAGAAUUACUGCAGUUUCAAAAUUGCUUAUAAAUAGUGAUAUUAUAAAAUCAAAAUUAUCGCAUUUUCAUAUAUCUUCAACUUAUCUCAUUUUUUAUUUUGGUUUUUUUUAUAGUUGGUAAAAUCCACGGAAAAAAAAGUAAACGGGGCUAUAGGUGAAUCGAAAUAGUUUAAGGCAAUAUAUAGAAGAUCGAUCGAUAUACUGCCGGAAUGAUUAUGUAGCAAGGACAGUUAAACAGCUUCUUAAUAUAUCAGUGUUUUGGGCGCAAAACUUACGAACAUCAUAUCGGAAACUCUUUUAGGCGGCCAUUAAUGCAUUUUUUGAUGAAUUAGAAGUUCGUUUUAGUAACAAAUUCCCCAAAUAUUUUCUUGAUUCUUCAUAUAGUUUGUUAAUGAUUAGUCGGUUUAUCUUCCAAUAAAUGGAGCCCUUUGUCGUUUAUUUAUAUUUGAACCGAAGAGAACCCAAAUAAACCCUAAUGUCAAGUAAUUACGACCAAAACAUUAAACGAAACAAAAACGCGUGCAUACGGAGAGACUGCACAGGGAAAUUAAAACAUUCAUGAGCGCUCAUUGUCUUUCAAAUCAGGACAUACCAACUUUUGCAGUUUGCUAAAAUGCAUAAACACUUAUUAGCUAUUGCUAUAGGAAAUAUCAAAAUCAAAACGUAUCCCGGCCGCGUCUUUAAAAUGCUAUUAAUCCACGUGUUCCGAUCGACCGGAUUAAGCAUCAUAGAUCAACAAGCAAAACGAACAUGAAUAACAAGUAAAAAAUUAAAACCAAAACAUUACGUAUCCACUUACCGUAAACGCUUCAGCUUUCCCUUCGCCUUGGGUCUCGGAGUCUCAGUGUGGAAGAAAAGGCUAUCUACAUACGGAAUCGGAACUGAAACCGACACAAAGCCGAACAUCUCCGCAGUGUCCUCUUCAAAAUCUUCAAGCCUCUUCUUACAAGGGUCGUAAACGAGUAAUGUACGAAGAUCUCUAUUCAGAAUCACAAUCUUAUUUCCGACGAAACAUAGCGGAUGAAACUCCCAAAUCGACAUCUCCACAUGAUUCUCAACCGUCAUCAACUUGUUCCAAGAAUUACCAUCAAUGCCCUUUUCCUUUGUCCAAAUCUGAAUAGUGGACUCGUCGUCUAUACUGUUGUAGUACAAGCACAAGCGUCCCCUCAGUUCAACCACGUAAAACCAUCUGUUGUCGUUGACUACGUCGUCUUCCGGCUUUUGCAAAAACUCGAACUUGUCGUCUCUCGGAUCAUAAUACACUAUCCGUAUGGAAUUCCGGCACCUGAAAACCCAAUAGGUAGCCCCAUCGACGCUGACUCCCCCGAUAUUACAACCGGCGCACAUGCUUAAACCAGUGUGUUCGAUUUUGUAUUCGUUUCUGCACGCGAUCCAUGAUUUGUUCCUGCAAGAAUAAACCGAGUAGUAGUCUUUAUCAACAAUAACAACCUUGAAAUCGUCGGUGGUCGGAUCGCGACAAAGCCCGAAAGCUGCGUAGCGACAGCGAUACUUGUGCCAGAGCUUUCGCGACGUUCGAGUGGAUGGAUUCCACAACACGAACCUCCGGUACGUGCCGUCGGUUAAGAGAAUCACGCCGUCGCAAAAGCAUAGCUCAUACCACGAGAUGUAGGGGGAUUCUAUUUCUUGUGAAGUUUGGAUUUUUUGAUCUCCCAAUUUGUAUAUGGUGCAAGAACAAAACGCUGCAUCCUGAUAUAGAAAAAGGUUGUCGGAGUUUGAAUGUUUGGAUUGUCGGAUAUGAUUUUGGACGAAUACAGGAUCGGCGAUCAUGGUGUUCCAUGAUUUCGAAACUGAUUUGAAUCGAAGAAGAGAUUUAGCCGGUAAUCUCGACAGGAUAUUUUCUAUGAUUUCCGGUGAAAGAUAUGAUGUAUUAUCAGCCAUGGUUUCGGAGUUUUUGUAGGGCGGCGCGUGAGUUUGCAUGGGAGGUGCUUCGCCGGCGAUGGGGUUGCAGUGUGUGUUGGUUUUGGCUACGGCAAAUCUAGGUUAGAAGGGAAUAUAUGUACGGCUUUAAAUUUUAGGGUUCAAUACAAAAACAAAAAACACCUUUACUAUAGACUUUGUAUCAUAUACCCCUGUACUAUACAUAAAUACAAAAUCAUCCAUGUUGUUACAUUUUAUUCAAAAUUUGACGAAAAUACCCCGGCUAAAGCCUAUAAAUAUAAGAGUUUGUUUGAGUCAUUUUUCACUAUAUCUUUUUAACAUUUUCAGUUAAUUUUACUUGAGAAAUUUUGUUAUUUUUUCUUUUUUCCCCAAAACAUCUAAUUGCUUAGAUUUUUUUUUCCGAAAAAAACCUUUUAUUUUUGUCAUUUGAAUUUUUUCAUUUUUUUCUUAAAUGUCUUCCGCUAGUUCAAAUUCUCAACGAUCAUAGGAUCGUAAAGUUGUUUGUAAUCUUAGGAUGUUUGAACUAUCGGAAGACAUUUAAGAAAAAAAAUGAAGAAACUGAAAAUGACAAAAAUAAAAUAUUUUAUUCAGAAUUAAAAAAAAAAUCUAAACAAUUAGAUGUUUUGGAGAAAAAAAUAUAAAUACCAAAAUUUUCCAAGUAAAAUUGACUGAAAAUAUUUAAAAAUAUAGUGGAAAAUGGCUCAAGAAAUCCCUUAUACAUAGGCUUUAACAUGGGUAUUAUCGUCAUAUUUUGGAGAAAAUAUAAUAGUAGGGGUGGUUUUGUAUUUAUGUAUAGUAUGGGGUACAUGAUAUAAAGUUCAUAGUACAGGGUAUUUUUGUAUUUAACCCUAAAUUUUAAUCAAAGUUUUCGCAAAUUGCAAUGAGGUCCCAUAGUUUAAACUAGUUUUGAUUUGGGGCACAUGUCAGUUUUUAUUUUUAUUCUUGGCCAAAACGUAAUUGUAUACACCCCCGUAAAAUGUCUAAUUACUGGAAAAGCACCAGUGUAAAAAAAAUUAUCAUAUACCCCUUAUAAUGUAGGUUAUUUAAAAAAAAGCCCGUUGACUGAAAUGAAAUAACUAAACUACCCCUAAAAAAUACAGCAAACCCUCUCCACACAAAAAAAAUAAACAAAAGUUAAUUUCUAAAUGUUUAUAUUUACUUUAUAUUUUUUAAUAACUUUUAGUGUAUAGUUCUUUAAGCAGAGUUUCAGUUAAUUAUCCGUUAACGGAAAUGUAUAUUCCCAUUAAUUAUCCGUUAAUGUUUACUUUAGAAUUUCUAAAGUUGCUGGAUGAACGAACCCCAGAUGGGGGUUAGUGCAAAUAAGCAGAGUUUCCACUCCCAAGCAGCUGACUCCCUGCAGCAGUUUCGAAAAUUGCGGAAAACACCCCAUGCCGGGGGUAGCUAUGCAAUAACCAGAAAAAUGGCAAAUCAAACCUGAUUGAGUAUUUGUUAUAUUUUGUGAUAGUUUCAUUUCCUAGUAGGACGAUCUCAAACCUUAAUGAGAGAAAUUCUAGAUAGAGCAACCCUAUUAUAAUUGUUAUUUCUUUUAGGGCAAAUUGCAUGUCACCCCCUAUAAUUUUUUUUUUUGCACUUUACCCCCUCAAAAUUAAAGAAAAAAGUGAACGUCCCCCUUCAAAAUGUUAUACUUGUUGCACAUUGUCCUGAUAGCAAAAUUUCAAUGGAUUAUUAUUAACUGGAAUUGAAUUUUUUCUUUUGCACGUUACCCCUUUAAAUGUUAUUUUUGUUGCACGUUGCCCCUUAAAAACACUAAUUUUCUACAGAUUGUCCCUUUAAAAUGUUAUUUUUAUUGCACAAUGCCACACAAAAUUGACAUUUGGGGCAAACUGCAACCAAAUCAAUAUUUCGAGGGGAGUUAUCUCUUUUCUGAGUUUUUAGGGGGGAAAGUGCCAUAAUAGGAAAUUUAUAGCGGGUGAAGUGCAAUUUGUACUUUCUCUUAUAAUUUCUGGCAUCUUGUACUGGACCGGCCGGUUGAACCAGUUAAACCCCGAUUUGUUGCAUUGCUCGGUCUGGUUUGGCUGGUUGAACCGUAAAAUUGGAAUGCGGCUGAAAGACGGUUUUUUUUUUCUUCCUCAAAGUUAUGUCAUGGUUUUUUUAAAAUAAACAAACAAAAUGAUUAAAACGAUGUCCCCAGAAAAGGCUCGGAUGAUGUAGUUUUGUUAUGAUCAUCGCUCAGUAUUGAAUUUGUAACGACGAGGCAUCGAAGUCAAUAUUAUGUAAAUAAUUAUGGAAGUAUAAUAAAGUGCAAUUUUUAAUUUUUUUUUUAAUUUUUUUUUUUUAAUUUGCCUAGCUUUUAGAUAGUUUUUAUUUGUAUUUAUUUAUUUAGUUUUCAUGUAUAAGAACUAUUUUGAAUUGCACUUUAUACUUAGUCGGGUUUUUUCAGGUUUGUGAAGAAUAUAAUAGACUAUCAAUAAAUGGAAGCAAUCUGAGGCCACAAUGCAUAUCCUCAUGAAAAAUAAAGCUAAUUAAGACUUGAUUGAGAAACAUUUCAAUAAGCAAAACAAACAUGAAUCACAAUUACAACCAAAAGCAUUAAACGAAACAAAAACGAGUGCACAGAAAGAGGCAGCUUAUGAGAUCCGACACCUGGUAAAAUACGCCAUGUAGUUUUUAUCCGUAGAUCUACAUAAAUAACUAAUCUAUUAAGCACACAUACACAUGGGGUGUAAACCGAAAAAGACUGCAUAGGAAAAUUAAAAUAUAUCUUUAACACUGAAUUUAGAUCCUACGUAUCUAUUCGAGCAAAGCAAACCAAGAAUUCGUGCAUGCAUAUAACCAAACGCUCGCUUACUUUAGAAACAAAAUUCAUAAACACUUGUUAGCUAUUACUAGAAGAAAGAUCAAAAUCAAAAUAACACGCGGCUUCAAAUAGCUAUUAAUCCACGUGUUACGACCGAAUUGGGCAACAUAGAUCAAUAAGCAAAACGAACAUGAAUUACUUUUAAUCACGACCAAAAACGUUAUUAAUCAACCUAUUGCAAAAACUUCCUCUCCCUCUUCGUCUUAGGUCUCGGUUUCUCAGUGGGGAAGAAAAUGCUAUCUAUAUACGGAAUUGGAUAGUCAAAUAUCCCAACAGUGUUCUUUUCAAAUUCUUCAAACCUCUUCUCAGAAGGGAUGUAGACUAGUAAUACACGACGAAGAAGACCUCUUUUCCAAACUACAAUCUUAUCUCCGACGAAACAUAGUGGCUGAAAAGCCCAAAUUGACAUCCCCACAUUUUCAACAGUUAUCAACACCUUCCAAGAAUGACCAUCGAUGCCCUUUUCCUUUGUCCAAAUUUGAAUCCUGGACUCGUCCAUACCAUUGUAAUACACGCACAAGCAUCCCUUCAAUUCGACCGCAUACGUAAAUUUUUGGUUGGCAUCGGCAAUAUUUUCCGGCAUGUGCAAAUUCUUGAACUCGUCAUCUCUCGGAUCAAAAUACACUAAUUCUAUUUGCGUGGCGUUGUCGUUACUCCAAAGCCAAUAGCUAGCCCCGUCAACGCAGACUCCCAUGUUAUUAUUACCGAUUUUUACACCUAAACCGGUGUAUUUAGUAUCGUAUUUUUUUUUCAACAUGAUCCAGGAUUUGUUCCAGCAAGAAUAAACCGAGUAGUAGUCUAAAUCAGCAAUAACAACCUUAAAAUCGUCGGUGGCUGGAUCGCGACAAAGCCCGAAAGCUGCGUCCGGACAGCUGUACUUGUGCCAAAGGUUUUUCGACGUUCGAGUGGAUGGAUUCCACAACGCAAACCUCAUGUAUGUAGUGUCGGUUAAGAGAAUCACGCCAUCACAAAAGCAUAGUUCAGGCCACCUGGCAUAGCGGGAUUCUAUUCUUUGUAAAGUUUGGAUUUUUUUAUCUCCCAAUUUAACCACAGGAAUAGGAUACGUGUUGGGACAUAGAAAAAGGUUGUCGGAGUUUGAGUGUUUGGAUUGUCGGAUAUGAUUUUGGACGAAUACAGGAUCGGCGAUAACGGUAUUCCAUGAUUUUGAAACUGCUUUGAAUCGAAGAAGAGAUUUAGCCGGUAACCUCAACAGGAUAUUUUCUAUGAUUUCCGGUGGAAGAUAUGAUGUACUAUCAGCCAUGGUUUUGGAGUUUGCAGAGCGGCAUGCGUUUGGAAUUUUGGUUUAAUUGGCCAUGCCAGAUUUAGGUUUAAUUUAAGGGUUGUUUUAAUGGAAGUUUUCAAAUAUUGCAAUUAGGUCCUAUAUUUUAUAUUAGUUUUAAUUUGGGACACGGGUCAGUUUGGUUGCUCUGGUUUGUGUUCAGUGUUCACAUUCAUAAAUCCACUUUCGAUUCACAAACACAAAUUGACCCUUAAAUCCACUACAAACUCAUUUUCGAAAAUAAAAGAAAAAAAGAAAAAAAAAACUUUAAUUAUUUUGAUUGGGGAAGAAAAGACUCUCCGUAUACGGAAAAAAUCCGCGUCCGGAAAGCACACUAUCGUCAACUUCUUCAAACGUCUUCUCAGAAGGGUUGUAGACGACUAACUUUGAAUCUUUCCAUACAAUUAAAAUCUUAUUCCCGACAAAAUGCAGUAGUGGCUCGAAACAAGAAGCCCGCGUCUGCACAUUCUCAAUAGUCAUCAACUCCUUCCACGUACUAUUGCGAGAGCCCUUUCCCUUUAUCCAGAUUUGAACAUUCGUCACGCCUCUACCAAUGCAACACAUGCACAAGCUGUCUCUCAAGCAAAUCAAGUCGAUCAUUUUGCCCGUUAAGUUAACAUUUUCCGGUUUCCGCAAAACCUUCAACUCGUCGUCAUCUUUCGUAUCGAAAUAUAAAAUAUGCGUUCCGUCACUACUCCAACGAUUAACCCAAUAGACAACCCCGUCAACACAAACUCCGUAACCAAUCUGUACUAGACCAAUACCUUGAAUUCGUCGCUUCCUCGUCCAUGCUUUGUCGUUGCACGAAUAAACCUUGUAGUGGUCCCUACAUAUAACAACUACCUUAAAAUCGCCAACGGUUCGAUCGUGAAAAAGCCCGUAACUCAUUGGAUAACAAGAACGCGCAUAUGGGAACUCAAACUUUGUGGUUUGUCGAGUGGAUGGAUUCCACAACGUUAAUUUCUUGUAAGAGAUGUCGGAUAAAAGUAGCAGGCCAUCGCAGAAGGCCAAGAACUUAUCCCAGGCACAGGGGCAUUCUAGUAAUUUUACGGUUCGGAACUUCCGGUCUUCGAAUUUAACCAAAGGAAAAAAACCUUUAGAGUGUGGAUUCUUUUGCAUGAAAAGAUUAUGCGGGUUCGAAUGUUUCGAUAUUUGGAGAUGAUUCUUCACGAACGUGGGAUCGGAGAUCAUAGUAUUCCAUGACUUGGAAACUGAUUUGAAUCGAAAAAGAGAUUUAACUGGUAAUUUUGGCACGAUGAUUUUUAUCAUUUCGAGUGGAAAGUGAACUGAUUCAUCUUGUUCUACAGCCAUGGUUAUCGCACGUUUAACUUAUUGAUGAAUGGAAUACGAAUUUUAGAGCUAGGGCGUUUGGCUAAGCUUAUUUUAAACAGUUGAUAAGCUCUUACGUCUGAUAAGAUGUUUUAAGAGUUGAUAAGCUGUUACAUCUUAUUUUUAGGAUUAAUUUUUAGAGUGUUUGGAUAAUGAGAUUAUUUCCUAUUUUUACUCAAUAUAAGAUCUUAAAUAAAAAGGUGGGGUAGAGGUACUUUUUUUAAAAGAUCAUAUUUGCUCUCCAACAGCUUAUUUAAAAAAAAGAAUAAGAUCUUUUAAAAAAAAAUUACCAAACACUUUGGAAGAUUAAAAGGUACUAUAGCAUUUUUUUUAAGCAAUUAAAAAAUUAAAGAUGAAACAAUAGCAUCUAACAAAUAAACGCUAUAAUAAUAUGCUAUAAAAAGUAUAUAUUCUUGUAGUGGCUUAUAAGCUCUAAAACAUCUUAUAAGCUUCUUUUAACAUCUUAUAAGGUUAGCCAAACACCCUCUUAAUCAUUUGGGUAGGAUUUAAAUUGUUGUGUUGAUGGGCCUGGAAAGCUUGAGAAACUUGUUAGGGUUUUCCUCAAAAAUUGGCUAUUGAAGUGUGGAAAUCGGAGUCAAAAUGUUUCGAAAAUGACUUUGUCAAAAAAAAAAUAUUUUUUUUAAAGUAAAAAAUGGGUUCUAAUUUUUGUUCCAAGAAACUUGGAAUGCAUAAAUCCUGGAAGUUUGUUUGUUUGUGUUUUGGGAGGAGACAAUUUGUACUGUAGCAAGUCAAAUCAUGUCUGAAAGGUGUUGGGAAAAAGGUAUUUUGGAAGAAGAAUUUAAAAGAUAAAGUGAUUUGAUUUUGUAUUUUUGUUAAGAUAAUUUUCACUGUAGCGGUCAAAUCAUGUUUGUUAGACAGAGAAAUAUUUGAAUUUGUUUUGGGGAAAGUUUUUGACAAUAGUGUAGAAAAAUAAUUUUCAUCAUGGGGAAAGUGUGAAAAGAAUUUGAAAAUGCUAACAAACAUAACAUAUAUUUUCCGUUUUCAUACUUUACCCAUUUUCUCAAAACUGUCUCUUAACAUUUUGAAGUUACGAUAUUAGUCCUUAAUCAUGCCAUUUUUUGACACAAUUGGUCCGUUUAUUUUUGCAGUUAAGUUGGAUGGAAAAUGGCAUAUGCCUCUCACAUGCCUUCAAUUUACAAUACCACAUGAAAAUGGACUUUUAACAACACGCAAUGCAUCUUGUUAUAAAAGUUUGAAUUUGCUUGACCAUUCGAUAUUUAUAUUUAGUAAUUAUAAUAAAAUUUAUUAGUGAUAUCGGUAAUAGCAUCAACAUUUAUACAAAUUUAAUAAUACAAACUCAUUAAAAAAAAAUUGUAAAAACUUAAUAGUCACAAUAUGAAAUUGAUCAUUAAAUAAAUGAGGAAAGAAAAUUAGAGAAAAUAAGUUGAAAAAUAUAAAAUAAAAUAAUAUAAUAAGAAUAUGUCAUUAGGAUUUCUUAGGUUGCCAUAACGUUUCUUUCUUUUAAUAUUUCAUAUACCAUAUGAAUAAUGCGAAUUGAAUCAUAAAAUGCUUGAAUCAAAUCGUAAUCGUACAAUUUAAUCAAAGAUUUAAACCGAGAAGGGUUCAUAUUGAAUUUAAUCAUAAAACAACAUAGGAUUUUCAUAUAAAAUAUAUUUGAUUUUCAUCUAUCCAUAUUUUAAUACUAAUAUAUUAAUCUUGGGACUCUGAGUUAUUUCAAACUGGGCUGGGUACGACGCAUUACUUCAAAUAAUUUUGCACGUACUGCAUAGAAACUCCCGUAUUAGAUUAUUCAUAAGGGUUUUUUGCAAGAACCAGCCUUGUGUAAACUUUAAUUGUUGAGAAACCAUUUUUGUUAAAAAAAAAAAGCACGGACUCUCCUAUGAAAGUUAGUCAAAGCCAAUAAAGUCUCUAACAGUUGAUCGUGUUCUCAAUUCUGCACUCGCGGAUUCUGCGGUUGGGGGUGCGUGUUCUGACUUGAAAAGACCUAAAUACCCUUAAAAUAAAAAAAUUGAAAUUACAUAUUAACCUCAAAAUUUUCAUUACAUCAAAAUGAAAGUUUUAGAAUUUUCAAUUCAGUUAUUGGCGAUUUCAAAACGCCCUCUCCCCAAAUUAACUGAUUCUCGUUUAAACUCUCCACCAUUUUCACGCACAACCCACACAAAAUCCUGCCCCGAUGGCGCGCCUUAGCCGGAAAUUGUCCAAAUGAUACGUUUUUCCGCACGCUUUUCCGACAGAUUUUUUUUUCCGUCGGAAUUUAUUCUUAGAAGAUCACUCACUCUUCAUGUUUUUUUCCAGCAAAAAACCAACCAACAUUCUAAGCUCGAAGCUCUUUUCUACAUCAAAACAAAUCAAGGGAAGGGCCGAAAAUUUGAAAUCUGAGCUUUAAGCUUUUUCCUGAAAUUUCAGAACGAAAAUUCCAACUUAAAUUUUCAGAAAUUUUACCCAGAAAACUUUUUUUUUCCCUUGCAGCACAACAUCCCGAUACACUCUUUUCUUCUCACGAUAUUCAGCUCCUCUUCUUACUAUAUUCUGCUCCAAAUGGGGUGACCUCGGUGAAGAUGGUGGCACACAAAAGAUAAUUGAUUGGGAAGAGAAGGUCAUGGUGGGGUACAAUACUGAAUGGGAAAAUGUCGAACGGCACCGUUGGAGUUCGAUUGCUCCGGCGAGGGCACCAUUUUGUUUUCCGUCGAUUGAGUCGACGUUUUACCGAUAACGAACUUGCGAGAUACAUUUGAGGCUAUGGAAGAGAUGGUUGGAAGAAGAAGGUAUUUAAUUAAUAAAAUUUAAUUUACUUUUAUGUAAACUGAAAACAAAUUAGUGUUUUGGCCAUAUUUGUGUUUUAUGUACUAGGGGUAUUACUGUCAAUUUAGCUAAGGCAACAGUCAAAUGGCGAAUAAGGGGCGAUUUGUUAUACCAAACAAAAUAUAAGGGGAUCUUUGUUAAUUUUUAUAACACAGAGAGGUUUUUGACAAUUAAUUAAAGGCGGCGAAUAUAUGCAAGCCCAUUUUUUUAUUAGUUCAAGACCUCCAACAUAAAAAUACUAAUUUACCCUUAAUUAAAUUCAAAAUCAAAUAAAAAAAAAAAUCAUAAAAAAAAAUCGGUGUUACAACGCCGAUUUUGACUUGUGAAGUCGGCGUUGUGUCGCCGAUUUUGUUAACAAAAAUCGAUAUUGUGACGCCGAUUUUCGUGUACAAAAUCGGUCUGGAUAAACCGAUUUGGGAAAACAACGAAAACACACAAAAAAAUCAAUUGCAAUCUCAUUUUUUUUUCCAAAAUCGGCUAACGCAUUGCAACCCAACAAUAAGUAAGCAUAUAUUAAUGUUCAUCCACGCAUAUUUAUCAAGAAUCGAUGCUCGAUUAAUGUUUUUGAAUUGACAAACAAAAGUUUAGUAAAAAGGACUUGUUGGUGGUGGUGGGGUGGUGGUGAUGGUGCGGUGGAGAUGGUUUGGUGGUGGAGGUGCGGUGGUGGUGGCUUGCUGAUCGCCGCCGGUGGUCUGGUGGUGGUCGUGCGGCAGUCUUGUGCGGUUUUUAUUUUUCUUUUGAGUUUUUAUUUUAUUUUUUGGUCUUGUACAAAUAAAAAAUAAGAUUUAUUUGUAUUUAGGUAUUAUUUGUGGAUAAGGUUAUAUUUGUCCCCUUUGGUCUUGAUGUAAUAAAAAUAAAUUAAUUUAUGGGUUUGACCUAAUAAAUACCUUUAUGUGGGUUUGAACUAAUAAAAAAAUGGACUUGCAUAUAACGGUCGCCUUAAUUAAAAUAAUAUAAUGGUAAUCAAGUAAUCCCACAUCGAAAAACGAACCAAAGCUAAUCUACUUCAUAUACAAAAUUCUGAGAGUUAUCGGUCGCCGGGUUCAUUAGCGAGAACCUGUGACCUAAGCAGGGGCAUUAAGGCGACGGAAGGUUGAAGCUAUGGCAGACUCUCUCUCCGGCAUAAUCCAGCACCACCCCAGGCCCUGGUGGUCUGUAGUUCCUACUCGGCGGCGAAAUUGUUAAACAGCCUGUUCUGGGGGGCUUGCCCCCAAGUAUUGUCGGCUGUUGCAGGUUGCGGCACAGCCACCUGGCGGCAGCCUGGGGAGUUCCUACUCAGGGCUGCAAAAUUGUUAAGUGGCCGGCGGCCAAUGCAGGUGGCGGUGUACACCGCCUACACCGCCACCUGAUCACUUCUAACUCAGGAGUUAGAGGAUGAAGUAAAAAUGCUGGCUUGACAGAGCAGCAGCUGCUAUUGGACGGGUGGUGUUAGGUGGUGGUUGCUUUGCAAUUUGUUGCCGGCGGCGGAGUCUUGCUUAAAUAUCUUCGACGGAACUUCGACCUUUU